AUGUGGUUUGGUCAUGAUUUCUCCACUAACCAAACUGAAUGCUCAGCUCAAUAGUUUUUUUUUUUUUUAAUAAUAAAAAAGGCAAGUUAGGCUUAAGAAGAGCUGUUCUGCAUUGAUAGUAGCUUUGCAAGUAGAGUUUUUUUUUUGGAUAACCUUCAAAUAUCACCCAUAUGGUUUCGCAUUUUCUUAUUCUAGUGUACUGUGAUUUAAAGUGUAUCAAGUUAGUGUUCUGUGGUUUGAUUUUUAUCUUUUCGUUAGCUUUUUCGCUAAUAUUUUAUUAAAUUUUAUAGAAAAAACUUCAGAUAUUUCAACUAGGUUUAUCGAAUAUUCACUUUAGUAUAUUUUAGUUUUAACUUUGUCACUGAUUUUAUAAAAAAAAUUAGUGAAAUAAAUAAUAAAAAGAUAAAAAUAAAAUAAUACACUUUAAAUCACAUGGCACUGGCACUGAAGUGAGAAAGUGUAAAACUACAUGUGAACAAUUAUGAAAAAUUUUAAGCAGAUCGGGAUUUUUUGCAGUAUUAUAUGCGUGAUCGGGAGUAGUUCAAUUAGCGACAUGAAUAUCAUAAAGAAAGAAUUUUUACAUGGCAAAUGAAAAGCAAUUUUUGAAGUUUCCUUAGCCACAUGAUAUAUAUUAUACCCCUACCCUAAUCAUCACACUUACUCUAACAUAGUAAUAUCAAUUAUACGACCUACUAUAACAUAUAUCACAUAUAUAAUACUACUAUAACCUUAUAGUAUAUUGAGUCCGGCUAUGGUGGAUGUUAAAAGUUCGCAAGUAUUUGGUGGGCCUUUUUUUCUUUUUUUUUUUUUUUUUUUUUUUUUUUUUUUUUUCUUUUUUUUUUUUUUUUUUCUUUUUUUUUUUUUUUUUUUUUUUUUCUCCUAUUUUUUUUUUUUCUUUUUUUUUUUUUUUUUCUCUUUUUUUUUCUUUUUUUUUUUUUUUUUUUUUUUUUUUUUCUUUUUUUUUUUUCUUUUUUUUUUUCUUUUUUUUUUUUUUUUUUUCUUUGUAAAUUUUUCUGCGUUGAUCUACGCAUUUGAUCAUUUUCACCUGUUAGAUUAUACUAUUCAACCAACCACCACUUAACCUAGGGGCCCUAUAUCAUCUUAACCGGCACAUUCCUUAAUCCAAGGGCUAAAACUUACAAGCACCAACUGACUUGUACUUUUAAAAGACAUAGGACCUCAAUUCAUAUAUAUAUAUAUAUAUAUAUAUAUAGAGAGAGAGAGAGAGAGAGAGAGUGAAGAGAGAGAGAGAGAAGAGAGAGAGAGAGUGUCUGGCUACUAGUACUUUUAUGAGUACGAUCGUCUUGUACUCAUGAGUUAUUUUUGAUGAUAAGCUUCCGAAUCGACGAUCCAUACCGUUAAACAUUAUCUUAAGAACAUUUAAAACUUCCUAAAAUCAAAUUUUAUAAAUUUUCGAUAUCAUUUACCUUACGAUCAAAAGCUCACAAAAUUGAUAAUUUUUAACGACCGGUAUGAAAUUCUUGCUAGUUUAAUGGUGUAAAAGAAUCAAAAUAGGUUUAAUUUUUAUAGAAAAUUCUAUUCACUACCUAAAUAAAGAUCAAUAACUCCGAUCUUAAAUUGAAGGAUCCGAUCAUCCAUUUUAGGAUGUCGUUCGAUUUUAACCGUUCAUUUUAUACCCACUAGAUGGACUUUAUAAUAAUUUCGAAAAAUUACGAAAUUUAUUCUAGAAGGUUCAAAUACUGUAGAUCAUGUUUAACGGUGUGGAUCGUCGAUUCGAAAAUCCCAAUAUCGAAAACAACUUAUGAGUACAAAGAGCUCUAUACUCAAAAGAAUAUAGUAGCUACUCUCUCUCUCUCUCUCUCUCUCUAAACUCACACAAUAACAUAUUUAGAAACAAAUUAAAUUAGAUUUAAAUUUAAAAGUAAAUUUUAAGUAAAAAUGAAUUCUGAUUUUUUUAUUUUGAAUUUAAAUGGUUAUCAGCGGCAUGAGUCUAUUUUCAGUUGAUUUAUUUUUUAAAUUUGAUUUGUUUCUAAAUAUGUUUCCAAUUUAGUUAUACAAUAAAUAUUUUUGAUUUGUUUCGUAACACACAUUUUUUUUAAUGUAUACCCAAAUUUUAAAAUUUUGAAUUAAUUUCUAAAUUUAAAUUAAAUUUUAAAUUUAUGAAUCAAACUCAAUAUUUAAAGUUAAUUUUGAAUUCAUUAUUUAAAUUAAACAAUUAUUAAUUGUUACGUCUAUUGUUAAACCAUUCAAAUUUUCAAACCUCUGAUUUAUUUGUAGUUAAUUUUUUUAAUGUGUAUAAAAUAUUUUUUUAUUUCAUUUAUCAUUUCAUCUGCCAACUCGAAAUUUUUUAUCUGUUUUUUAUAUUUUGUGUGUAUAUAUAUAAAAUGAGGUUACUAUACUUCUAAAAGCAUAUCCCUCUCGUGCUAUAUAUAUAUAUAUAUAUAUGAGUUUUGAAUUUUUUUUUUUCCAAAAAUGCUCUAUUCUUUUUACUAAUAUCUUUCAUGUCCAGUAAUUUUUCAUCCAAUCAUUUCAAAUAAUUUCACUAAGUAAUAAUUUUAUUCUCAAAUAAAGAUAUUAAUUUUUUGCCAUUAGUCUUAUCCGUAAAUUUCUCAAAAUAUCUUAUUAAUUUAGCCUUCUAUACGUCAACUACCUACAUAAUAUCCGGUUAACUUUCUCACUAAUAUCCACCAUUUUUUCAAAUAUCGUCAUCAAAAUUUUAAUCUUUUUUCUUAGUUUCUCAAACAUUUUUUUAUCUCCAUUAUCUUCGCAUUUAAACUUAAAUCUUAAUGUAGAUCAAAAUUAAAUUUUGAAUUUUGAAUUAAACAUGAAUUUCUUUCCGAAAAUGUCUCAAUCUUUUUACUAAUUGUUCAUCUCGCAGAAAUUUUGAAGCAUUUAUUUAAAUAAUUCAUUAAAUUUUGGAUUUCCUCAAAAUAUAUAAUAUUUCACUACCACGUAUUUGAAUUUAAAUCUUAGAGUGAAUCAAAAUUAAAGUUUAAAAUUUAAAAUUUUUGAAUUUCAAACUUAAAGUGAUCGAAUUAAAUUUUAACUUUAUAAAAUUAAACAUAAUUAAAAUUUUAAUUAUAUAGAAAAUAUCUUAAUACUUAUCUCAUACCCAAUUUUAUCUCAUCAUAAUACUUAUCCAUACAUAAAAUAUUCUUAUUUUAAUACUUUCUCAUCUCUAUCUAUACGUUUCUUAAAUAUAAUAAAUAUUAACCUUUUUCAUUUUCAACUAUAUGUUUUCUCAAAUAUAUUAUUUUAGUAAUAUUUUAUUCAUUCCUCAUCGUCGUUCUCCGAUCACCUUCGCCACAGUUAGAAAGGUAUUUUGCUACACCUAAUUCUUUUAAUGUGUCAUAAAUAAUGUUUCCUACCCAAUUCGUCUUUCGUAUACUUUGUUUUACUUAUUUAAGAAUUUUAAAUGCUAAUAGUGUGCAUUUUCAUAGACUUUUUAUCUUUACAUUAAUUGCGCAAGUCAUACAGUAUAUUAUUUUUAGUAUAUUUUUUUUCAAUUUCACUUGUAUUUUUUUCAAAUAUUGUCAAAUAUUUUUUUACUAAUAUCCUUUCUCAUUUGUCCUCCGUCGCUGGCACCGGGCAAUCGUCAUCGUCAUCGCCAGCCGACACCGGCAUGUUGUCGCCUUCGCCACGCUUUGCCACAUUUGAGAGGCAUUUGAUCUAAACUGAAUUGUUUUUUAAUAUGCUUUUAUAACUAUUUUAGUAUAUCUAUUUUUUAGUAUUUUCUCUCAUUUACAUUUAUAUAUUGCAGCCCGCAUAUCGUCAUCGUCAUCGCCGACAACGGCAUAUUGUCGCCUUCGCCACUUUGCCACUAUUUGAAAAGAUAUUUUGAUCUCAAACUUUUUUUUUUAAUAUGCUUUUAUACAUUUUACAUUUUUUUUUAGUAUUUUCUCAUUUACAUUAUACAUUUAUCAAAUAUAAAUAUAUAUUUUGUUAUAAUAUAUUUUUUUCAUUUCCUCUAUAUUUUUCAAAUAUUCCAAAUAUUUUUUAGUACUAUUUUUUCAUUUGUCCCCUUGCCGGCACAGCGCGCAUCGCCAUCGUUCUCCUUAUCAACGUCACCGUGCCGGCACAUUGUCACUCUGACAUCACCGGCGCCGGCACAUUGUCAAAAUUAAUUUUAAAUUUUAAAUUUUGUUCAAAAAUUUUAUAUGUGAAUUCAUCAGCUUAAAAUUUAGAAUUUAAUUCAAAUUUUAAAAUUUGUAUACACAUUAAAAAUAAUUGUAUAUUAUUAUAAAAAUAAAUAUAGAAAAGUAUUUAUAUGUGUAACUAAAUUAAAAAUGUAUCAAAACUUAUCCGAAAUAAAUUAAAGUUAAAAUUUGAUAAUAGACUCAUACCACCAAUAAACUAUUUAAAUUUAAAAUAUAAAUAUAAAUUUUAUUUUUGAUUUUUGUGAUGUGCAUUGCCGUGCACUAUGACAAGUAUAUAUAUAUUAUAUGAGUAAGUCUCCUAUACUUUCGAAAGUACGGAGACCUCCGUACUUGUAAGUUAUUUUCGAUGGUAGAAAAUCCGAUUCGAGAUCGGUUUGUUAAGUAUAAUCAUCCUAUUGAACUAUUUGAAACUAAAUUUAUAAUUUUUGACAUCAUUUACCAAGCGAUCAAAUGUCUCAAAAAUGACUAUUUAACGACCGAUGUGAACACGUUUUUAAGUUCAAUACGGUGUAGAAGUAUCCAAAAUUAGAUGAAAAUUUAAUAGAAAAUCUACUUAACAUCAUAGCAAGACCAAACUUCCGAUUUGAAAUUUGAGUCCUUUAUCACUGUUUUUUAUGGAUUUUUAUUUUUAGCCGUUCAUUUUGAGGCUACUGCGUUUACUAACAAAAAGUCAAAAAAUUAUGAAAUUGGUUUCUCUCGGUAGUCUACAAUAACGUAGAUCAUGUUUAACGGAACCGAUUGCCGAAUCCGAUAUUCCAUUAUUAAAAUAACUUACAAGUACGAAGGCUUCCGUACUUUCGAAAGUAUAGAAGGCCUACUCAUAUAUAUAUAUAUAUAUUAUAUAUAUAUAUAUAUAAUAUAUAUAUAUAUAUAUAUAUAUAUAUAUAUGAGCAGGCGCUGUGCUCUCAGGAGCACGGAGGCCUCCGUGCUCCUGAGCGUUUUCGAUGAUGGAGUUUUCAAAUCGACAUCGGCUCCGUAAAACUUGAUCUAGCGUAUUAAAGUUUCUAGAAAAUAAUUUUUGUGAUUUUCGAUAUCAUUUACCAGCAAUCGAAAGGAUUCAAAAUCAAUAAUUUUUACAGGCUGAAAAUAAAAAUCCAUAUAAAACGUGUUGAUAUACACUAAAAUUUUCGAUCAGAAAUAUAGAUCUUGUUGUAGAUAGUAUAAAGAAUUUUCUAUCAAAAUUUCAUCUGAUUUGAAUACUUCUAACACCGUUAAACUUGAAAACGGCAGAUAUCAACCUUUAAAAUUAUGGAUUUUGAAUCCUUUCGAUCACUAGGUAAAUGAUAUGAAAAAUCGCAAAAAAUUAUUUUCUAGAAACUUCAAAUGCGCUAGUCAAGUCCUAACGGGCCGAUCGUGCGAUAUCGAAAAUUCCAUCAUCGAAAACGGCUCAGGAGCACGGAGGCCUCCGUGCUCCUGAGAGCACAGCAGCCCUGCUCUAUAUAUAUAUAUAUAUAUAUAUAUAUUGAGCGCUAGAGUGUUUCUAAAAGCACCAAGCUAUUGAUGUUUAUAGUUUUCUAGCCCUUAGAGCAACCUUGGAUGAUGUAUUGGGCUAUUGUAUUAAAAGUGUACUUUGGUGGCUUAAAAGUUAAAAAUGGUGGUUUAUGAUUUAUUGGCCACAAGGGUUGAUCAAAGGGCCAAAAAUAACCAAGGCCUUGUUGCUUUUUAAAAAUACUAUAGCUGGGCUCUAUAAGGUAAAUUGAUUGUGCAAAAAACUAGUACAAGAAUAAGAACAAUUCAACAGCAUAGAAAAUUCAUAGAUUUGAAUUACUACUGCAACACCAAAAUAAUUUUUCUUUUUAUUUGACUACUUAAUGUUGAGAAAAUUCGUCACUAUGAAUACAUUAUAACUAAGAGCAAUACAUUAGUAUAAAAUCCGACCUCAAACAAAAAAAUUAGUUAUAUUAUGAAAGGACAACUAAAUUUUGGAAUCAACGGGCUUUGCACGAACCAAUAAUAGUUUUAAAUAAUAAAUUGAAAAGAUAAAAAUUUUAGGUAAUGAAAAAAUUUCACAAAGUAAGAUAAUUUCCAUUAAAUUUAACACCUUUGACUAAUUUUCAGUUGAAACUAGCAUAAAUUCAUUUACUAAUUAAUUAUUAAUAGCUAAUUAACAUAUUAAUUAAUUUUCUUUAUUUAAUUUAUUAUAAUAUUUGAAAUCUGAAUGGAUAAAAAAAAAUUUUAAAAAAAUGGACCAUGUACAUUCAUAUGCCCCUCACUAGUUUAGGGGCAAAAUGAACAAUUUAAUUCUUAACCUUCAUUAUAUUAUGGUAUAACUAAGAUUAAAAUGAGUUGACGGUAUUUUUGAAACAAGUAAAUAUUUGAGGGGGCAAUUUUAAUAUUACAAAUUAUGUAGGGACGUUUACGAUAAUUUUGAACUUUUCAAGAAUACGAAUGAAAUUGCCCAUAUAUAAAAAUGUUGUGCUUAACUAUUCUAUGAUGUUAUUGCCCUAUUAUCAAAAAAAUCUGUUGAUUAAUAGAAAAGUGAAGUGCAAUUUUUUGAAAACUAUAAAGUACUUUCUUAACUAUAGAUUUUUAUAGUAAACUAAAAAUAAAAUCAUAAAAUAGCUAAGCAUAUUGUUUGAACCAUAUGAUAAGGAAGCAAAAACGUACUAAAUCAUAGAUAGUUAAGUAUAACUUUUUAAACAAUAAAGUGGCAAAUUUAGUUGGGUAAAUUGUAGUUUAUCUUUUUUUUUUUGGAAAAAUUUCAAAUACUAUCUCUGUGGUUUCACACUUUCUCAUUUUAGUACCUUACGUUUUAAAGUGUAUCAAUUUAGUAUCAUGUAAUUUUAUUUUUCUCUUUUUAUUAUCCAUUUCACUAAUUUUUUCAUUAAAUAAGUGACAAAGUUAAAAUUAAAGGGUAUUAAAGUGAAUAUUCGAUAAACCUAGUUAGGGCAUCUGAAGUUUUUUUGUAUAUAAUUUAACGAAAUAUUAACGGAGGAAAAAAAAUCAGUGACAAAGUUAAAACUAAAGGGUACUAAAGUAAAUAUUUGAUAAACCUAGGCAGGGUAUUUGAAGUUUUUGGUAUGUAAUUUAACGAAAUAUUAACUGAGGAGCCGACGAAAAGGAAAAAAUGAAACCAUAAGGUACUAAAUUGAUGAACUUUAAACCACACGGUACUAAAGUGAGAAAAUGCAAAAUCACAGGGUACUAAAUUGAUACAUUUUAAACUACAGGAAACUAAAGUGAAAAAAUGCGAAACCACAGGAGUUGUAUUUGAAGUUUUCUUUUUUGUUUUUUACUCCAUGUUUUGUGAUAGGUGGUCCAACCUUACAGGGGGAUAAUAAUGUAAUGAAUUUGGUGGGCCCAGACCAACUACAUUCUGCGAGAAAAGGCCAACCCAAACCCCGUAUUAGCAAAGCCCAACCCAAACUCCAUGUUAGCACUUAGCAGUACUGUGCUUUAACUUAUCCUGCAAUUAUGUUUUUCUUUUUUUCUCGGAUAAAAUCAUAUAAACUUGAUGUGAAUUAUGGUUAAUUUUAAUUUGGCCCAAUCUUUUAAAAUAUUGAUUAUACAAUCAAAAUUUUAAUUUGUUUAAUUUGAGUAAAUCAACAGUAUCCUCACUUCAAAAUUCAAAGGGGCUAUUUAUUUUUAUAGUUUUAAUUGGUAUAUUUUAUAUAACUGGCGCAAUAACAAAAUUAUUAAAAUAAAUAAAUAAUUUCAAUUUUAAAACUAAAAUGCUUAUUCAAAAAUUUAUAUAGCUCACUCAAAAUGGACCAUAACCAUAAGUAAAUCCCUUACAUUAUUGUUAAUUAUUAUUAAUACUACUACUGGUUACCCUAUAUUACUGGUAGCAUUUGUUAAAAACAGUUGUGAAUCAUAUGUUCCAUUCACUCUAAGGCUGAAAAAAUAAAUUUUGAAAAAUUUUAUUUAUUCUUUUCCGAAAAAGUUCUAGAGCUUCUCAUAAUCUGGUACACACAAAAAAAAAAAAAAAAAAACUUCAAAUACUGCUUUUGUGUUUUUAUGCUUUCUCAUUUUAUAUCUUGUGAUUUUAAGUUAUAUCAAUUUAGUAUAUGUGUUUUUUUUUUGAAUUUUCUUCUAUUAAUCAAUGAAAACUUAAAUACUAAACAAGUAUUAAACUAAAUAUUGGAUAAGUUCUCGGUGGGUAUUGAGCAGUUUUUACUAUGAACUUAAGAUGCUAACGGAGAAAGUUUGACGAAAAGAAAAAAAAUCAUAGAAAACUAAAUGAUACACUUUAACCAUAGAGGCUACUAACAGCUGAAAAAGUGUGAAAUUAUAUAAUGAUAUUAAAGUUUACAAAACAAAAAAAUAUAAAAAAAACAUUUCUAGAGGAUAAUUAUGCCGGUCUUGCAGCCUUCCAGAUCGCGUCUCCAAAUUCCUCGAUGCCUGUCGGCCCAAGAUCGUCUCCGAAUCGUCGAGCGGCCCGGACGCUCCCGAGGUCGGCCGCCGCCGCCGCGCCACCGCCGUCGUCACACAAAUUCGCUCUCGCUCUCGCUCUGCUUGCCGCCGCUUCUUCUUCCCCUGCGAGGGGGACGCCUUCCUGUCCGCGGCCACGGCCUCUGCAGCGCUCGCAGGACGUCCGACCCUCAAACCCCCGUCCGUCGUCCACCCUCGCCUCGGCCUCGGCUGGCGCGGGCGAGGGCGGGGCAGCGGCGACGCGCAAAGUCCUCCUCGUCGGAGUGCCGCGUCGUGCGGCGGUUGAGGUGAUACGCAGAGGAGGGAUUUGCCGGCCGCCGCGCCGGAUGUGGUGUGGUGGUGGUGGGAGCGGAUCUCGCGGCGGCCGUAGUGCGACGCGGAGGGGCGCGGAGCGGAAGGCGCAGAAGGGAGACGUUCGGGAGGAGGAGGGAGAAGAGGGCGGUGUGGUUGGCGCCCCGCCGCCCGGGCAAGCAUCUUUGCCUUAAUUAGUGACGGGAUUGAAGAGCAGUCCUCAUUUGUUGCUUUCUUUCCUUUUUUUUUUUUUUUUCUUCUUUUUAUUGUGUGUUUUCCAGGACCGUCGUCGAAAAUAAAUAAUUAUAUUCAAAAUUAAAAAUUGGCUAAAUUAUAUAAAAUCUCCGGUCAAAAUUUGAUUUUUCACUUCCCUUUCCUGUCAUUUAAAAAUCUACAUUUUGUUUCCUUAUAAAAUAAAAAAUAUUCGGUGUGUAAAAUGAUCAUUUUGUCACUCACUAUUGUUGUCUCCUUUAUCAUCUUCCUCAACCGCCGCCUCGAUCGGCCACGAUUCACACUUCGAUCGGCUGCGAUUUCUCUCCAUUUUUUUUUCCAUCUGCUCUUCCUGCACCUUCGCCGCCCCUCGAUUUCGGCGAUAGUAUGGAGGAAAUCGAGAUGGGCGUUGAUGGAGAGGUAGGAAAGAGCAACGAGGGCGAAGGCGAGGCGGCGGAGGAGGGCGAACGGAUGUGGGCGAGUGCAGGGCGGUGGAGGAGGGCGAGGCGGCGAGGCGGCGGUAGGCGAAGCAACAGGGAAGAGGACGAAGGGGUAUUUUUGGCAUAAAAAAAUAUUUUAUAACGGAACCCUAAUGGUAGGGGGUGAAGUGCACAUUUUUUAUUUUACUAGUUAAGUGCACGUGCCACGCACGUCACACAAAUACUAAAAAAAAAAAUUUAUAAAUAAAUAUUAUAGAUUCGAUAAAUAAUAUUUAAUCAUUACUAAAAUAAAAUGAUAGAAAUAAAAAAUAGAAUUACAAUAUCAUAAAAGAAAGAACACAAAAUCUAUCAUGGUAUCAUUAAAAAAAAAUACAAAAUUCGUCACUAAACUAAUUGAAAAUGUCACCAUUAGUUCCCCUUCCGUACAAAUUGCAUUGUAAGUAAGAAAAACAAUAAAAUAAAUAUUAGUAAAUCAUCAGAAUAGAUAAAAUUAAAAAAAAUGUAAAUUUAAUAAGAAUUCAUAUAAGUAAAAAAUUUAGCUUAAUUUUAUUUCUUGAGUUUUUGGAAUAGGUGGAUUAAGCACAAUUUUACUUAUAAAAUUUUGCUAAAUUGAUCCUGAUAAAUAAAUUUAAAAUACCACAAAAAAAUAAAAUAUUAAAAAGUACAUUUAUCCUAAUUAUCGAUAUUAAAGUGCACUAUUUUUAUACAACAACUGAAUUGUUUACAAUAGUGUCUCUCCAAAUGCCAAUGUGUGUUAUAGCACUAUCUUGUUCUAGAGUAUGAAUCUAAUUCGAUUCAUGCUUCAAUCCAUCCAAAUAAUUAGUUAUUAAUAAUUUUUUCAUGCCAAUGUGUGUUAGCAUUAUCUUGUCCUAGAAAAUCAAUCUAAUUCAAUUCAUACUUCAAUCCAUCCAAAUAAUUAGUUCUUAAUAAUUUUAUUCAUGUGAAAUGAUAAAAAGAGAAAUAUUUUAAAUUAAAAUUCAAAUUAUCAAAUUCGCGGGUAUUAAAUUUUGGCGGGCAUUACAAAUUUAAAAUUUAAUUUUGGUACUUAGAUUGGUAGGUAUUACGUUUGAGAAAAAAAAUAUUUGAGAAAAUGUUUGGAUAUGUAAUAAAUUUAAUUUUACAUAUUAUGUGAUUAGCGGAGAUAUUACGUGAUUGGCGGGUAGGGCGUUAGAUAAGAGAUAAAUUUAGUUUUACGUAUUACAUGAUUGUUCGGUAGAAAAAAAAUUUGAAAAAAGGAUAUUUUUGCCAACAAAAAUAACAGAUACUUUUAUUUUUAUUCGUUGGAUGAGAUCCAAUGGCGAAAACUUAAGAUCUAUAUUUGAGAAUAAAUUAUUAUUUGAAGAUUUAUUUAAAAUAGAUAAAAUAUAUUUUAUAUUUGAGAACACGGAGAAUAUUUUGGUGUUGAAUAUUUUGGUAAAAAUAUUUAAAAUUAUAUUUAAUUAACGAUUUUGUUUUGAUUGGGCGGGUAUUAAUUUUUUUAAAAAAUAUUCUAUGCUUUUACGACGCAUUAUUUAAAUAUUGAAUAUUUUGUUAAAAAUAUUUAAAAUUAUAUUUAAUUAACGAUUUAGUUUUGAUUUGGGGUAUUAAAAUAUUUUUAACAAUAUUUAACGCUUUUAUGGCGCGCCAAAUUUUAAUACUCGUCAAAAUUAAAUCUACUAUUUUAUUUAAGGAAAAACCUACUAUCAUAAAUUAAAAUUCAAAUUAUCAAAUUCGCGGGUAUUAAAUUUAUGCGGGCAUUACAAAUUUAAAUUUUAAUUUUGAAUACUACAUGUUGGCAGCAAAUAAAUUUAAUUUUACGUAUUACGUGAUUAGCGAAGGUAUUGCAUGAUUGGCGGGUAUUACGUUAGAUAAGAGAUAAAUUUAGUUUUACGUAUGGUGGGUAGAAAAAAAAAUAUAUGAGAAACGCGGCGUAGAUAGGAGAUAACGGAUAUAAAGGGUAUUUUUGUCAACAAAAAUGACAGAUAUUUUUAUUUUUAUUCGUUGGAUGAGAUCUAAUGGCGAAAACUUAAGAUUUAUAUUUAAGAAUAAAUUAUUAUUUAAAGAUUUAUUUAAAAUGAGUGGUUGAAAUUUACUGGACAUGACAAUAUUAGUAAAAAAGAUAGAGAUAUUUUUGGAAAGGAAAAAAUUUCAAAACUCACGCUUUUAUAAGUAGUAUAGAUAAGGAGGCAAAGUGUAUGUUUUUAAAUGACAGGGGAAAAGUGAAAAAUUGGGUCUUGACAGAAGGGUUUUCUGUAAUUUGGCCUUAAAAAUUUAUCAAAAUAUUAUUAUUUUUUUAUUGUAGGAUAAAAAUGAGACGACAAAUAAUAGUAGAAUACAAAUUAUACAUAUAUAAAAUAUAAAAAAAUUAAUUUAUCCCUUCAUUAUAUAUUUAUGGUUAAAAUUUUAAAUAUUAUUUAUAUGAUUUUGCACUUCUUAUUUUAUUGUCCUAUGAUUUAAAGUGUAUUCAUUUAAUACCCUGUAAUUUUAUUUUAUUUUAUUUUUUUAUUAUUCAUUCUAUUAUUUUUUUUCGUUAAAUUAAUAACAAAAUUAAAACUAAAAAAAUACUAAAAAGUAAAUAUUUAAUAACCCUAGAUAGAGUAUCUGAAAUUUUUUUUAUAUAAUAAUGAAGGAACUGAGGUAAAGAGAAAAAUAAAACUAUAGGAUACUAACUUGAUACAUUUUAAAUCACAGUAUACAAAAGUGAGAAAAUAUAAAACCACAGAAAUGAUAUUUGAAGUUUACUUAUUUUUUUUAAAGCAUAAUUAUCUAACUUUUGAAAGAAAAUAAUUUUUUAAAUAAUAAAUUUAAUAAUUUAAAUUUGGCCAAUUUGUAGAAAAAAUUCACAAGUUUUGAGCUUUUGCAAAACUAUGUCGACUUUUUCGAUUUUGCAAAUUCAGUCAAAAUUUUUAGUAAACUGACCAAAAUAUCAUUAUACCUUUUUCUCUCUCUUUUUUUUUUCUCGCGCUCUUUUUUUUUUUCAGUUGAAGAAGGCGACAGAGGCGAAGGCAAAAACGGUCCCCAUCGUCUCUGCACUUCACGCCCUCACCCUCACCCGUGCACCCCUCGCCCUACUCAACUCCAACCUCGCUGAGACCGUGUUGCGACCCUCUUUUUUUUUUCUUUCCGACCCUCCUCCACCGCCUCCACGGCCAUCUACAACGAUAACAAAAAUGGUAAUGCGUUCUCUUCCUCCGCCUUGCCCUCUACCUCCACUGUAGCGGAUUUUGCACCCACCAAACCCACUUCUGGGAACUUGCGUUCCCACCACCGCCACCGACGAUAAAGAGAAAGUAUUUCUCGGUGUCGAGAAGCUCGCCGGCGAGGGAGGGGGCACAUAGCCCACCCGCCUGAGAGGGUGGCAGCGAGCGCGGCCUUGACUGUAUCAGAGGCGAAAAGAGUGAGAAAUGCAUGGGAUCAUCUCUGUAUUAGCAAUUUUGUUUGUUUAAAACAAAAAAAAAAACUGAAAGACUAAAAAGUAGAGAAUAAUAAAGAAAACCAGAGAAAAAAAGAAGAAGAAGAUGAAUUUGCACUGUUAAGAUUAAAUUGCACUGUUUGAAAAGAACGUUGUACUAUUAUGGAUGUAAGUUGUACUAUUUUAAAUGUAAACUGCACCAUUUGAGAUAAAAAUUAUAUAUACUUUUUAAACGAAAUUUGCACUCUUUAAGAAAUAUUUACACUGUUCUUCUCUUGUUACACUCUUUGAUGUGUAAACCGUACUUUUUAAAAUAAAAGUUACACUCUUUAAACGAAAGUUGCACUCUUUAAGAGAUAUUUACACUAUUUCUCAUAUUAAAGGGUGCAGUUUACACAUCAAUACAUUAAUGGUGCGUUUGCGUUUGGUUUGAGUUAUCUUGGCAGGAUUACAAGCAAUCCUGCCAGGAUUAUUGUGUUUGGUUCAUCUGUUAUGUAAUAUAGUCGUUAAUGUAGCAUUACAAAUCGAGCAGGAUUAUACCGAAAAUAUUAACGAGAGGGCGGUCGUGUAUUUUGCAUUACUAAAAAUCGGCAAUAAUACAUAUUAUAUAAAAUGACAAAUUUAUCCUCCAACACCCCUAAAUCCAAUUAACAAUAUUGUUUUCAUCUCUCUCUCACGCCCUCCCCCUUCUCUCUCGCACGCCGCUCUCUCUCUCUCGCACGAACACCUAUCAUCUUCUGUUAUUGUAUGAUUUUUAAUUAUGUAUAAUGAUCUUUUUUUUAUUUAUUCUUUUAUGGGUUGAAAUUAAUUUUUUGCAACAUUAAUUUUUUUUCAUGUUUGAUCUUUUUAUUUUAUUACUUAUUAAUAUAAUUAAUUUACUAAUGCAAAUUAUAUUUUUAAAAAAUAUUAUUCAAAUGACCACAAUAAGAGCAAUUUUGGAAAAAACUAUAUUUUUAUGUCAGAAUUACUAAAUUUUAUAGACUGAACCAAACGUAGUAAUACUAUAAAUACUGCAAUCUAGUAUUACAUUACUGCAUUAAACCAAACGCGAUCAGCAACAUCAGUAGUAUCUCACACCGAAAUUUAAGAUACCUAGAUAUGUUGAGAUACUCUGUAAUAUUACAUAACUCGAACCAAACGCGCCAUAAAGGGGAAAUAGUUCAACAAGAGAAAAAAUAGUGUAAAUAUCUCCUCAUAAAGAGUACAACAAGAGUAGAAAUAGUGUAAAUAUCUCUCAAAGAGUAUAACUUUCGUUUAAAAAAUGUAACUUUCAUUUUAAAGGUGCAGUUUACAUCUCAAAGAGUGCAACAAGAGUAGAAACAGUGUAAAUAUCUCUAAAAGGGUGCAACUUUCAUUUAAAGAGUGUAAUUUUCAUCUUAACGGGUGCAGUUUACAUUUAAAAGAGUGCAACUUACAUCCAUAAUAGUGCAACGUUCUUUUAAAAUAAUGUAAUUUAAUUUUAAUAGUGCAAUUUCAUCUUGUUCUUCUUUCUUCUUUAGUUUUCUUUAUUAUUCUCUAAUUUUUGGAUUUUUAGUUUUUUUUUUUGUUUUAAACAAACUGUUAAUCCAGAGAUGCUCCCAUGCAUUCCUCGCCCUCCUGGCCUUCGACACUGUCAAGGCCGCGUUGGCCGCCGCUCUCUGGGGUAGGCGUAUGGGCCGCGUGCCCCCUCCUUCGCCGGCGAGUUUCUCUGUGUCGAGAAGUGCUUUCUCUUUAUCGUCGGCGGCAGCGGUGGGGACGCGGGUUCCGAAAAGUGAGUUUGGUGCUUGCAAAUCCGCUAUCGCCGAAGUGUAACUAUUUUUCUCCCUAUUCCUUGCCGGCGUGCUUCUCGGCCUCGAGAAACACUUCCUCUUUGUCGCCGGCGGCGGCAGUGGAGACGGUGGGUUUAUUUGGCGGGUAAAAAAUUCACUGUAGUGGAGAUGGAGGGCGAAGGCGGAGGAAAAUGACGCGUUACCGUACUCGUUAUCAUCGCAGAGGGCCGCGGAGGUGGUGGAGAAGGAUCGAAGAGAAAAAAAAAGAGGAUCGUAGCGCGGCUUCGGCGGAAUCGGAGGCGAGUAGGGCGAGGGGUGCGCUUGCGAGGGUGAGGGCGUGAGGUGCAGAGACAAUGGGGGCCGUUUCUGUCUUCGCCUCCGUCGCCUUCUUCGGUGAGAAAAAAAAAACGCGAGAAAAAAAAGUAAAGAGAAAAAUAUAUAAGGAUAUUUUCAUCAGUUUACUAAAAAUUUGGACUGAAUCUGUAAAAUCAAAAAAGACGGUUCAGUUUUGCAAAAGCUCAAAAUUUAUGAAUUUUUUAUACAAAUUAACCUUUGUAUUUUAUAAAUAUAUAUAUAUAUAUAUAUUAUUUAAUAUUUUUAUACAGCGCCAUAUAAAAUCAUCCAUCAAUUAUAAUACUUUACAUAGUUCCAAAGGGGCGCUUAGUAGCGAGUGGCAAAGGUGGCCCAGCCACUUCCAAAUUUCCAAUGCCGUGGCACAACACACUCAAAAAAAAAAAAAAAAAAACUUCGCUUUCACCCGCCUCGGUUCACACCAAACUGUGUCUAUAAAUUGAUCCAAACAACACACAAAAAAAAAAAAAAAAAAACUUCGCUUUCACCCGCCUCGGUUCACACCAAACUGUGUCUAUAAAUUGAUCCAAACAACACACACUAUGCGUACGCACAGCUUGAUCGAUCGAUCGAUCGAUCGAUUAGCCAUGGCGAAUUCUUUUCUUGCAUUCGCCACCACCCUACUACUUCUUCUAUCUGCUGCUGCUGCCGUCGCGUCAGGACAUCGGACCAGAUCCUGCCGCGUGAGCGGCCGCUUACACGGCAAGUCCGGCAAGUGCAACCGCGAAAACUACUCGGACUGCUGCGUGCCGGGCAAGCUCUACCCGCAGUACCGCUGCUCCCCUCCGGUCACCGCGCGGACCCCCGCGACCAUGACGCUGAACAGCUUCGCCAGGGGCGGGGACGGCGGGGGCCCGUCGGAGUGCGACAACAAGUACCACCCCGACCACGAGAUGGUGGUCGCGCUGUCGACCGGCUGGUUCGACCGCUCCAGCCGCUGCCUCAAGAACAUCCGCAUCGCCGCCGCCAACGGCCGCUCCGUGCUCGCGAAGGUCGUCGACGAGUGCGACUCCGUGCACGGCUGCGACGAGGAGCACGACUUCCAGCCGCCGUGCCCGAACAACGUCGUGGACGCCUCGCCGGCUGUGUGGAAGGCGCUCGGGAUCCCCAAGAAGGUCGGCGAGCAUCGCAUCACCUGGUCGGACGUUUGAUCUCCCAUUUGAAGUACAUCGAUCGACCGACGAUAAGAUUAAUAAUUGAAAAAUAAAAAAAAUGGGGAACGUUUACGUACGAGUUUAAUAUGCGCUAUGUGUAUGAGUGUGUCGCAUGGAUGCAAGAUCAACGUCUGUGUUGUCACGUAUGUGCAUGCCGCAAUUUAGUCUACCUUUCGAGGGCCAAAUUACAAUAAAAAGAAUAUUAAUUAAGUGAUAAAUUGGCGGUUAAUUAGAGUUUUUCUUUUUUUUUUUUUUUUGUUGCGCUGUUCAAAUUCUACAACUUAAAUUGAAUCAAUUGGUGAUCAAUUAUCAAAAAUUUAUAUGUUUAUUAAAAAAUUGAGCUUUUGUAUUUUUAAACGUACCAAGCGGCAUUCUAAAGUAGAUUAGCGCUCACUAAUAAAUUUGCUGCAGCAAUAUUAAAGUGGAAGAAAUAAAAAUUUUCAUUCAAAAUUUGAUUAAUUACAAACUUAUAAUCAAAUGACUUAAAUAGAAAAAGAAAAUUUAAGGUUUAGAAAAAUCCAGCUCAAAUACAUAUUCUCCCGCACAUUCACCGGACAUGUGCUCUUAAAAACUGGUUAGUAUGAACUCCACAAUAUAACUCACUACUUACAUAAAUUAAGCUACAAUAUAUUAUUUACGUGACUUAGUCAAUUUAGCCACUAUUAGCACUACUUGACCCACCGCUGGCAUAAUAAUAAAGACCACACUAAAAUUAUAAACAAAUUUGCAUCAUUUUCCAACAAAACUGGCUCUCUCUUUUUUUUUCAUAAGAAUAUGACUUUUUGGUGUUAUUUUAUCUAGUAAAAUAUUAUUUCAAUCAAUUAACUAUAUUCCUUUCCAACUCAUUGACUUAUCGCAAGAAGAGAUAUAUACACUUGAUCUAAAUUGUAAACAUUUUUUAAGUGAAGUAUAUAUGUUGAUUUAGUAAACUUGGAAAGGGUUUUGUGGUGCCCCUCAAUAGAAUCGACAGGAAUUAUUCACUGGAGAAUUUCUUGGACCAAUGAAGGCCCAGAUAUGAGAUUCAGCUUGUUGGUAUCCCACUUGCCAGUUUAGAGAAGUGUCUGAUACUUUGCUUUGUUAAUGCCACCUAACUCUUUUAUAUCAACACGUUACGGUCACCAUCAACAUCUAUUACAUCUAUUACAUAAUAUGAAUUCUCAAUACUUUUGCCACGUGGCACCCCCGCCCUCACCCUUCUACUCCCAUUCCCUUCUUUUCCCAUUAUUGCUAAUUGUCACAUCCAAUAAAUAAAUAAAUUUAUUAAUUUUUUAAUUAAAAUUAAUAAUCCUUCACUAUCUAUUUGGGGCAUUUAGGGGGUGUUUGGCCUAGCUUUUAAAAAGCGCUUUUGGGCUGAAAAGUGAUUUUCGGCUCAAUAGAGCGUUUGGUAAUUCACUUUUAAAAUCUGAUUCUGCUUUUUAGAAUCAGAAAACUGAUUUUGAAGGCCUCAGAAUCAGAAGCAGAAAAAAACUGCUUCUUGAAAACUGAUUCUGAUUUUGGAUUUAAACUUCAAAAUUUUAUUUUUAUUUUAGUUUUAAUAUUUAAAUUUAAAUUUAAUUUUAAAUUUUAAAUUUUAAUUUUCAGAUUCAUUUUAAAAUUUUUAAAUUUUAACUUUUAAAUUUUAAAAUUUGAAAUAUAGAUUUUAAAUUUUAAAUUUUAAUUUUAAAUUUCAAAUCUCAAAUUUUAGAUUUUAAAAUUUCACAAAUUUAUUUCAAAUUUCAAAUUUCGAAUUCAAAUUCAGAUUUUAAAAUUUCAUAUUUCAAAUUUCAAAUUUUAAAUUUCAAAUUUCAAAUUUAAAAUUUAAAAUUUAAAAUUUUAAAUUUAAAUUUCAAUUUUAAAUUUCAAAUUUUAAAUUUAAAUUUCAAAUUUGACAAUUUAGAUUUUAAAUUUAAAUGUAAAAAUUUAAAAUUUUUAAAUUUUAAAUUAUAAAUUUUAAUCUUCAAAUUAUAAAUUUCAAAUUUUAAAAUUAAAAAUUUAUAAAUUUUAAUCUUCAAAUUAUAAAUUUAAAAUUUUAUAAUUUAAAAUUUAAAUUUUAAGUUUAAAUUUUAAAUAUUCAAUUUUUAAUUUUUAAUUUUAAAUAUUCAAAUUUUAAAUUUUAUAUUUUAAAUUCAAAUUUUAUAUUUUUAUUUUAAAUUCAUAAUUAUUUUAAAUUUUAAAUUUUAAUUUUAAAUUUUAAAUUUAAAUUUAAAUUUUAAAGUUUAAAAUUAAAUAUAUUUUUAAAUUAAUAUGCUUCAAUAGCUUUCAAAAUUUUAAUUUUACAAACAGCUUUUAAAAUCACUUCAGAAAAAAUCACUUUAUCUAAACUCCGCCAACGCUCUAUAGCUUUUAAACAAAAUCACUUCUCCAAACCAAAAUCACUUUUUCAGAAAUCACUUUUUUCAGAAGCUAGGCCAAACAGGCCUUAUUUCCCUCAUUUUUACCUCUUACGUUACAUCCCUCCACUACCUAUAAUAAAUAAUUUACUAAUUUUUUAAUUAAAAUUAACAAUCCUCCACUACAUAUUUGAGACAUUCAUUUUCCUUCAUUUUUACCCUUACCGUUACAUCCCUCCACUACUUAUUUGAGGCAUUUAUUUUCUUUCAUUUUUAUGCCUAUAUAAUUAAUUAAAUGCCUACUUUCAAUGAAUGAUCCUUCAAUGUAAUUGACACUUCUUCUCAUAUCUUGGUGAUCCUUUUACUGUCUACAAUUAGUUAGUAUUUUGGGUUUCUUUUUAAGACUUCUAAAAUUGAGUUUUUAUUAUUGUUGUAGUAUGAUAGUUGUUUAUUAAUUUACUUCUUUGUUAUGUGAAAUAACAUAUCUUCUAUAUAUUGUUCUAUUUUUGUUUAUUGCUUCUGCUAAUUUAUAAAGGCAAAUUUGUGACUUUAUUAUUUCCAGCAUACCUAAAUUUGAAAUGUGUAGCUGUUAUAGUAUUGAGUUUAAUCUUUAAGUAGUCUGGUUUUUCAUUGUUAUAAAUUGAGAUCUCUAUAUAUUAGUUCAAAUAGAUUUACAAUAAUUACAAAUUAAUUCAAAUUCCGCUUAGUUAGAGUCUUUUCUUAUUUUUUGCGUCAGAUUUGUUUCAGUGAAAUUUCUUAUUUAAUAGGGACAACAGUUAAAUUAGAGUUUUUCUUUAUUUUUUGCAAUAGAGUCUUUCCUUACAACUGAAAAAUUAAAAAAUUUUGAAUUUCUUUAGUUAGUAUCUUUCCUUAAUUUUUGCAUUAAAAUUUCUUCAGUGGCAUUUUUUAUUUAGUAUGGAAAAUAAUUUACUCUUGAGUGAAAUAUGAGGUUUAUAUCGUCUGUCCUUAUAGACCAUAUACAUCAGAAAUAUCUUUCUUAGAAAAACUGUCCCAUAAAAAUUUUGCCAUAUAUUAUAUGAUUAAGUGUAUAGCAUAAAUGUUUGUUUAAAUUUUUUUGAGAUGUCAACAUUUUAUAUUUUUCCACUGAGAUGCUAUAUUAAAUAAGAUUUGAUCUUCACAUUUUUCAGUUUUUUUCACAAAUAAUUCAGAAUAUGAACUUCUCAAAUGAUUUUCAAGUUAGUGAUAUUUGGCUUGGUUUCUAAAUAGUUUCUCUAUUCAUAUAUAGAAAGAAGAACAACAUGUAUCAAAAGAUGUAUAGUCAAAUGAGAUAAUAAAUCAGUACAUAUUUUACUCUAUUAGUAUAUUAUUCAUUCUUUAUUCUGCUGUAGCUGAUAAUAUAAUUAGAUAUGUAAAACUUUAAUUGAUUAAUUUAUACAGUUAUAUUGUAAGUAGUAAGUAUAGAAAAAUAUUUGUUUUCUUAUUGUAGAGACACAAUAAUUUGUAACAGAAAAGACUAAGAAAAAUAAUACUCUAGAGCUUACUAAGGAAAAAAAGAAUAAAUAAAAACUAUAAUUUUACUACAACAAUAGCUACUCGCUACAACGUGCGAGUACCUGCACUAUCUUAAUUAAUUUGGCGUUUCAAAGAUUAAUUAGCAGAGGAUUUAGUUCUUGGAAAAAUACCAGAAAGAAAAGACGGAUAUAUCUAUAUAGGCAUAUAAAACUAAAUAAAUAUCAAUAUCCAGAAUCAUUAAUAUAUAGAAUAGAAGUUAACUUAUUAUGGAACACUAUAUAGAAGAAAUUUUUGAUCAAUUCGUGAAAUUCUUGAUUAAUCUGCGGAAGCGAGAACCCCAGUAACAAUAUGAAUGUUACCACCUUUUGUCUCAUACACUUUUCUAUAUAAUGCAUAUGAGAAUGUGCCUAAACCAAUAUCUCUUUAUAUAGAGUCUGGAUCGACUUUCCAUAAAAGUCUGAUUAAGAUUCUAGCUAAUUUAAAUAGAUGGGAAGGAGUUAUGAUAUACCAUAUCAAGCAAUUUUAUAUCUGCGAGCAUUGACAUUCUAUUUAUAGUAAAUUUGGAUUUGAAUAUAAUUAACUGUGCCAUAUUCAUGAAAAUCCUAACAAAGACUACAUAGUAAAUAAAAAAGCAUGGCUUCAAAUUUUGUAAAUCUCAGGUUGUUGUUUUCAAGUUAGGAAAAAACCUACAGAAGUUUUAUUAAGGGUAUUUUUUUGCAUUUAGUCCCUUAAUUAACAAUUUUUUUUUUACAAAUAGUCUUAUAAAAUUUAUAUUUGCAAAAUUAAUUGAUUCUGUCUUUGCUAUGUAAGCACCAUGCAAGCGCCAUAUUGGUAGUCAAGUUUAAGUUAAAUACGGCGAAUCAUUUACCAUAUUUAAACACAGUGAAUAGUUUUUCGUGUUGAAGCAUUAUGUAUAACUGCCCUUUCGCACGAUCUCUCUGGACUAAUUUUAUAAAUAUAAAUUUUAUGAAGCUAUUUGUUAAAAUAAAAAAUUUGUUAAGUACGUAGCUAAAGGCAAAAAAAACCUUUUUGUGAAGAUACAAAUUAAUUAAUAAUAGUUAUUAUAGAGAAUGACGAACAACUGUCAAAAAAUAAUAGGGAAUAAUAUAUAUUGUGAUAGAACUUACUGUAAAGUUUUUAAAUUUACAAAUUACAAAUAAACACUUGGUAUGACAAAAUUUUGUACGUUAUUUGGUUUAUAGCUGUGGUUUUAAAUUAGCUUAAACCAGUUCGGAAUAUUAGCGUCAAGUGCACAUAAACUAUAUAUAGUCAUGAUCCUUCUAAUCUAAUUUGUAACAUUCUAAUAAAACAAAAAAUAUAUAACAAUAAAUAACAAAAUAAUAGGACAAAUCAAAUCAAAUUAACUAAUAUGGAUAAAAACCUGUAUAACAUAAUUCUACUAUUAUGGAUUCAUAUAUACUUGUCUCCAAAAUAACGAGACGCAUAUUUGGUUCAGCUCAGUUAACCAGUACCAAAAAUUAGUUUUUCAAAAUCAAAUACAGGUGUGUUUUUUUUUUGGUUCAGUUAAUCAAUUUUUUGGCUCGAUUUUCGUUUAGCGCGGUUUAAUAUUUGAUUUUUUUUUUUUUUGAUGCAGAUUAACACCCCAAUUAAUGUAAAAAUAUAAGAGAAAUGCUACUAGGAGUAAAUUUUAUAUUUAACCCAUUCAAAAGUUUAGAAUUUUUUGGGGGGGAUUUUGAGUAUUAAAAGAAAUAAAAAUGUGAUAAGAUUAGAUUAGUGUGGAAAAAUAGUCCUUUGGAUCGAGAGAUGUAAAAGCUUCAAAUACCGGAUCCUAUAUUCUUUUUUCAAUCCCAAUUAACUCAAAUGUAAAUUAAUUUAAAAUAAUUAUUUUUCUCUAAAAAUUUAAGUUGUUAUAAGCUCCCAAAGUGUCAUGUGAUCACCAUUUGGACAAUCCCAAAUUUAAUUUUUAUGUAGCUUAAAGCCAACUUUCCAGUAAUGAUUGUUUAUAGUCAAAUUCAAAAAAUCUACGACAACUCAUUAAUUUAGGCUUCGUUUGAUUCGGGAUUAAAUAAGAACUGUUUAUUUCAGGAAUAUGUACAAAUUCACGUAUAAGCAAGAACUAUGCUAAUUUUACGUUUGUGUAAAAAUUAAAUUGUUUCCGAAAAUAAAAAUAUAGCGUUAGGAUAGUUAAAGCGGAAUAGUGAAAAUAAGAAUAAUUAUAGUUUUAAAAUAAUAAUAUUUUAUCUAAUUAAUUAACAUAAAAUAUUAAAUAAAAAUAUUUGAUAAAUUAGUAAAUUUAUUAGCUAUGAAUAUUGCAAUAAAUUAAUAAAUAUAAAUAUUAGUUAAUUAAUACAUUAAUUAAUUAAUUAUAAAAAAUAAGUUAGCUUCUUAAUUAGUUAGUAAAUUACUUUAGUAAGGUAAUUAGUUAAUAAGUUAUGUAAUUAAUUAAUAUAAAAUAUUAAUUAACUAAUUAAUUAAUUAAUAGUUAGAUAGUUAGUUAAUAAAAUAAUUAGAUUGGUCAAAUAUUAUUAGAUUAAUUAAAGAGCUAAUACAAUAAUUAAAAUUAUAUUUACUUUAAUUAGCUUAUUCUCAAGUUGGAACAAGCUUGUUCUUCAAAACGACCGGAACAAUUUCUAAUCUUAUACCAGCUUAUACCAACUUAUUCUUUGAAAUCGAGAACUGUUGUUCUCGAACUCUCCACAUAGUAUUUGGUUACAAGUGGGAGAAUAAGAAGCUAUUGGCCCACCUAUUUUUCAACCAAAUGCCCCAGUGUAAUGUAUUUUUUGACUUCACUUGAUCCAAAUUGGAUCUAAUUGGUCUUAUCAGAUCAAAUCGAGAACUCAAACUCAAUCCAUACAAAUAUAUAAUUUGAUGGUUUUUGAGAGCUUACGUGUCGGGCUCUUCUUAAUUUCACUCCUCUGUUAAGCCUCUCUCUUUCCUAACUAUAUCUUUACCUUUUCACCUCUUCAAGAAGCCUUUUCACAUUUUCAAGAUGUAAUAAUUCUUCUCACCUUUCUAAGAGGUCUUUUCAUCUUUCCAAAAAUAAUAAUUCUUCUCUCAUUCCCAAUGAGCCUUUUUACCUUCCCAAGAGACUUCUUUAUCUUCCCAAGAUGUAAUAAUUCUUAUCACUUUCCCAAGAGGCAUUUUCACCUUUCUAAAGGUAAUAUUUCUUCUCACCUUUCUAAGAAGCUUUUUUACCUUCCCAAAAGACUUCUUCACCUUCCCAAGAGAUAAUAAUUUUUCUCUUUGUAUAACUCUCUCUUAGGCAAUGACAUUCUACAUCUUCUUAUAAACAAUAAUCCUAUACCACACAGAAUAAUUACUGAGCUUUUAGAGUUUGGAGAAAGCUAUUUCAAAAGCUUUGCUCAAGUUCUCUUCCUCCUUCUCCUUAGGUUAGCUGUCAUGUUCCUUCCAGCUCUGAUCGAUUCAAAGUGUUGGUCAUGGCUGGCCCAAUCUACAACCACAGCACUGCAAUCCUGUCCUACGAUCAAUUUAUUUUUAUUUAAAUUAAUAUCCUUCCACAUAUUUCACUUAGUUUUUUUUUUUCCAGUUCAUGGCAAAAUGUCCAACAAAAAUGCUUCAGAAUAUUAUCUUUUUUUUUAAUCUAUAUUUUUGAUUCAAACAGUUAAUUAUUUUCUAAAUGUAUAAAUAUCUAAUUGUUAGUAUAUUUAUUUUAUAUUGAUUUGUAUAAAAAAAAAAUUUAUAGAGAAUAAGAGUUGAACUACCUCAUACUUACCUUUGCAUUUAUUAUCGAAAUGUUGAUGAAAUGCGGAUUUUUAUUUGACUUGAGAGAUCCUUUCCGCUAUAAUAUUUAACUAUCAUUUAUUUAACUACCAUGUAAUUGAUUACUAAUGUGUAGUUUAUGCAAAAUUUUCAAUAAAAUAUAAUGUGAGAUCCCUGGUGUUCAGCUGUAGAGGCUUGUCGGCAGCUCUGGAGAGUGUCGGGACAAGUUCGAGUCGCGUUGGCGUCAAAUAGACGUAAAACGGACUCCGUGCGACGCGAGGGCAGCUUAUAGCGAAGAAAUUUGCAAAACUGCAGGUUUCUCUGCUUGCUGUACCGGUACAACCAGCGUGGCUGUACCGGUACAACCAUCGCGCAGAGGCUUAACAGCUCUCGGGUUGGCUCUUGUAUCGGUACAAGAGCCCGUGUACCGGUACUAGGAGGUAGGUAGAGGGCUAAUUUAGUAAUUCUCUCCCUCGUUUGUAUCACCACUCCACCUACUUCUUUAUAUAGGCAUAGAGAGCUUGAGAGGGAGUUCUAUUGCUGCUCCUUCUUCCCCUCUCCCUCUCUAGCUUGGUUCGACCGUGGAGGAGUUCGGUUGGAGCUCGGAUUCGACACCGACGUCGCGCCGCGAAACCGUUCGGGGAUACGGUUGGGAUCGUAGCGCUGCGAGGAAGCUAGGCGAGGGUGCGUUUUCGCCGUUCUCGACGCCGUGUCGCUGACCGAUUAGCCGUUGAGGUGAGCGUUCCGUUGCGUUGCUUCAAGUAUUGACAUUUCGAGCUAGGUGCUGUUUGCUGAUUCCUAUCGUCGACCGUUAGUAUUUCAGCUCGUUCUCGAUGUAGGAGCAUCGGAUUGCGACGAGACUUGGUGCGUUGGAUUCGGGACUCCGAGAGAAAUCCACGAAGCCCUUACUUGCGAAUUUUGGUGAAGGUUAGCUUGGUCGAAAUCCUUCUCUUCUCUACUGCUGUGGAUUUUGGACUGAAUUGAGGAAUUUUGAUGUUUUUAGUUGAAGUUAGCUCGAUUUCGAGGCUCGGGUGUUUUUGGUCGAUCCAGCAGGUGGUGUCGCAGCCGAGGGGGUUCAGUGCUGCCAGGGAUUAGCGUGCGAGGUGGGUUACAUCGGUUUUGACUCCUAAGCUCAUAAUCGUCAACAUGUAUAGAUCUCGAUUUUGAUAAUUUAGUCUAGCUCGAAUUCAUGGAUUAUAUGAUAGAAUGCAAAUCUGAAUUUGGAGCAUGUGGUAAUAAAUUAAGUAGAUUAUAUAUGUUGGACUUGGAAACUGAAUUAGGAGAAAACCUGCGAUUUGGACCUGUCACUUGAUUAAACUGUCUGAUUUAGCUCUAGGAGCUGUUAUUAAAUUGUACUGUCGCAAUAUCUUCGAGACGAGUACUCCAGAUAGUUUAGAAUAUAUCUACACUCGUGCUGGUUCGCCGAGAGGAUUUUACAGGGUCGUUCAGGCUGUUCCGGACUGUAGGGUGCCGCUGAGGUUGACGGUGGACCCGUAUCGCCUUUUUGGCGUCUGAUUGUGCCGAGGGCACGUUACUUGUUGGUUGUUAGACCAGUUAGAGUCGAUUUCUUGACUUUGGCUUUUCAGAGCCUGUUUGAGCUCGACAGAGAUACGCUGCAUACUUGGUUGGGUAGCGCCCACGAGUGCCACUCCGGAGUCAGGCUUUGUGCUUUCGCGUUGGUGUCGCUCAUGCCAGUUGGACAUGCUCUCCACGGACCAGUUAGUGUGGAUAGAGCUUGAUAGUCGCAACGGGGCAGGGACGGGUGUAUUCACAGUCCCGGGAACGGGUAUGCUUACAGUCCCGAGUUGAUUGGGUCAGAGUUGACAUUUCCUACAGUUGGUUAGUGUAAAGCAUGAUAGUGUAGUGAUCGAUAGCGGUAGAGUUUAUUUCCUGCUUUUCUGACUACUCUUGCUCCCUUCUGUAGACUUAGUGGGUGGACCGAUGUUGUUUUGGGCGGUACCCACUGAGGACUACUUGCUUUUGCAGUAGUUCUCACGCCCAGUUGUUACCUAUGUUUUUGCAGAGCCACAGGUUCCGGCUGCUGCACGGUCCGCGGACCAGGGUCGAGGUAAGGGCGUCGCGGGUUAGAGCCCUACCCGACGUGCUGAGCUAGAGGUGCCCCUACUACAGGUAGAUGUUUUGUUUCGAGUCUAUGUACAUAGUUGACUUAACUCGCCAGUGCGAGUAGCUCAGUAUUUUGGAUUUGAACUAUGUAUAUGAAACUCUGUUUGUUUAGCUUCUGUUUUCUCUAGCAGCUCUCUACUGCUGUUCGUAGUAGUGUUUGAUUUACAGGUAUAGCUGUCGCUUCGUAUACAGGAAAAAAUUUUUUGUAUACUGCGGAUUUGUCGGCGUGCCCGGGGAACGUGUAAUCCGGGGCGUGACAAUAUAGUUAUUUAAUUUUAUGGCGAAUUUUUUUUUAGUGUAAACUUUUAAUAUUGAAUUGAUAAAUGUUAUGAUAUUGAAAAGAACAAUAUUAAUAUUUUUUCUAAAUGGAACAUGCGUUAAAUUUUUAAUUUUUAAUUUUUAAUAAUUAUAUAUUUUAAUUUUUAUUAUCAUUUUAAAAUAUAUAUUAAAAUAUUUCGUAAUCAUUUAAGGUAAAAAUUACAUAUUGUCAUUCCAUAUUUUUUUUCUCUUCUUUUCCUCCUUUUUCGUAAUUAUAUAUAAUAAUUCACAUCAAAAUAUUAGCGUCAAAACUGGUUUAAAGUUUAUAUUAGAAUAUUAGCAUCAAAAUUGACCGCAACAAAGCGCGGUUGAACACUAGUUUGUGUUAAUACUACACUACCAACACUACUUAAAAAGAGUUACUGAUGUACAGUUAAAACUAAUUAUAUAGAGGUGAGGAUAUUUGAUAGAUGACUCCUAUAAGUUUUUUGAGAAGCAUUGAUAUUCAGUUUCCUUCUAAUAUCUAAAUUUUGUUCAAAACUAAUAGUAGUUGGAAAAUUAAUUAACUCUAUAGGAACAAAAUAUUUGCCUUUUCUACUGUGGAAAUAGGCAGCAGAAAGCUUCCCCCAUAUGAAUAGCUUUCAAAGCACAAUGUGUAGAGAUCUUCCCCUAUAUCAAUAGCUUUCAAAAGCACAAUGUGUUUCAUGUCUGUCCUGUGAUAACGUUUUGUAUAUAGUGUUCAUAAUUGUUGUGUGCACAAAAUAACACAAAAUGUGUGACUAAACCGCCAAGGACAAAAACUUGUUCUAGCCCUUUUUUUUAAUUAUUUUUAUAAAUUUUAAAUUAUUGUCCAAUUACAUUGACUGAGUUAAAACUUGACCCAAAUCAAUACAUUGGGUCCAUUCCAGUCCAAGUAAUUGCUUGCAAAUCAAUUUGAGACAUUAUAUCCUGUUCAAACAAAGUUAAUCCAACCACACUCAAAUACCAUGCAUAUUUCACAUGAGCUGUUUCUCCAACCCACUGUAAAGUUCAGAACAACAGUCAAAAAAAAAGAAAAAAAGAAAAAUUAUUGUGAUAGAACUCACUGUAAAGUUCAGAACCGAUAGUGAAUUUACAAAUUACAAAUAAACACUUGGUAUGACAAAAUUUUGUUCAUUAUUCGGUUUAUAGUUUGUGGUUUUAAAUUAGUUUAAAUCAGUUCAAAAUAUUAGUUAACUAGUUUUAGCGUCAAGUGCACGUAAACUAUAGUAAUGAUCCUUUUAAUCUAAUUUAUAACAUUCUAAUAAAAAGUUAUAUAUAUAUAAUAACAAUAAAUAACGAAAUAAUAAGACAAAUCAAAUCAUACUAUCUAAUAUGGAUUAAAACAUGUACAACAUAAUUCUAUUAUUAGAUGGAUCAUAUUUGACUCCAGAAUAUAAUUCUAUUAUAAAUGGAUCAUAUUUGACUCCAGAAUAAGGGCCUGAUUGGCGUAACUUUUAGAAAAGUGAUUUUUUCAGAAGUGAUUUUAGUUUUGAGAAUUGAUUUUGGUGAAAAGCUAUAGACUGUUUGGCUGACUUUAGAUAAAAGUGAUUUUUUUGAAGUGAUUUUCUAAAACUGUUUGGCAAAAAUUUUUUGAAGCUUACAUAUAUUAAUAUUUUUACUAAAAUUCAUUUUAAAAUAAUUUAAAUUUAAAUUUGAAUUUAAAUUAAAAUUUUAAAUUUGAAUUAAAGUACAAUUUUUAAAUUUCAAAUUUGUAAAAAAAUAAAUUUGAAAUUUUUCAAAAUUUUUUUAAAUUUAAAAAUUGAAUUUUUAAAUCUAAAUUUAAAUAUUUAAUUUUCCAAUCUAAAAUUAAAUUUUGAAUUUGAAAUUUAAAAUUUAAAAUUUGAAUUUCAAAUUUUAAAUUUAAAUUUUGAAUUUCAAAUUUCAAAUAUUAAUUUAAAAUUUAAAAUUUAAUAUUUGGAAUUUGAAUUUCAAAUUUCAAAAUUUAAAAUUUAAUUUCAAAACUCAAAUUUAAAAUUUAAAAUUUGAAAUUCAAAAUUUAAAAUUAAAUUUUGAAUUUUGAAUUUUAAAAUUUAAAUGUAAAAUUAAAAAUUUAAAUAUCAAAUUUCAAAUUUUAAAAUUUGAAAUUUAAAAUUAUAAGUUUGUAAUUUGAAAAUUAAAACUUGUAAUUUUAAAUUUUAAAUUUUCAAAAUUUUAAAUUUAAGUUUUUAAAAUCUGAAAUGUCAAAAUUUAAAUUUUAUCUUAAAUUUAAAAUUUUAAAAUUUUAAAAUUUUAAAUUUUAAAAUUUGAGAUUUGAAACUUAAAUUGAAAAUUUAAAAUCUAAAUUUUAAAUUUUAAAUUUGAAAAGUUGAGGUUUAAAAAAUCAAAUAUGAAUUUAAAAUUUUAAAAUUUAAAUUUAAUAUUAAAUUUAUACUUUGAAUCUAAAAUAAAAAUAAAAAUUUGAAGUUUCAGUCAAAAAUCAGAAUCAGUUUUGGAGAAGCAGUUUUUUUGUACUUCUGAUUCUGGAGCCUUCAAAAUCAAUUUUUCUGAUUCUGUAAUACAGAAUCAAAAUUUUCAUCUGUCGUUCCCAAACGCUAUACUGAGCUCAAAAGUGAUUUUGGGCUUAAAAUUACUUCUGAGAAGCCUGGCCAAACACCCCCGCUCAAUUAGCUGGUUUUUUUUUUUUUUUUUUUUUUUUGGUAGGUCAAAACUGUUACUGUACCAAAAAAGUGUUUUUCAACAUCAAUGAAAGGCCUCACCUACCUUUAUCGUGGUGUCAACUGGCUGGGGUUAUUCACACUUUUCGAAGAGCCAAGGCCCGAUUGGAGGAGAGACUGGGCCCAUUAAUGGUUAUUUAUAUUUUUUUAAGAUCCAAGGUCCGGUUGGAGGAGAGAUUAGGCCCGUUAAUGAUUCUCAGGGAGGGCCCGUCAGCCGCAUGAUGACAACUCCCUUUGGCCCGGGGCAUGUUUGGAAGGUCCUUGCACGCAUUGAAGGAGGGUGUCAACCUGGCCCACUCUGUUGGGUGCCCAGUGCUGGUUCGCUGCGGGGGCCCACCGACCUGAACCCAUGCUGUGCUUGCAGAUCGGGCCCCCUCGGAUCUGACCAGUAUUGGGGUCCCCAUGUUCACGGCCCGAUUGAAGGAGGCGAAGAUCCAGGGCCCGACGCGACGUGGGCUGAUGCUAACACCGAGAGGGGUUCGGGAGAAACCACUCUGGGGCCCUUCUUUUGCAUCAAUUCAGCCAACGAAGGCCCUGGCGGACCUCUUCGUUGUGCAGGCCAUCCUCGGGUUUCCAACCGUCUCCUCGCGGACGGCGUGGAGCGCAUCGCGAUGAACCCCGGCGGACCUUUUCGUUGUGCUGGUCAUCCUGGGGUUUUCAACCAUCUCCUCGUGGACGACGUCGAGCUCAACGCGAUGACCCUAGGACCCACUCACCAAGGCUCGCUCAACGGCUCAGGCCCCCAUGAACCGUAUCUGCACUCGGGACUCCCAGAGGGCCUCAUGGGUCCAGAUUUGUUUGUUGAAGGUGACGGCUGGGGGCCAGAGUCUCCAUUGGCCGGUGCACCUCUCGGAUCAGCUUCGAACGCCAUACACAGUGGCCCCGGGAACAUCCCAACCGUGGUCGGGGAAGCAGUGUUAUCCCCGUGCGAGUUGAGGGGGCCGACUAGAUUAAGUGCGCGCCUGCUGUCGUCGACAAAGGUCUCGGUGCUUGAGCGGGCGAAGCGCAGGAAAGCAACCCUCUUGGAAGGACAGGUAUCUAGUUCGACGACCCUUGCUCGUAAAUGGGAUAGCAAUAAGGUCAGGUCGAAAAGCGCUCGUUGUGGGGUGAAGCUCACGGCUACUGAUGCCGAAGAACUUCACAAGUUCAUGUUGCGUGGAUGAUCGGUUGUCCGACUGGUGUCGAGUUAAUGUCGGCUUUUGUGUGUGUCGAUUUAGCUCAUGUUUAAGAUAUUUACUUGGAAUGUUAGGGGUCUGAACGACCCGGUCAAGCGUCGUGGGGUCAAGUCUGUUGUUUCUAAACUUUUUGGUUCGAUCGUAUGUAUCCAAGAAUCGAAAGUAGACUCUGUUUCUCGUUCUUUCCUACGAUCGUGUUGCGGUUCAAGUUUCGACAGAUGCCACUUCAUUCCUGCUAUUGGGGCUUCUGGUGGUUUAAUUACCUGUUGGAACUCCAAAAGUUUCUUAUGUAUGGAAGCCAUUUUUCGUGAAUACUCGCUCACCCUAAAUAUGAAGCAUUCAGACAGCGGAAAGUGUUUUUACCUUACAAAUGUUUACGGGCCACCGACAUGGGACGGAAAAGAAGAGUUCUGUUCGGAAAUCCUCUCUCUGAGCGAGAUGUGUUCUAACAACUGGGUCAUUUGCGGGGAUUUCAAUCUAACUAGGAAUCAAGCUGAACGAGCUGAAAAUCCGUGGAGUUCUAGAGCGAUGUCAAUGUUCGUAGACCUAAUCUCGAACCUCGAAGUUAUUGACCUGCCUAUCUCCAACCAAAAUUUCACCUGGUCAAAUAUGCAGCGUACACCGACCCAGGCCAAAUUAGAUAGAUUUCUGGUAUCAACGGAAUGGGAUCAAAACUACCCGCACUGCAAGGUCUCUGCGUUGCCAAGGAUUACAUCGGAUCAUACCCCAUUAGUUCUUUCUACUGGGAUCCGUCCCACUCCGAGGAGAUUUCGGUUCGAGAGGGUCUGGCUCACUAAAGAGGAUUUCUCUAACAAAGUACCAAUUUGGUGGAAUGAGGUCAAUAAUAAGAAUUCGGCUAUCCUCACUUUGACGGCAAAACUGAGACACUGUAGAGUCAGGAUGAAGGAAUGGUGUAAGACGAAUUUCUAUAGUAUAGCCAACGCAAUAAAGUGUAUUCAGGAGGAAAUCCAAAGGAUUGAUAUUCAAGAGGAACGAAGCAUCCUAUCGCAGGAAAUACGAGAUAAACGGAUAGACCUCAAAUCUCAACUGCAGCUCAUACUCAAAGAGGAAGAAAUUCUUUGGAAAACGAGAGCGAAACAACACUGGCUGAAAGAAGGUGACAGAAAUACGAAAUUUUUCCACGCAGUGGCAAAUGGACGGAAGCGGAGUAAUAUGAUAGAGUUUAUUGAAGACGAUUCAGGUAGACAAAUCUUCAACGACAUUCAAAAGAGAUCAUAUUUUUUUCAGUCCUACAAACGACAGUUUGGAAGGGAGAAUGAAGGUCCUCCAUCAAGGGGGGAUUGGGGCGAUCUAUUUCGGCCGGACGUCUUAUCAGACCCGGAUGCCCUUACUGGUCCGUUUACAAUAGAAGAGGUUAAGAAAGCCACCUUCCAACUGGGAGGUGAUAAGGCACCUGGACCUGAUGGAUUUCCUAUGAUCUUUUUCCAACAGUUCUGGGAGACGGUUAAGGAGAGCAUUUUUAAUAUAUUCACAGACCUUUACAAUAACGCGCUCCAAACGGCCCCGUCAGAUUAUACAUACAUUUGUCUCAUUCCAAAAAAAGAAGAAGCGCGUAAAGUUAACGACUUCCGGCCAAUUUGUCUCAUUAAUGGAAUACAAAAGAUCAUAUCUAAAGUGCUGGUGAACAGACUUGCAUCCAUUUUGCCGACGAUAAUAUCUCCAUCGCAAUCGGCCUUUCUGAAAGGCCGUCUUCUAGCUGACUCUUUCGUUACUGCAAGUGAACUCCUCAAUUGGUGCGUAAAAGUCGGUAAAGAGUGUGUAAGCAUUAAGGUUGACUUCGAGAAAGCUUACGACAAUGUGAGCUGGAACUUCCUACAUAAUGUUUUCAGAUGGCUGGGUUUUAGUGAGAAGUGGUGGAACUGGAUUGAACAGUGUAUAUGUAACACAAAAGUCGCCGUAUUGGUAAACGGAUCGCCGACGACGUGGAUAAAAACAAGAAAGGGGCUCAGGCAGGGAGACCCACUUUCCCCCUACCUAUUCAUCUUGGUGGCUGACUGCCUUGCCAGGAUAACGGAAGCAGCAAGGAACAAUAACUUGAUUCAGGGGAUUGGCCCAACCACAAACUGUCAGGCAGUACUUCUUCAGUAUGCGGAUGACACUUUAUUCUUCUCAGAGCCUAAGAAGUCUGCAAUGCGAAAUAUGCUGUUCCUCUGGAAGAUGUUUGAAUGGGCUUCAGGACUUAAGAUAAAUACGAAUAAAACGGAAUUACUCUACUUGGGCCCUAACGUAGGUAGAGCUAACAGACUUGCUGAUAUUUUGGGUUGUAAAGUGGGUAGGCUUCCAUUUCGAUACCUUGGGUUGACACUCCACACCAGAGCACUGCGGAAGGAAGAUUGGGCUCCGAUUGUGAACCAUAUUGAGGCAUGCAUUGAAGGUUGGAAGGCAAAACUACUCUCUCAGGGGGGUAGACUUACUCUGGUAAACUCGGUGCUGUCGAAUAUACCGUUAUUCUACUUUGCAAUAUUCAAGGCGCCGCAAUGGGUUCUGAACCGUAUAGAAGCCUUGAGAAGAUCCUUCUUCUGGAAAGGAUGGCCCAAAAUUUCAGGGGGUUCAUGUCUAGUCGGAUGGAAAUCGAUAUGUAAAAGCAAAAAGGAAGGGGGAUUGGGGAUCAAGGAGAUGGAAGCAAUGAAUACGGCUCUAUUAACCAAAUGGUGGUGGCGUUUCUUCAAAGAGCCGCAGCUGCUUUGGGGGAGGUUGAUUAAAUCGUUAUACUAUACUAGAAGACGGCCGUUACACGAGGGAAGAGCCUUCAGACCAUAUUCCCAGUGGUGGAGAAGUGUGAUGAGAUGUCGAGAGGUAUUCAAAUGUGGCGUUUCGUAUGUGCUCGGUGACGGGAAAAACAUCAAACUGUGGUCAGAUAUUUGGAUUGAAGAAACCCCACUGAGUACUCAGUUCCCUGAACUCCAUUCCAAUAUUGUCAAUAAGGAGCUCACAAUUUCACAAAGCUGGAAUGAAAAAGGGUGGAGAUGGCGAUUGAUAACCAGAAGCCUCGAUAUAAAUACCGCUAGGGACAAUCGCCACCAAAUGAUGUUGUUCAAAAACCUACUCCCUCGAUAUUGUCCAUCGGACACACCAGACACAAUCAAAUGGAGAUGGACUGCGAAUCAAAUGUUUACGGUUAAAUCCCUUUACGAUUUCAUCACCGAUGCAGGUCAGAGAGACUCUAUGUACGUCCACCUCUGGAAGCUCAAGAUUCCGGACAAAAUCAGAAUAUUCAUUUGGAUCCUCCUUCGUAAGAGAUUGCUUACCGCGGACAGAUUAAUCCGACAAGGCCGCAAUGUCGAACAGUAUUGUAACUUUUGUGCACUAUUAGCUGAAACAUGUGAUCACCUAUUUCGGGAUUGUGUUUUCGUCAGAUACCUUUUAUUCAGUACGGGAUUGGCAGAUAUAAGCGAUUCGGAAUCAGGGGAUGUCCGCCGGCUUUGGUCAGAGAUAGGGUACAUCCGCAAUGCCGUGCUGCGAGAGAAAAAUCUAAUCCGUUUGGUGGCAAUCUGGUGGGUGGUCUGGACGGAGCGAAACAACAUUAUCUUUCGGGACGUGAGUCCCAACGCUACCAAGGCGCUCGAACGAGUCAACUCCUUGAAUAGAGACUGGACUAGAGACUGGACUGAGAUUCCUUGAAUAGAGACUGAACGCUUUUUUUUUUUUUUUUUUUUUUUUUUUUUUUCAGUUUAUCGGUCUUUCUUGUAUCCAUUCGGACCUUUUAGGAGACCCUAGCUGUCUCCAACUUGUACGCUUAGUUCAUUUCACUUAAUGAAUGAAGCAGGUAGCUUGCUACCUUAUUCUCAAAAAAAAAAAAAAAAAAAAAAAGAUUUGCAUUUAUGGAUCAUGGAACCUUGAUUCCCUAUUUUAAGCAAAAGCAAAGAUGGUGGCUAAUAACAGCAUGGAACUUUAUUCUAUUAUUAUUCUUUUACUUUUGAGCUUAUAACUAAAUUAUUUAUGAACAUAACUUUUGGCCUAACUACAAAAAGGAUCACUGUUUAUAAUUAAUCUUCUCAUUAUGAGAAAAUCAAAUUAACUAAACAACAAUAAUAUGCUCAUAAAAGAACAUAAAGUAGAUGAAAGAGAAUAUAUAGGAGAGAAAUUAAAGAAAAGCCAAAUGAAUUAAUUACCUGAAAUUUUUUUAAAAGUUAUCUGGUUUAUAAUACACAUUAUGAUUUAGAAUUGCAAUUGGGUCCAUGCUAUUGCCAACCAUAUACAUGUCAACCAAAGCCCUGCAUGAAAUAGAUUAUAAAAAAAUCAUUUAUUAGCUACAAUUUAUGAUAGAAUUUUGGUAAAAAUGUAUGAAGACCCAUCAACUUUAUGCCGUUCUGAAAUGGCCCCUUGAACUAUGAUUUUCUGAUUGAACCCCCUCUCAACUUUUGAUUUUUUUUUACCAAGUUAAUUAACAAGAACUGUGAUUUUUUUAUUGAGACCCCCUCAAUAGAAUCGAGUGAUUUUAGCUAAAUAAAUUAAAAAUUUACGAAAGUGAUCGCUAAUUUUAUCAAAUUUAAUAGUUUAAACUAAUUUGUAGCGAAUAAAACUAGAUUAUAUAAUGCUUAUAACUAAUUCAGUCAUGAAAUUCAACAAAAAUGUUUAACUAAAUUGACUAUAGAAGCUCAAACUAAAAUGACCCAGAAAUUAAAGUGUCAAUCAAAACAAUUAAACUUGGAAGCUGUAUUUCAGAUUGCCAUAUAGUUGAGGGGUCUCCAAACAUUUCCACUGAGAAUUUAAUAAAAUAAAAUGCUGAAAAGCCAUUUUAAGGCUAUUAGUAUUUAACCCAAUUUUGUCAGAUUCUGAGUCUGGAAAGUUCUGAAAAUAAAAUAAAAAAUAUCUUAAAAAAUAUUAAAAAGGCCAAAAUGGUUUUAAGUGUGUGUGUGUAUAUAUAUAUAUAUAUAUAUAGAGAGAGAGAGAGAGAGAGAGAGAGAGAGAGAGAGAGCGCUAGGCUGCUAUAGUAUCGAUAGUACGGACGCUUCCGUGCUACCAAAUUGUUUUCAAUGAUGCCGCUUCCAAAUCGACGAUCGGCUUCGUUAGACUUGAUCUACACUAUUGAAAGUAUUUGGAAACUAAAUUUCAUAAUUUUUCGGUAUCAUUUACCUAUCAAACGAGUAGUCUAAAAAUGAACGGCUGAAAAUAAAAAUUUCAUAAAAAUGAUGAUAAAAGACUUGAAUUUAAGAUUAGAGCUACUGAUCUUACUCUAAAUAGUAAAAAAAAAUUUCUAUAAAAAUUUCAUCUGAUUUGGAUUGUUUUACACCGUUAAAUUUACAAAUGCAUCACAUCUACCAUUAAAAUUGUCAAUUUUGAGAUCUUUUGAUCACUAGCCAAAUAAUGUCGAAAAAUUUUGAGAUUUAGUUUCCAAAUACUUUCAAUAAUGUAGAUCAAGUCUAACGGAGCCGAUCAUUGAUUUGGAAGCCACAUCAUGAAAAACAACUUAAUAGCACGGAAGGCUCAAUUUGAAGUCCAGCUCAAAGGAAGGCUCAAUUUGAAGUGAUCAAGAAUUAGCAAAUAAGAGCUAAUAUAGAGAAAUAUGCCACGAGUUAUACACAUAUAAUAGAUUAGAAAUUUGACAUGGCUCAAAAGUUUAGAGUCCCAAAAAAAAAUAUUGGAAAAUUCAGUUAAUAAAAUAAAAUUAGAAUGAACUAAUUAAGAGCAUAUAAAAGUACAAAAUUAAUUCUCAGACGCAAUUAUUCAGAUUUUUAUUAAAUUAAGUACGAAUGUGAAAUUGGUAGGUAAAACAUGAUAUGAAAUGGUGAUUUAACCCAUGUGAAAUGUGACACCACCUUACAGUCGGUUGGGGAUUAAGAAUUUAUGACUUCAGUACAAGAAAUAUUUAUUAGUAAUUAAGUAUUGAUAACUAAUUUAUGUAACUAUUCUGGAUAAUCAAAUAUUUGCGAACUAUUUGUGAAUUUUAAUUUUUGUUAAAAAAAAAUUGAAAAAAUUUUGUUACUAUAGUAUAUCUUGAAUAUAAAAUAUAAAAAUACUAUUAUUUAAUAACAGCAUAAAUUAUUAAAAUAUAAUAAUUAUUUUACAUAAUUUAAUGUAAUAUCGGAGUAGAAAGUUCUGAAUUAGUAAGCUCUUACCGAGCGGCAAAAUACGGCGGCGAGCGCCACCGCUGCUCCACGAGGCGGCGGAGGCGGCGAAGUAGCAAUUCGUGGACGAGUUCAUGCCGUUGCCGCAGCUGCAGGCGAACGAGUUGUACACCGCGGCGGUGGCGGUGGCGGUGGCGGUGGCGGCGGUGGCGUAGCCGCACAUGCCGCCGCUCUUCUCGCAGUCGGCGCAGGCGCUGGGGAAGCCGUCGUCGGCGCUGAACCUGUACUUGAGCGCGAUCCCGAAGUCCCACUCGUCCGGCCUCGUCUCGGCGCCGUUGAAGCCGCGCACGGCCGCGUAGGACGCGCAGCGGAGCUGGGUCAGGUCGACGUCGAACGCGGGGCCGAGGCUCGCGGGCGCGUAGACGCAGCAGGUGGACACGGGGGCGCCGAGCGCGGCGACGGCGGGGCACGUGUAGAGGAGCCCGCAUAUGGAGGAGGAGGAGGAGGUGUCGCAGAGGGUGGCGUUGAGGGUGGGGGUAGGGAAGCAGUCGAGGAGGGCGAAGACGUUGCGGGCGUCGGCGAAGGCGAAGGGGGCGUCCCAGUCGAGGGAGAAGCCGCGGGAGGGGUUGGUAGCGGAGCAGGUGGACAUGGAGGGGUCGGAGACGUAGAGGAUUUGGUUGGCGUAGUCGACGGCGUCGACGGGGUAGGAGCCGGAGCGGGUGGUGAAGGUGAGCUGGUCCUGGUGGCCGCCGCCGGCGCAGGCGACGUGGGGGUGGAAGAGGGGGCUGCCGCAGCCGGGGCCGGUGCCGAAGGGGUAGUGGAUCGGGAUGGCGCCGCAGGAGGGCUUGCACGCGUAGUCGGCGGACGAAGAGGAGGCGGCGCCGAGCAGGACAAGGAGGAGGAAUUUGGUGAGAGAGGGUGGAGCCAUGGCAGUGUUUCUUUUUUGCAUGGGGGGGUGACAAGAGGGAUAUAUAUGCAUUAUGAAGGGGAAGGGGAAGGGGAAGGGGAGAGGGGAGUAUGUUAUAUGUAUGCGCUUGUGUAAUAGUUUGAUGUGCAUUUGUUUGCUAUUUUUCUCUACGUGCUAAAAUACAGAAACUUUUAUAGAAAAACUUCAAAAUAUUACUCUUGUAGUUUAGCAUUUCUCCGCUUUACUAUUUUGUGAUUUAAAGUGUGUCAUUUUAGUACUUGUGAUUUUAUUUUUUUCUUUCCAUCAACACAUUAACUCUUUAUUAAAAUAUAUAUAAAAAACUUCAGAAAUGCUUACCAAAUAUUAACUUUAAUACUUUGUGAUUUACGAAAUUUUUACUUUACUAUCUUAUAAUUUUAACUUUCUCACUAAUUUAAAAAAAAAAAAUUAACAGAGUGGAUAAAAACAAAACAACAUAAUACUAAUUAAAAUAAUACAAUUUAAACCAUAGGGUAACAAAGAAAGAAAGUACCGAACCACAAGGAUGGUAUUUGAAGUUUUUGCAUACUCCCCUUUCCCUUCCCUAUGUAAUAUAUACAUUUGAAGUAUGUUCUUUUUGCAUGUGGAUUAUCAAAUAUUCACUUUAAUACUCUGUAAUUUACGAAAUUUUUAUUUACUAUCCUAUAAUUUUAACUUUCCCACUAAUUUAAGAAAAAAAUUAACAGAGUGGAUAAAAACAAAACAGCAUAGUACUAAUUAAAGUAAUACAGUUUAAACCAUAGGAUAACAAAGGAAGAAAGUGCUGAACCACAAGGAUGGUAUUUGAAGUUUUUUUUUUUUUUAACAAAUAUUCGUGUUUUCACUUUUUUUUACUUUCAAGAAUUUAUAUUUUUUAUUUAAAAGUUUAUAAAUGCUUUCAUAAGAUUACAGUGUUAAUGGAGGGCGUGAAAUAAUCAAAUUAAUUACCCUUACUUAUUCUAUAAAAGAAUAAAUGAUUUUUUAAUAUAUUUUUGUUAUUUAUUAGAAUAUUAAUUUUUGGUAUAAAUUAUAAGAAAUGUAUAUAAUAGUAACAUAAUUAUGAAGAGGGGGGGAGCUAAAUGCAUUAUUUUAAAAUUUUGAGGGAAUAAAAUAUAAAAUUUUGAAAGUGAGAGAGAAAAAGUAAGAGAAUGUGAGAGAAUGUGAGGAAUUCAUGGAUGGAUUUUUAUUUUUUAGGCUAAAUUACAUAAAAUUUUUCUGUCAAAAUUCGAUUUUUUACUUUUUCUCCCUAUCAUUUAAAAACCUACACUUUGUCCCUUUAUAAAAUGAAAAAUAUUUACAGGAGGAUACGGUGUGGACUGUGAUGAUAAAAUGACCAUUUUGCCCCUCACCAUUUUCAUCUUCUCCCUCAUCUUCCUCAACAUCAGUCUCGAUCGGCUGCGAUUUCUCCGCGGUUCACGCAUCAUCUUCCUCCUGCACCCUCGCCGCCCCUCGAUUUCGGCGACAGUAAGGUGGAAAUUGAGGUGGGGGUGGAUGGAGAGGUGGGUAAUGACAACGAGGGCGAAGGCGAGGCGGCGGAGGAGGGAGAAGGGGUGUUUGUGGGUACGGACGGGGAUGUUGGCGAGGGCGAGGCAGUAGAGGAGGGCGAGGCGGAGGAAGGUGAAGCAACAGGAAAAAAAAGCGGAGGGGCAUUUUGGGCAUAAAAAAAUAUUUUAUAACGGAUCACUAACGGUUGGGGCGAAGUGCACAUUUUUCAUUUUACAAGGAGGCAAAAUGUAGGUUUUUAAAUGACAGGAUAGAUAGUGAAAAAUCGCGUUUUGACGAAUUUUUUUUAUAAUUUAGCCUAUUUUUUAAGCCAUUAUUCUAGCUCUUUACCGAAGAGCUAGUUAAUUAGCUAGUUAUCUGCACCACAGAUAUGAAGAAAUUAUUUUUUUACGAUCUCUGGAAACUAAAGGAGGUUGAGGCUAAAUCUGAUAUUAUAUAAUCAAAAAAUAGUUAAAUAGAAAACAAUCAAAAAAUUUAUCUUACUAAUAAAAUUAUAUAUAAUACGUUCUCUAAUUGCCGAUCAAGGCGUUACUCAAAAUAUAUAUAUGUACGCGCGGAAAUUGCACACAAAUGCACACAAAUCGUAACGGUGAGAUCUGUACCAUUAAUUAAGUUAAUUAUUCGUGUCAAAACAUGUUGCACCCACAUGCAUGCAAAUUAGUGGUCACCUCCCCUAGAACAGCACGUUUAUUAAAGCCAAUCAUAGCGUAUAUAUAUUCCUACUCCCGUGUACGUAGUCCCGUCCCCUCUUCCUCCUCUCUCUCUCUCUCUCUCUCUCUCUCUCUCUCUCUCUCUCUCUUGUUUUAAGAUUGUUAAAAUUAUAUACGUGAGUUGUUGAUGAUUUUUUGGUUAUAAGAAUUGUAUAUAGGUAGCCGUGGAAAUAGAGAUAUAAUUUUUUUUUUUUUUUUUUAGAUUAGUAAACAAAAAGUCCGGGGAAUCUGUUCCUCUCUUGUUCCUCUCCUAUGUUUGGUAUGAAUUGAAAAGGACUUUUAUUAUUGUUUUUUAAAUUUAUUUUAAAAUAAAUGUAGAUUCGAUGAGUCAAAUUGACUUACGGAGAGUUCUAGUCUAACCCAGACCUAUAUAUGGUUUAAAGAUGUGCUGUAUCUAAUAAAGUUCAUCCCAUCUAAAGUGUAUAUAAAUAAUUUACUCCCUGAUUAAUUAUUCAACGUGAGUAGCAAUUCAUAUAUGAAAUCCUAGCAAACAAAAUCCACGAAAAUAGCAAAAUGAAAUCUACACUCUUUGAUUUCUAGAGGGAUAUAAUAUUCAUUAAUUUCAACUGCUUGAUGAAACCUCACAAGCCAAAGUUUUAAAAACUAAUCAUUAAUGGCUGUUUUAGUGGUUUCACUAACAUGGAAUUAGUCUACUAAACCCGGUCUUAAGCCCUUUGAAGCUCGCGAGGUAGUGUUUACAGUACCGCCAUUUUUGCGGUAUGGAUGCAUAGCCCAUCUGAUCUCCGCUACGCGCACAUAAGCAGAUAUGUUAAGACUAUUCCGAGACAAUUUUCUAUCAGAUUAAUUUGGAAUUAUCUUUUAGCGAAACUAGUGAGAUUAGAUGAUAACUAAUCUUUCUCUUAAAUGUCUUUGGAAUUCAAUAAAAACCAUCACACCAAGCCAAACUUCUUUGAUCUACUCAAGAACACACCUUGCAACUCUUCCUGCAGUAACCCUGAGACUCCUCAGUGCCUACCAUGUACUCAGGAUUCUUCUCACACUCGCCUUUCGCGGCCCAUCGCGCGCAGGACUCGUUCUCAUCUUCACAUUCCUUGCUCCGUCUACUCGACGAGAGAAAACUGAAGGGUGUCAAAUGGAUCCACUUCGUCGCAGUCCAUUUCUCCCCUGCUAUUACUGGGCAGCUCCCAUGCAUACUUGAUCCAUCCAAAGUGCCGUUCGGAUGCAGGCUGAAGAAUAACACGGCAUCGCCUUUCUUCGGUUUCACUGAAAUAAGCUCAUCAAACACUAUCUCAAUACGAUUUCAAAAUAAAAGUUUCUGAACUUCGAUGAACUUAAACAAGUUAUUUAGUACUGGAAAAGUUUUAACACAGUUGCAUUCUUCGUAGUUUAGUGGUUGGUAAUAGAAUUUGCUCGUAAAUUCUUCACCUGAAAAACCUGUUGAAGCACAGAAAGCGAGAGAAUCACCUUUCCUUUGUCGAUUCGCCUGCAAAAAAAUGCGCGGAGAAAAUUUUAGAAAAUGGUUUAGAUGAGGAUGAUAGCCUGAUUAGUUCUUUACUAGAAGAUCACCUUCUGUACCGCUGCUUUCGUGAAGACUGUCUCCCCGCCUUGUGUAACAUUAGCUAGGUACAUGAGUACUGUCGCGACUCGAUUUCCCUUUUUGUUCCCUUUUACAUCUUUAAAGUAAUCGACGUGCGGCACAAACAGUUGGCCCUUCUCGUAACGGAGUAUUUGUAUGGCCUCGCCGUUCUCUAGCACGGGGAGUAUAAAGGUUUUGUUAUCAAGCAACAAAACAAUUACAAACUUGUUUAAUUGAAUACAUGCUGUAAUAAAUUUACCUACUGGGAGGAAGGUCCAAGCAGCGACUCUGCUCUCGACUCGACGAACAAUUUCAUCCUUGGAAAUGCAGAGGAAAAUGAUGAUAGUCUACACCUUAGACAUGGUAAAUUCGCAAGCUACUUGCUGCUCUUGAUAAUCACAUUAUAAAAUGGCUCAUCGACGUGGCGAAGAACACGAAAUACAGGAUUGAAUGAUGAGAGAUUAUGGAUUCACUAGCAAAUGCUUUAUAUAUCCAGCUGACGAAAUCGAUGUUUUGGUUACGAGAUCAGUGCAUUAGGCAUUCUAAAGGGCGCAGAACAUGAAUGAUAUACCGGCAUUCGGUUAGCCGAUAACAACCAUGUUCGUGAUGAGAAAUAGCACGAGCGCCAUCUAAGUGUAUCUUUGGCGACCAAUGAAAACACUAUUUGCUUACAGAAAAGGAAAAAACAACCAAAAUGAUGUAAACAAUGGAUCAUUAUGACAUCGGAGAAAUUGAGCUAGUAAUUUACCUGACCUGGCUUCAGGAACAUGUCCCAACUAGUUCGCGCGGUGCUAAGCUUGCUCUCACCACCGUAGCCCUCUAUGACUGUAGAUUUUUUAAGUUUACCCUUCGACUGCUCUCGGAAAGCAAACAUAACACAAUCGAAAGUGAAAUUCAAAAUAAGAUAAAGAAUAAUUUCAAAGGGGUCUUGGUUCUUUCAAAUGGCGAUUUAAGAGGGUGUAAUUUGCUGAUGCAUGGUAGUAGUAAAAUGGUAAUAGUACUACAUAGAUUUUCCUGAGAUAUCUAGUAUAAAUAGUUGGGUAGUUUGUGGGUAUGCUGAUAUGUAAUCAUUGAAAUCUUAUGAAAAAUUUAGCAAUAUAAAAGGGAACUUUUCUACCAGGGAGAUGAGGUGAUCGCAUUCCUCGUCGGAGAGAAAGCCCUCAUAGAGAAAAAUCCUGCACCAAAAUGGCAAAUGAAUUAUCAACUUACAUAAAGUGCGAAACGAAAAAAUGCGUGGAGAGGGUUAAAUUAGGUGAUCUUUUAGUUGUUAAACUUUCCAAUUUAAGUUCUGAAGUAAGCCUACAAUAUGAAUUACGCAAAUCGGAAGCCCAAGCUUAAGAUUUCUUCCUUUUUUUUUCUUUUUGACUGUAAGAUGCAAGGUGAUUUCAUAUGUCAUUCAUGUAAUCAAUCCAAAUUAGCCCGAAAGAGAUAUAGAUCGAUAGUAGAUAGAUAGAUAGAUACAGAAUAAAUCUUCUAAGUAAUACAGCUUAAUUUCAACCAAAAUAGGAUUACUUUUUGCAUAUCCAGGGUCAUCUUUAUUCUUUUGAUUCUGAGCAUAAGCUUUUCUUUUUUGAUAAUACUGUAAAAAUGCCUUUUGCCAGAGUAUAAGAAAAAAGAUACAGAGGUAUGAUGGAAAAAAGGUUUGUAAUGCAAGUUUUUGCUUACAAAUUACAAACAAUUAGCAAAUAAGGCUUUUGCUUGGCCUAUUUACUGGGAGAUUUUUUAGCUAUGUUCUAUGUACCGCCAAUCGACACUUUCGUCAAAAUCUAUUGAAAUAUAUUGAAUGCCAAUUUAGUUUUUAGCUGAACCUUUUAACUGAUGGUUUUGUCAAUUUUGCGGCAAAAUACGGAAGCAAAUGAACAAUCAAACUUAUCUAACCUUGGUUGCCAUGAGAGUUGGGUGAUAGAUCUUGGCUCUAUGACAUUGUGAUCCCUUCUUUCACCAGUGCCAAUCCUAAAGGUAAUUGAAUAUUCACAGAAAAAGAAGAUAAACAAAGGUGUAUAUUAUAAAAGAGCAGCACAAUUAGAGGUAUUGUAACAUACACCAAAUUGACUCCUAUUCCUUCAAACAGUUUAAGCCUGAGAGGAGUUGGUGGCAGAGAGAAGAACAGAAGGAAGAGAAAGAUGGAAGGGAGAAGAGAAAGUUUGAAACCCAUUUUUGAUUAAUUAGAAGAGGAGGGUACAUCACAAAGGAGCCAAUUAAGUUUUUUUUUUUUUUUCUACAUUAUCUUCCUAAUUAAUGCCAUUUAGAAGGUUAAAGAGCUACUAGGAGGUUUCAAAUGAGUUCCUUUAAUUCUUUAAUUGUGGUAUCAUUAACUCCAUCAAUAAAAGCAAACAGGAAAUUUCUUAUAUGAAAAGUUGAUGCUGUAUUCUUAGUUUUAUAUUUUCAAAAUAUGAUUCUGCAUGUGAGUAUUUUGUAUGUGGAAAUUGAAUUGCGCAUUGGCCCAAGUCACACACAUUCUUAUGAUUGCUUAUUUCUUCUGGAAUCUUAAGAUUGAGACAUUAUUUUUAAGAAAAAGAAACCUGCUGUUGACUCCAUUGUGAAUAUGUUUUCAGACACAUUAAUGCUACUGUAUAUCAACUCCCUCUGUCUUACUAAGUUCUUGGUUAGUUUGUUAGUCAGUUUCAAAGGCAGCAACAAUUAACAUUCCAUUGGUUCAAAUUGCUGGAAAUGGGUUGGAACAAUAAGAACUCUUCCACAUUAGCAGCAAAAAGAACCACAAGAAACCUCAUGCAUGACGCAAUAUGCGAAGAUCAGAUGAAACAGGGUUUUUUUUUUCUACCAGUGCCCGGUAUGGAUUGGAGACAUUUAACUGUAAAAUCGAUGGUUACCAUUUGUUUUAACACUGCAAAUUGUUCUGCAAAUUAACUCAGGUUUUAUUGUUGCUAGAUACAAGUGACGCGGCGGAACAAGAAACUUAGCCAGCUCCUGCAAUGGAAUUGUACAUAUUCCUGGUAAACAAUAUAACAAAAUAUCUCUCUUUUUCUGAGAAAAACAUUUAAGAGUUUUAUCAAAACAACCUGCUUAUGGCUAACGAAAGAUUCGUCUUUCACCGACCAAUUUGUAGAGAACAAAGGAAGCAACAAACCAGAAGUUGACCACAUUAGUAGUUUUCCGUUUUCAAGAAAGCAAUCAAACUUAACAUGCAUGUUCGAGAAAGAUAACAACAUUUGAUUUGUAACAACUCUUCAAAUCAUAUAAUGCUUCCUUUUAACCUAAACCUUCCAAGGAGAUUGACGAAGAAAGGAUAUACUAUAAGCAUCAGAAGAUCAUGCUUAUCAGGUGUCAGAGCCGUCUGCACUAUCAUCGCAUGGAAUUCUUGACCGGAUAAUAACUCGGGCUCCCGACGUAAGCCUGCAGGAGAAAAGAACGAAUGGCAACACCCUAUCAAGAUGUGUACACUGUAUUAAAAUAUAACAAAAGUGUUUAUUAGGCCUAGCAUCUAAAACAGCUUCUUUACUCCAAAAAGUUGAAGAUACAAGUAAUCAGCCACCUGGCUCUUGAAGAACCAAGAACUUUUGCUGUAGCUAAAAUGAUCUUUUGGAUUCGAAAAGCAGACUCAAAUUUGAAAUAUAUGCUUCUGGUACAGCACGAAGUUGGUUAGGAGAUUCAACAAAGUGUUGUUAGUACUUCUUCGAACAUUUCUGCUUAAACAACAAUUCUUUGAAGCCAAAGAAUGGACUUAACUUUCCUCGAUCCUGAUAAGCUUCUCCUUUUCUUCUUUCAAGGAUUCUAACCUCAUGGAUGAUCCAUGAACUGAGGCAGCAUGAGUGAUACUUCUGCUGCUUUCUCCUAUUGAGGAGCGGUCACACUCGGGCCCAACAGACGAGCACCUCGGGCAAUCGGAAAUAGGAGAAGUAAUUUUUUCAUUUUUGGGCUGCUUUGGAGGUGUAAGUUUGAUAGCUCGAGGGAGGCAUCUUGCAACUGAUGUGUCCUCAAUCUCUUCCCCGUGCCUUCUGGACUCCAAUUUGCACUUCCUGCACUUUCUUGAUGUAUUAACUGUUAAUAUGUAACAGAGCACCUCAAAGAAGUUUAAAAAGAUAGAGAACAUGGCAAUAGGAAUGACACAGUAAAUAAGAGAUCUGUAAAGGACACACAAAAAGGAAGAAAUACUGAAGAACAACUUCAGCAUAAUAAAUGAUUAUCAUUUAAAUGAUGCUUAGGAGAACACUAGCGUCGGCACUUAUCAGCACAAUCGUGGCAAGCAUUUAGUUAAUUGCAUUAUUCUCUAAAUUAGAACAUAGGCACUUCAUGAACCAACUCGAUUUACGCUCAUAACGAUGAAGCAUCCAAAUCUGCAUAAAUUGCAAUCAUAGUAGAGCUACGUGAGGAAGCACGAAUAGCUUUCUCAUUAGAAUUUUACUGCAGCUUCCCGCUGCAGAACAAGCAGAAGUUUUAAACUGAAGCUUCUGUUUGUUACCCAAAAGUUCAUUUUAGCUUCUACCACAGCAAAAUUUCCAGCCUAGUUAUCAACCAAACACCCAGUUUCUGAAUGCUUGUGCCUUCCAGAUUAGAGAAGCCAUUCUCAAAACCAGGCAGAACUAGCAAAAAAUUACAGUGUUAUGUGGUACUACAUAUUCAGAUAGGCAAAGAGUAAGACCUUACUGAGUGAGCGGCAAAUGUAGGAUGUAAUAUGAUAUAAAGACGAGGCUCACCUUUCGGCAUUGUAGGAGGAAGAUCGUUUCAGAACGGGCAUCCUUUCCCCUAUAUCCUCCCGAUGCUUCUUAGUUUCAAUCAAGCUACCACUAAAAUACUCCUUAUCUUCCAAUUUCAAUCCCAUUAAUCUUGGAUCUUUCGAAAGGCAAUCAAGCUCUCCAAGCAUACUCGAGCGAGCAAAUACCGAUGAUUGGAACUUCAUGUGCGAGAAACUUGGCUGGUAAUUUGAGACGAUACCAUAGCUUUCGUGAUCCUUCACGGUGAAAGACCCGCAAGUGAUCAGCUGCAUUAAGAUAUUACCAGGCUUCAUCUUCGGCCCGGUGGGAAUUAGCACUUCCUCCUCUUUGAGUCUUCUAAAGAUGUUCUUGUUUCUAGCAUCCGCCCUAAGCAAAGACUCUAAAGUCUCUGACCUGCUACCAUUCGAAAGUCGAGCAUGAUUAUUGAUAGAAUCAAGAGUCGUCGAGCCAUUGUCAGUAGAAACAACCGUAGUGAGAUUCUCGUUCUCCUUAUCGUGGUGAUCACUUUUUUUAUUUUCGUCGUCAGUUUGAGUUGCUGCGUCCGAAGAACCAAUUGGCCUGUAUACUCUAUACUCCGCCGAACCCGAAGAGACGUACUCUUGAGACGACACUUCUUCUUCUUCUUCUUCUUCGUCCUCUUUUUCAUCUUCUUGAGGAGAAGGCGGAGGGUUGGAUUCUCUAACGACAACAGUAGGAGGAGAGGAGGAAGCAAAAGGAGCUUCUUUGGAUCUAGAAAAUUUGGGUGAUUCUUGCUGGGGGGGUUGCUUUGGGUUUUUCGGUUUUGGGUUCCCGUUGUUCGGAUGAAUCCGAUCUAAACGAACAUGAAACGAAAGAAAACACAUUUGGAUUGUUUAGCUCCAAACCUCUCUUCCUUAUUACUAUCAACAUUGAAUCAAAGGGAACAACACAUGUUACUUUACACAAUUUUUGGAUUACCUGAAGAGGGUUGAUCUAAGAGUUCAGAACCUUUGAGAACAUACUCAUCUCCGUUGGCGGGGAGGACGAGAUCGUCGUGGGAGAGAUCGUGCCACACGAAUCCGUUCUUGUAGCUCCUGCAUUGAUCAAAUUCAUCGUUUUCACACCCAAAACACCAUAAAAAAGGGAUUUUUAUCAUUUGGGCGCUCUCCAUUUUACCUCUUGCACGACCACGAAUACAUGGUGGGCAUUCCCUUUCCCCUCACCAAAUUAAGGCGAUUAAUCACAUCUAAGAAAAAAAAAAAAAAAACCAAUUGCGAUAACAAGACAACAAUCUCUAAUCCGCAUUUCAAAACUAUGAAGAGCCAAACAAUUCGAUCCCCACAAACCUCCGAGAUACAACCCUUCAGGGGAGGAGAGGGGCACCUCAAUGAAAUGCGGGUGCUCGAUGCGUCGAUUCCGACACAAGUAAUACACAACGGGGAUCUUCUUCUUCUUCUUCUUCUUCUUCUCCUCCUCCUCCUCCUCCUCGGGCGCUUCCAUUUCCCGUCUCAAAAAUCUCAAAACCCUGAUGCAAUGGGACGAGGAAUGGCGAAUAAGGGUGGAGAGAGGAAGCAGAGUGUUGUAGGUAGUACUGCUACUGCCACUGCAACUGCUGCUGCUGCUGCUGCUGCUGCUACUACUUUGCCGUGGAAAAAGGGGAAUUAGAAGGAGUAUAUUAAAUUAAAUUCAAUUGAUUGAGGGGGGAGUGGGGGGGAGGAGAGUACGGUUUCGUUGGAGGGAGUGGGGGAAGCAUUGAAUUGCUUACGGGCAAAGGGAGAAAGAGAAGGAGGUGGGUGGGAGUGGACCGAGAAUGCCACAAAACAUUGCCUGCACCGGAUGUAUAUAAGCACGCCCCGAAUACACACAAAACAGUCUAAAAUAGAUCAGUUAUAUUGCUGAUACUGUAUUCCUAAUCAAUCAGAUUAUUUCUCUUGCAUUCGCCCAUCCAAUCAUGAUUAUUAAAAAAAAUAUAUUUUUAUUAUACUUUCCUUUUGAAAAAAGAGAUAUGAUUGGCUGAUUAUUGAUGAUAUAGUAUAAAUUUUAUAUGAUAGAUGUAUCUAAGGCAUAUUAAGUGAGCCAACUUUGCUAUAAGCCCGGUGCUUAUGGUGUUCAUUUUUUUCCCAUCAGCCAUGCCAGCUCAGUUGACUCGUGUUUUUUUUUUCAAUUGUAUUAUUUUUUUCUCAGUUGUAAUCCUAUUUCUCAGUUGUAAUUCUAUUUUUCCGAGGCCGCGUUGCAUCAAGAGUCAAGUCCUGUAGCUAAAUUCAUCUGCUAAAUGAAUGAAGCGGGUAGCGUGCUAUCUUUCUCUCAAAAAAAAAAAUAAUAAUAAAAUAAAAUAAAAUAAAAUAUUUUUUGUAUAUGCCAAUUUACAGGAUUUAUCGUGUGUCAUUUUUUCAAUUCUUGAUCGUUAGCUGUUUGCGAAUUUAUGCAUCAGGACGGUUUAGCUGGCUUAAUAUGUGGGUGACCGACAAACACUACGAACUUUUUGUCAAAAAAGUAUUAGCCGUGUAACAAGUGCAAACUAUACAAUGAAAAAAGUGAGUCUAAAUCUUACACUCUAUCAAUCUAACGGCUAAUAUAUAUUUUUAAUAUUAAAAAUUGAAAAGAGUGUUCAAUUAGAAAGAUAAAGACUUUAAAACAAAAUUCUAAGGCUCGUUUGGUAUUGUUGCUGAUUUUUUUUUUAUUUUGUAAAAUAAACAUUUUAUUGUGUAAAAAGAAAAAGGUGAAUUGUUUUUAUCUUUCCUUGACUUCUAAAUUAUUUUAAAAAUAUCUUAGAAGUAAACUAACUAAUCAUAAUAAUAAGAAAUUUGUAUUUAUACAAGUUUAUCAAGAAUUAAUAUUUAAAAUAAAAAAAAUUAAAGGCAACGAUGCCUGACUUGGCCUAAAAUAAACUUCAAUUUUUCCGUGUUGGUUUAGUGCAUUUUUAUUUUACCAUUUUAUGAUUUCAAAAUUGUAUUUAAAUACUUUGUGAUUUUAUUUUUAUUUUACAGUAAGUAUCUAGCAUUUCAAAAUAUGGUAAAAUAAUAUUUUUUUUUUGCAAACAACAAGAUAGUACAAAUAGUAUUUUAUUAUUCUUUAAUCUACACUUUUAUCAUUUGUUAUUUGCAAUAUUAUCCUAUUUUUUAACACUAAAUCCUUCCAGUAAACUAAAAAUAAAACCUCAGAGUUAUUAAAUAAAAUUUAUUUAAGGCAUAGGAUGGCAAAGUGAAUAUGCGCUAAACUACAAAAAAGAAAAUUGAAGUUUAUCCAAAAUUUAAAUCGAUGAUGUGCCUAAAAAAAUUCAAAAGGGCUGCAUAUAAAAGGCAAAAAAAAAAAACUAAAUUUUGGACAUUAAUUUCUUGCAAAUUGAACCAUAAUCAUUUUUUUUUAAUUGUCGAUUAUUGAGACUAUUUGACACUUUAAUAAUAUAUUAUUUAAUGGAAGACCUUUUAAUAUAUGACACGAAGUGUAUCUACCUAAUUGAUUUUAGAAAAAACUUCAAAUAUCAUUUCUGUUUUUUCGUAUUUUUUUAUUUUAGUACUAUAUGGUUUAAAGUGUAUCAAUUUAGUACCCUGUAGUUUCGUUUUUCUCUUUUUAUUAUUCCAUUUAUUAUUUUUUUUUGCUAAAUCAGUGACAAAGUUAAAACCAAAAUGUACUAAAGUGAAUAUUCGAUAAAUCUAGACGGGGUAUCUGAAGUUUUUUAUAUAUAAUUUAACAAAAUAUUAGCAAAAAAGCUGUCAAAAACAAAAAAAUAAAAUUGAUAUACCUUAACUACAGAAUAUAAAAAUGAGAAAAUGUGGGGUGGUAUUUAAAGUUUACCCUUGAUUUUUAAUUAAUUUUGAGACACUCACACCUAUCAUGCAAAAUUCAGAGUGGUGCAUGAGGUGUACGGAUACACCGGGUGCAGGAAAUAAUUUUCCCGGCAAUAGGGAGGAGCAGCAGCGCGAGAUCGUGGCGUUUGCGCGCUUUCCACGCUACAUUAAACGGGCCUGCAAAAAGAUGGUAAUAAGGUAAAAAUGCACAGGGACUCCCUCAACUAUAACCAAUUCUCUAAAACGCCCCUCAACUCUAAAUUUUUUUUAAAAUUGAGAUUCUUUAACUUUUGAUUUUUUUUUUGGAAUUGAAUGAAUUUAACCAAAUAAAUUUGUAUAUUAAAAAUUAAUUAAUACUAAUAUAGAGAGAGAGAGAGAGAGAGAGUAAAACUAGGUUGAAUCAAUUUCUAAUAGAUAAUUAAGCCAUAAAAAUAUGCCAAUUAAAAAAAAAAAUGAAGGUUUAGGGCUCCAUUUGAGAAUAGUUGAGGGGGUUUCCAGACAUAUUUACGUACCUUAAAAUAUCGGUGCGUUCCGUACAAGUAGUUAUAUGCGUGUAAAGGUGGAGAAGAGGAUGAAGACACGGAGGAGACACAGUUUCCGUUACAGUAAAGUAGUUGACAACGACUGGAGAUUGCGUAGAAUUACGAGGACUUCAAUUUAAUGAUAAAAAAAUUUUAAAAAAAUAAUAUUAUUACUAUACAUAUAUAUUUAUAUAUAUUUCAUAUCAAAAUAUAUUUCGUAGAAAACCCCGCCAAGGAACACUAUAGUUUGGUUUUAAAUUUGUCUCUUUUAAUUUUAAUAAUAAUUGACUCAUUAAACGUUAUCAAGCAAUUAAACAUUUUUUUUUCUCAACUAAAAUUGCUAAUGAUAUUGUAGUUUAUAUUGCACAUCUUGCAAAAUAAUUUUGUGUGAUUUUAAAAUGUAAGAUUUUUUUUUUUUUUUUUUGAGAAUAGGUAGUUUGCUAUCUAUUAUUAUAUUCAUAAAGCACAUAAACUGAGCCAUGGAGCUGAGGCAACUAGACCUCAAGAGCGAAAAUGCUACUACGAAACUCGGUUUUCUUCCCAAAUCUUUCUUAGCCAUCUAAUAUCUUGCGACAGUUGUCUUGUAUCUACUCUCUGCCUGCGGAAGAUCCUUUGGUUUCUCUCGAGCCAUAGGAUCCCACCAUGUAGCAGCAACUGUUGGUAGCUCCUUCCUCAUUAUUCGCCCCACCUUUGCUCAGAAUGUCUACUGAGGAUUGUCCAUAGUAAGUGUGAGAUGUGUCUAGAAGAAAUUAUGAAUAAAAAUUUAAAGACCAAAAGCUCUAAUAAUAAUAAUAACUAUACUUAAACAUUUUGUGUCGGUAGUUUGGGCUCAACAAGUUAUUAGUACUAAUGGAUUGGGACAAUACAGAUUUGACUAAGAACUUCUAUCAAGAGAUCCAUCUCUAUUUAAUUGCUACAUAUUUGACUAAGAACUUUUGUAAAGAAAUCCACCUCCAUUUGAUCUAGUCCUAUCGAUAGUUCCCACUAUUAAUUAGUCGGUACACAGUUUGCAAGAAAAGCUUUGAAUUCUUAGACCAUAUCUCUCUCCGGCUCGAAUGUAGGAAAAAAAUCUUGUCAAUAUCAAGUUCCAAUUCCACCCUCUUUUUUAUGGUUUCGAACCAAUAAGUUAUUAGUGCUAACGGAUUGGGUUACUAUACAUUUGACUAAGAACUUUUGUAAAGAGAUCCAUCUCCAUUUGAUAUCGCCCUAUCUAUUGUUCUCACUAUUGGUCGCUACACAGCUUGCAAGAAAAGCUUUGAAUUUCUAAACCAUAUCUCUCUCCCACAUUUCUACAGACGGCCUUCCAUUGCAUUAGGCAGUGUCCCUCACUAAGAGUUACGUCUCUCUUCUCAAAGAAUGCUCUUCUCAAGGCUUCAAUAGAUUGUAUAUAUGGCCCAUCUCAUAGCCUUGUACAGUGAGAAGUAAUAGAGGGGUAGGUUUGAAAGCACCUAUCUUCAAUUGUUGUUGCUUCUUUUACAGGUUACAAUAAAAGAUUUUUCUUUUUGUGUGUGUUUUAAAGUUUUACAAGAUUGUAUGCUAGACCUAUAUCCAAAAAGACUAUUUAUUUAGUAACUUUAGUUGAACAGAGAGGGCUUGAAGUAUUAAUAAAGUUUACGGCGUCUAAUUUCUAAAAUUGAAUUUUUAAGAGUUUGUUUAAAAAGAGCUUUAAUUCAGAGGGUUUUUGUUUGGUUUUUUCCUUUAUUAUUUAGGCAUCAAUGUUUAUAAAUUACGUUGAAAUCGUCACUUCUUUAAUUGCCGUCAACUUUUAGCUGAUAAAUCAAUGAAAUUUUAUUGAAGAUAAAAUGUAAACAAUAAACUUUUAAUAGUAGGUUAGACAUUUUAAAAAUAAUUGAUUAUUUUACAUGGUAUUAAAGCAGUAGAUUCUAAAAUUAAACAGGCUUCUAAAUUACAUCCACUGUAACCUCUAAUCUGAGGACUGUGAAGUAGAUGGAAAAUAGGUUCCGCACAAACUAUAGGAGAAAUUCUAAGCUUAGAAGAGCAUAAAUUAAAAUGCACUUGGACUAAUUUCGAGCUUAAAAUCAUCAAAUAGAUUGCGACAUGCUUCAAAAGUAGACAUGAACCAAAGAAAUUGAAGUCAAAGAAAGCCAAACAAUUGGUGAGUACAUAUCCAUAAAUUGACAUAAAAUUUAUCCGGAAUAAUAUUAACACCUUCAUUUACCAGCAUAGUGAAAUUAACAUAAGCGCAGCCCAUGACUAUCUAAUGUUGAAAUUGAACUCACCAAACACAAUCUAUCAAUUAUCAAACUCUGAAAUUGAAACCACGAUCUCACAGAACUUAAAAAGGCUGAUAUCUAAAAGGACUCAUACCGGCUAGCCUACCAUGUUGCCUAUGAAAUUGUUUAUUAGUUGAAUCAAAUUCGGAUUCUCCUUUGUAAUCAUAAUAUCUUCUGUUCACAAGGCUAUUUAUAUCAUAUUGUAAAAAGAAUAAUCAAAGAGCUUUUCUAUAUUAUAUAUGCUGCAUAGUCACCUUUCCAGCUUCAUCAUCAAUCAAUGAGUUACCACAUACCCUUUUUUCUUUUGAGAACGAUGGGAUGCUACUAUUUCUUUUAUUUUUUUUAAAAAAAAUAAAUUUAGUUGAAAAUAUGAAACAAUUAAAUUCCAAAUUUAAUACCUCGAGUAUCGGUCAUCAAGCCCUUCGUCACUUAUCUCAUUAAGUAAACAAAAGAGAUGCCAAAGACAUGCACCGAAACAAAUCCUAAUAAAUAAAGGGGAUAAUUACCUGCAUGCUCCUUAAAGACUUUUAUGUUCACUCCUAAAAGUGAUAAAAUCAACCCCUCUAGGAUGCUUUUGGUUUAAAGUCGGAAUCAGAAUUAGAAUCGGAAUCGAAAUAAGCUGGAAUCGGAAUCGCUAAUUUUGUUUGGUUCAUUACCUGAAUCGAAAUCGAAAUAAAUCAUUCCCAUUGUCGGUGUUUGGUUUAGGUAGAUAUAAAAAACGUAAUCAAAUUAAUAUACUAACUUUAUCUUUACAAUAUAUUAAUUUAAAUUCAAAUUGAAAAUUAAAUAUUAAAAAUUUACAUUAAAAUUUGAAAUAAUGUCAAAAUUUUAAAUCAAUUUUUCUUUAAAAAAAAUUUAAACUUUGAAGUUGAGUGGAUAAUUCAAAAUAUAAAAUUAAAAUUCGAUUUAUUCAAAUUCAAACUUAAAAUUACAAUUUAAAUUUUAAUUUGAAUCCAUAAAUUUAAUUUAAGUUUUAAAUAAAAUUUGAAUAAAUUUUAUAUAAAUUAAAAUUUAAUUUAAAUUCAAAUUUAUAAGUUAGAUUCAAAAUACUUAAUUAAAUUUUAAUUUUUAAAUCAAAUUCAAAAUUCAAAUUUAAAAUUAUAAAUUUAAUUUUUAAAUUUAAACUCAUAUUUUAAUUAAAAAAAUUAAAAAAAUAAAUUUAAUCCGAAUAAAUAUCCAUUUCGUCGGAAUUCAACUUUCAAUCCGGACUCCUAGGCCGGAUUGAAAAAAUAGAUGAUUGAAAAUUUUCUAUUCCACUCGGGAAUCAGAAUCGGAAGAUAAGUCCCGCAUAUCAAACAGGGAUUCAUCCAUUUCAAUUCCAAUUCCAUGAUCGUUAUUUUUAUAUUUCUUUUCAGUUACUAUACGUCGAAGACCCCAGGGAGACAGAAACGAUGACAACCAGCCCUUUGCCCCCACCCUCGUCGCCAAUCUCCAGAGGGUCCUCACUAGAAGAAAGGACGGUGACGGCAGCACCACCAGUAAUAUAAAGCCAUAUUAGAAAAACAUAUUUAAAAGCACAAAUGAGUUUUUUUACAACUAAUUUCACCAGUAGACAAAAUUUUAGAGGAGAGUCACCACACUUACCUUUUUAGGAGUAAAUAUUGAAGUCGAGUACUUUUGCGGAGUACUUAAAGCAGCACCAGCCCGUAAAAAUAAAUGUGAUAGUGAAUGGCCCACAAGAGAGAAAAAUUCCAACAAAAUAAUUUGCACCAGAAUACAGCGUAGGAAGAGCAAGGAAAACCAUAAAACCAAGCUAUUCAUUUUAUAACCUAUAGAACCGAAGCAUUGCAUUACAAAAUUUCUGAGAAAAGAGUAUCUAUACUGCCCUUCUAAACCUGAUCUGAUGGGUUGUUCCUAACCAUCACAACAACCAUCAGAAUCUCAGUUAAAAGCACCAAAGAGAGAGAAAGAGAGAUUCUCUUUGCUCUUCUACAUUCUAUAGAGAGAGAGAGAGAGAGAGAGAGAGAAAAUUCCUUCACCAGCCCACCAGCCCACCUAUCCUGUUUCCCAAGAACCCAACCAAAAAUAAAAAGAGAGAGAGAGAGAGAGAGAGAGAGAGAGAGAAGGGAAAAAAAGAAAAAAAAAAAAAAAGAAAAGAAAAUUAAUGAAUGAAUCUUGAUGGCACCAUUAAAUGUACACGGCUGCUAAAGCUGGAAAAGUUUUUUAAAAAAAGAAAAAAAAAAAAAAAAAACUAGUCAAUUUGUGCCGCUGCCCCCUUUGAUAUCAUCUCAUAUUGCAGCACUGAGGUCUCCCAGCCUGCAACUUAUCCCACAUGCACAUCAUCUGCCUCGGGGAUUGGUAGUGCGCGGUGUAGUAAUCAUCUAUGCAGCCGAAUUGGCAAAACUUGAUGCUGUGGACGUACUCCACGGCUCUCGAGCUGUUGAACUGCUCCACCCACAUGCCCAUGCUCACAUCUUCCAUCUUAAACAGCUGCGUUAUAUGCCACUUUCAUAGUCAACUUCCAACUACAAGUGAUCUAUCCGACUACUUAAUAAGUGUGCGUAUGAAAAGUCCGGCCAUUUUUCACAUAUUUUGAAUGGUUUAAGUUUUUUGAGAAAAUUUAAGAUAAUUGAGUAGUUGUAGACAGCAAUAACAUGCAAUGCUCUUAGCAGUUGAUUAGCUAAUAAAAAGAGGCCUUUUUUUAAAGGAAAAAAACUCCAGACGGAUGCCAAAAAACCUAAUUAGAAACUGACGAGAUUACAAACUGCUAGUGAAACUCUGGUGAUUUUAACUUUUCCCAAGUGUACGAAACGUAAAAUGCAAGAUAUGCUUACUCUUAAUUUAUGUUUCUCAAAUUCCGAUACAAUGAAGUGUGCGAUGUCAGAGGAUACAACAUAGCCAGGACCAUUUGCAUAGGGUGGAUAAUCUUCUUCCGGCCAUUCCUGAAAAUAGGGAAGGCCAAAUUAAUUCAAUAAGCAAAAAGUGGAGGCAUUCAUGUCAUAGACUCAAUAGCAGUUGUUAUCAUCAGAAUGUUGAAGUUAAUUGACAUUAAAUUUCACUAACAACCAACAGAAAAAACAAGAAGAGGUCCCAUUAAAUCGAUAAUUAAGUGCAAUAACAAACUAUAACAAAAGAGUUCUCUAGUGAGAUGCAGUGCACAUUCCAACAAUCAAUUCUCUGAAUAAAAAACUGGUAAAAUACAUUUGCAACUACAAAUAUAACUACAAAUAAGCAGCGGUCUUACGUUGUUCCUCAAAUGAAAAUGUCGAGCCGUGUGAAAGCUUAUUAAAGAAAACUCUAGCAUACCAGAACCAACAAAUGCCGGGUGUAAGAAAGCAGGGUAUACGAAACCAUAUCCUGUUACGGACCUAGUUUUUUCUGUGGCCUGAACGACAAAAACGUGAUAAUUUUUUUGCAAGCUGUUAACCACUACAUGACGCGAACAGCUCGUUUGACAACAAUGAAAGAAUAGAAAUACUUGACGAAGUUCAAUGCUUUGCUACUUUAAAUAAAUGCUCGUGAAUGGAAGUAAAAAAAAUAUAAAGCAGAAAUUACUAGUAGAAAUAUCUAGAGAGAAGCAGCAAUUAACUAAAAGCAUGCAACCGGCCUCCCUAAAUUCAUUCAGACUCGAGAGUUGCCUACAACAUUAUAAUCAGCUGACCUAGUGUUCCUAUAUAUAAUAAAUCACCUUCCCAAGGAGAUAUUAGAAACUUUUAACAUUACAUCUACAAGAUAUAGAUGCUACAGUUGAGGGCUCUCCUCUCCUAAAAUAGCAUGAUUAUUACAUCAUUGAACUGGUAUAGCUACCACUACCCAACACUACAUAAUUGUGCAACGGUAUUCCAUGUGAACCUUGUUAGGAUAGACCAACAUGAUCUCUAAGUUGAGCAAUCAACCGCAAUAAAAAAUAUUCGGAUGAUAUUCAGCUUUACUUUUUAAGUGGACGUGCAAAAGUUAUGCCUACUCCCAUUCCAACCAUGUAUCACAUCAAGGCAUUAUCCUUUUCUCAAUUAAACAGUUCAAAAUCCCACAUCCAGAUCCUUUGAAACCCAUGGCAGAACCAACCUGCCCAAUACUUUAGACAGGAGUACAUUGCUCAAAAUGGAAGGCCAGUACUAACAAAGUACAUAAAACACAGAAAUAAUGGAAGAUCAUCAUAAUAACAUAGCAGAAAAUCGGUAGCAAUUCCAAAUAUCAUAACAAGUAAACACAAACCACUUGUCAUAAAUCAGAAUGCUAAGAGCUUGUUUGGCCCAGCAUCUAUUAUUACAGCUGCCCUUAGAGCCAAACUAGACUGUUUGGCCUGGCAGCUUGAAGCGCGGUGGUGGCCCACAACUAUAUAAAUAUUCGGGUCUGCAAAAGCACCAACCUAAUGCUUUCCUCCCGUUCCACAGUGCAGUAAAGGAUCCAACCAUGCAGCCAGGCCAAACAAUCCCAAAUCAAAAAAAAAAAAAAAAAGAAACCUCAACAGAAGAUGCAUGUCAACACCCAAUUAGGUAAUAGUAAACACAAUAUUGACGUCCAUUAUCUGUUGCAUAUACCUGAAGAUUCGCAAAUAAUACCUUGUAACCAAAUGAAAAGAAAAAAAAAAAAUUUGCUUCAUUACCUCAUACGUGACUGCCCAUUUCCCUUCUCGCAAUGGUUUGUGGUAGUAAUUCAUGUUUCCCACAUACAAGCUUUUAUCAUUUGGUAUUUUCCUGACUUCAGCCAACACUGCACCAAGCCUAACAAAGGUAUCAUCAUCACACUUCAUCACAUACUGCGCAGAAACUGCACGAACCUGGGUGAACAUAAUUUUAAAAAACGGAAGAUUAUUGCCAAGAAUAUGAUCAAAACUAUUAAAUGGAAAGUUUUCAAAGGCAUCUCGAUUCGCUCAUAUAGCAGAUUCUAGCAUUGCAUACCCCAUACUCGCAAAUGGCAACAGUCUUCAGAACAACAAGAUCGUAGCUAUCCAGAAAAGGCACGAUAACAAUAUCACCAAAAAACGCUGCCUCUUUCUUCAACUCCGCAUUCACUUCCUUUCGUCCAUGCUGUUCAGAAACAAAUCGCACAUUUUGAGUUCUUGAUCACGUAAUAAAGUAGUUAAAUUGAAGCAUUACAGAUCUAGAAAUUACCAGGGCAACAAAAAAACGAGCCACAAUAUUGGAUGAUUUUCUAACAGCUGACAUCCACGACUUCCUGACAGCCAUACGUUCUGCAAAGUGGUUGCCCGCCGAUAAUAUGCCAAUGAACAACUCAACAGGUCCAUCAGGAAUAGGUGGGGCCUUCCAUUCCGUGGACAUCUCUAAAUGCCUUUGCGGAGCGAAGCUAGGAUGUGAUGUGGGCAAAGAGCCGGCAAAUAUCGACUGGAUUUCAAGGUCCCCAUUCAACGACAAACCAGUAGCAUCCUCAAGAAUAAAUCCCUGUCAAUUGCAACCCCCCCCACCCCAAAAAAAAAAAAAAAUUGUGAAUUGAAGAGUGCUAAAACCAAAAGAAGAAACACUUAAACAUAAGUAGGUAAUUUUGAAGGUGCCACUCACCGUGCGGUAAGGGAAAGAAGUGACAUGCCUUCCGUCGACAUUGACAUGGUAACCUUCCAAGCCAGCACUUAGAGUGAGAACAAAAAGUUUGUCUUCGACGAAAGGAUACGGCCAAUCGAUAGAAACCUUCUUCGUCCGACCGAUCAAACGGUUCAACCACCACGUCGUCUUCGACUCCUCCGACCGGUCGUCAUCAUCCCGAAUCCAUUUCUCACACUUAACUAGCCCAUCAACUAUAUUGCAACCAGCGACCAAUGCGUACAAAAUCAAACUCCAAAAACAAUGGGCAUUUCGAAAAAGUUUUCUUAAAUUAACAAACAGAAGUAACGUCACUACUCAUUAGAAAUGAAAGGACUUUAACGCAACCAGUUGGAAAGGGGAAGCUUACUAGUCUCUUCAUCAGCUCUGGAUUUCCAACCCUCGCAGCGGAGGGCGGAGCCCCACUGCAUGCGGUAGCAAGUGUUCUGCUCGAUCACCGGCUUGCCGCUCCAAUCGCCCUUCAACCGGGGGUUGAAGUGGAGGAUCCUGGGCGGAUCCUCGCCGUCGACCGUCUUGAGCCCUUGCAGCUCCAUCAUGAACUGCGAAACCAUGAUCGCCUGAUCCCCUUCCUUCAAAAUCGUGAUCUUGGGGUCGUAUUCGGGGUGCGCCGGGUAGGGUUUCGCCACGAGCGUGAGGUGGGAGCCGAGGGUGAGGCCGCAGGGGAGCACCAUCAGCCUCCCCCGCUCCCGAAACUCCGCCCCGGUCAUGAUGAUCGAGUGGGGGCACUUCUCCUCCUCCGUCCGAUUCGACAACGCCGCCGCCGAGGCGGGGGACGGCAGCGGGGAGGCCCGCAGCUCCUCGAAGAGCUUCCGCCCCACCUCCCACGCGUCCCGCGCCGCCCUGUGGAGCUCCGAGAAGGGGCCGCCGCGCCCGGUGGCGUUCAGCUGCCGGAAAUCGAGCCCGGAGACGAUCCCGGCGCGGCCGCGCCGCCGCAGGAUAUCGGGGAGCGGCGGCGGCGAGGACGCCGACGACGUGAGGAUCCGGUAGGACUGCUUCGAGGGGCNGUUUUGAUUAAUAUCUCAAAUUUAACAUUAAUAUUGCACUAAUUUAAACAUUAAUUUAAAGAUUUGAUUGACAUCCCAAAUUUAGGCAUUAAAUUUGCACUAAUUUCGGCAUUAAUUUUAGAAUUUUAGAAUUCUUCUAAUUUAAGCAUUAAUUUGAAAUUUAGAAAUAGUAAUAUUUCUAAAUAUGUUGAAUUUAAAUAUUUAAUAUUUUAAUUUAAAAUUUAAAUUUAAAUAAUGGGAAUUUUGUAUUACUAUUUUAAACAAAUUUAAUGUCGAUAAUAAUGAAUUCAACAUUUUUAGUUUGUUUAAGAAGCUUUAAAUUACUCUAAUUUAGAUAUUAAUUUUGUGUCACAACCUUAAAUAAAUUUGAAGGUAGGUAAAUUUUUUUUUUUAAAUUCAACGUAUUUAAUAUGUUGUAAUAUUUUGUAGCACUAUUUAAAUUCAGCACAUUUAAUAUGUUGUAAUCUUAGAAUUUUUCUACUCUAGACAUUAAUUUUGUACCACUAUUUAAAAGAACUUGUAAUGUUGGUAAAUGUUUAAAUUCAACUAGUUUCGACAUUAAUUUUGUAUAACUAAUUUAAGCAUAUUUGAUUGUGAGUAAAUAUUUAAAUUCAACAUAUUUAAUAUGUUUAAAAAAAUUUAAAAUUUUUUAAAUUUAGACAUUAAUUGUGUAUUUGUUUAAUGUGGUGAUUAGGAAUAUUGGGUAUAAUUCGAAUUUAUUCUUAGAAUAAAAUUGAGCAGGCUAAAAAAUUUAAAUUUGAUGUAUUUAAUAUUUUUAAAAAAAUUUAGAAUUUUUUUACUUUAGACAUUAAUUUUGUAUUAUUAUUUAAAAAAAUUGUAAUAUUGGUUAAUAUUUAAAUUGUCCAAUUUGCAUAAAAAAUUCACAAAUUUUGAGUUUUUGCAAAACUGGGUUGCAUUUUUCGAUUUUGCAAAUUCGAUCCGAAUUUUCAAUAAACUGACAAAAAUAUUCUUAUUAUUUUUUCUCUUUCCUCUUUUUUUCUCUCGUUAUCCUUAUGUCCUCGCCCUCGCCCGCGCACCCCCCGCCUUCCUCGUCACCGACCCUGCCCUCGCCCUCGCCCGUGCACCCCCAGCCUUCCUUAUGCCCUCGCCCUCGCCCGCGCACCCGCCGCCUUCCUCGCCACCGACCCUGCCCUCGCCCUUGCCUGCGCACCCCACUGCCUUCCUCGCCACCAACCCUGCUGAGACCGCGGCCCGCGCACCCGCUGCCUUCCUCGCCACCGACCCUGCCCUCGCCCUUGCCCGCGCACCCCCCGCCUUCCUCGUCACCAACCCUGUCGCCGAGACCACACCGCGACUCAUUUUUUUCUCCACUUCGUAAAUUCCGUCUGAUGCUUUCCUUCCUUUGGAGCUCUCCUAACUUGCCAUGGUUCUUGAUCCUUUAUUCUCUCUAACGAGCUAUUAAUUUAUUCUACUAAAGCUCUGCUACUCUACUUUUUGUUAUCAGGUUAUUACAAAUAUCUUGAAGGAUGUCCAGGUAAAACUACUUCUACAAAAGUUAUAAUUGAUAAAUGACUGCUAUAAGUUUUUCAAAAUAUGUUGAUAUUCAGUUUCCUUCUAAUAUCUAAAUUUUGUUUAAAAAGUAUUAUUGUUGGAAAAUUAAUAUUAUAAACUCUAUUAGGCAGUAUUGAUUUUCCUCUAUAUGAAUAGCUUGACAUCUUUCCCUAUAUGAAUAGCUUUUAAAGCAUAAUGUGUAGGUAUCACUCCGAGAUCUUCCCUCUAUAUCAAUAGCUUUCAAAAGCACAACACGUUUGGUGCUUGACAUAUGAUAAAGUUCUGUAUAUGGUGUUCAUAAUUAUUGUGUGCACAAAAUAACAGAAGUGUAACCAAACCUCCAAGGACAAAAACUUGUUGUAGCUUUUUGUUAAUUAUUUUUAAUUUUUAAAUUAUUGUCCAAUUACAUUGUCUGAAGUAAAUCUUGAGCCAUUGAAAGUUAAAACUUGGCCCAAAUCAAUACAUUGAAUCCACUCUCGUCUUAAACCGUGUGAUUGCUUGUAAAUCAAUUGAAACAUUAGAUCUUUGUUCAAACAAAGUUAAUCAAACCACUCAAAUACCAUGCAUAUUUACAUGAGCUGUUUGUCCAACCCACUCUAAAAACCCUUAGUUAAUGUUGGCAUUUCUAAUACAGAUAUGGGUGCGUGUUUGGAAGAACGGAAAGAAAUGUCUAUAAAUGCAUUAACUCAAAACCUAUGUCACUAUACGUAGAAUCUUGAUUUAGACGAUCUUGCAAUAGACUGAACAUCUAACUUAAAUUGCAAUUACAAAAGAGAAUCUCUGACUGCUCAAUUUAACACUGGAUAACUUGUUUCGACAUCAAGCAAACACUGAUUUUACAACAAUUCCGCACUGACUAAUAGCUUCGCAAUCAAAAUACACAUGGAAAAUCUUAGUAACAACACAUAAAGAUCAAUGCUCCAUGUUUUUGGCUUUUUAGGAAGUUCCAAUGCCAGAAUUUAUGCAACAUAUAGGAUCUUUGUAGGGAUUAGUCCAUAAAAUUCUCCAUUUGCAACAAUAAUGAACUUAGUAAGAAACACAACAGUUAGUUUCUCUGCAAAAUGUUGCUCUCGCUUUCGUUCAAUCUCAGAAGUAUGAAUCGUAAAACAACAACAACAAGACGACAAAGUCUCCAGCUAGAUUAAAGAACAAACACAAAACUAUCAUCAGUGACCUCAUUGAAUACAUGUUCUAGGAUCUGACCUAUUCCUUUAGACUGGCAAGGCGGACUGACGGGAAUUUUAUCUAUACUCCUCAGGGAGGCGAUACCCCGUCAUAACUAUUUUAUCAGCAAACAUCUUGCCGGUCUUUGGCAUGACGUGCCAGUGCAAUGUCAAGUUGAAUUCUUUGCCCCUGAGAUUGCUUCCCUGUACGCAAAAAGAACAUAGAAUAAUAAUCCAAAUUAAAGAAAAGGUAGCUUGCUAGGAAUGGUACAAUGUUGCAAUUGGCUUGCCUGGUCAAUGAGCCGGUAUUUAUUUGUGGUGUGAAUCCAAAAUUUCGCGUGGUCUUUUGAGGGUAUAAUUCCAUCCCAUAGAGAAACCUGUUAUGUUGAAGCAACAGAAAAGGUAAGUCUCUAACAAAAGGUACAUGUCAAACUAAAAGCAAAUAGCAGUAUGCACAAAACCGCAGAUAGAAGAUGCCCAGAAACAAAAAUAUCCAUGCUAAUUCUAUCAUCAGCAACUAAAUUUAGUUUUAGUUACUGAAAUUCUGGUUCAAUCCGACAAACUAUGAUACUCAAGAGGAUAAUGCAGUCUUGCAUCCUUUACCUCUACAAGAAGUCAAUAACAUAGUUAGGUAUUGCAAACUAUAGAGAUUAAAGCAGUUUAUAUUCAUAAAAGGUUUGUAAAUAAGUGUGAAAUUACAAUCAGUUGUGCUAAGCCGCCUGUGAAGCAAUCAUCUCCUACAAAAUUUCCGAAUCACAUCCUAUCCAAACCUAAUCAACACAAGCCUUUCAAAAAUAAUAUAUUGCCGUGACAGAAGACACUAUGAUCAAAAUCGAUGUUCACAAAGAGCAGAUUGUGCUGGCUUAAUUGUCACACAAAUGGAUGAGAGCUACUUAACAAUAUGCGCGUCUGUGUGUGCAUGAUCUGAUUUCCAAACCAUACAAACUCCAUUGAUUCUAAAUAAAAAAGGCAUCAUAGUGCUCAGUCACAUCUCUAACUGCCGAUAGAAACCAUACUCUAUCAUCUAUCAAUUUUAGUGUCUUCAACCACAACACUGGGUAGAACAUUCUUUGUCACCUAGUUUCCAAAUUGCUCCUUUUGUGCUCAUUGUGUUUAUAUACCAUCACCACUACCAUUCAAAUUCUAUAUCAGAAUCCAAUUUUCCAUUCAGCUCUGUUUGUGGUAAGACUUCCGAUCAAACCAAGUGUUACAUCUAAUUUGAUGCUACUUUCAAUAAUGUUAAUUAUGAUCUACCCCUUUCUCUUAAAGCACCUUCUAACAAAAACCUAGAUGUUUUUGUGUUUAUAAAUAUAUUCCUUGCCACCCAAUUUUCUCCUUAGUCUCUUACACAACUUUGCAUGCCUUUAAAUUUAGGUGUAUGCACGAAUGCCAAUUUCAGAAGGAAUUCAUGCCCCAUUUGACAAACAUAAGGAAACCCAUUUUAUUAUGCUAGAAUCUCAUCAUUGCGAGGCAAGAAUAGAAUUGAUUUAUAUGUCACACUCACCUGAUUCAGGGCAUUCUGAGGGGUCUCAUACUCAGCUGCUAUGAAAACAAACACCUGCAAUCACAUGGCUACAACAAUAUGAGAGAAAAUUGCAUAGAUUUUUAGUAUUUAUAAAUCAUCAAAACAAUCUGAAAUGCCAAAAAUGUGCGGCAAAUUCUCAGUAGUUUUGCACGAUUAUAAUCCUUAAAUCCUUCCAUAUUGUUGGAGAGACACCACUAUAUUUCGGUUCAUUUUAGGAGCUAAAGAAAUUCAUUUUCAAAAUGAUUAGGUAUCUGUAAUACAUGCCAAGUUAAACCACCAAUCAAAGCAGCAGUACGAUCAUUCAGAUAGAAAAAAGUAACAAAUAAUUUAGGGCUUACAUAUGGAUAGAAUAGCUCACAACAAACACUAACUAGAACUUCCAUUUCUUCAAACUAGAGUACAAAAGAUACUCCCUCGGCCACAAGCCAUUUCAAAUUCUCUUAGCUAAAAAGUUAGGGCGUGUUUGGUCUGCCCCCUUUUCACCUAGUUAAUCAGAAUCAAAAUGGGCAAAUCCAUUUGUGGGUGUUUGGUAUGCAGGAGUUCCAUUCCGAUUCCGAUUCCUGGGUGAAUGGGAAUCCUGCAAUCACCCCUUUCUCCGGUCCGACUUAGGAAGCCAGAUUGGAAGUUAAAUCCAUGCGGACUGAAUGCACUUUAUUAAAAAUAUCUCAAUUACAUUUUAUAUUUUUAUUUAAAAUUAUUUUUAAUUUUUUGAAUUUAUUUUUAAUUAAAAUAUAAAUAUAAAUUUAUAAAUUAAAAUUUUAAUUCUAGAUUUUGAUUUAGAAAUUAAAUUUAAAAUAUAAAUUCGAUCAAGCAUUUUAAAUUUGAUCUAUAAACUUAAAUUUAAAUGUAGUGGUAAGUUUGAAUUUGAAUCAAAUCAAAAAUUAGUUUUAUAUUUUGAAUUGUCCACUCAAUUUUGAAUUUUAAUUUUUUUAAAAAAUUACAUUUAAAAUUUUGGCUUAUUAUUUCAAUAUUUUGAUGUAAAUUUUAAAUAUUUAAAUUUUAGUUUGAAUUCAAAUUAUAAAUUUAAUUUUAUGCUUUGAGGUGCAAACUAAAUUUUAAAUUAUUUUUAUAUUUUGUAUUUUAAUUUUAAUUUUAAUUUUUUAUAAUAAAAAUUAUUUAAAUAUUGAAAGCACGAAUCAACCAUACCGAUUCUGCUUGUUAUUCUGAACCAAACAUAUUAGGAGGUUUUAUUACCCCGUUUUUAAUUCCUGUCCAUUCCGAUUUCCAUUCCGAUUCUAUUUCCCAUUUUGAACCAAAUGCGCCCUGAGUUUCUUUCUAAUCAUAUGCCUUCGGACCUUCAUCUCAAACAAACUUUUUCUCAAUUGACUAACAAUUGUACCUCUUUGUUGUCCUCCACACCAUUUGGAGAGGGAAACAGAGUGACACUUUUUUGUUCAUCUCUUGUUUAAAGAAUUGAACCCAAGGCAGUGGGAGUUAAUAAAUUACAAACUGUAAAUAAAAUUAAAACUUUAAAAGAAAAACCAAAUCCUAUUCCGUAUCCUAUUUAGAUAAGUAUAAAAAAAAUUUCUUACUGUAAAUACAAGCAUAUUCAUCACAUGCCAACAAGUGAAAUGGCUAUAGAANACUUGUUUUUUCACAGUGAGACAAAGGGAGAGGUUUACCACACCUCCUGUUGUUUCUCCAUGUUAACAAUCAGUUAACUCUUUUUCAAACAAACUCUACUUCCAGGCUUCCGUAUACUAAUCUUUCUUUGAGUCCCGCGUAAACCAAGUUUUACCCUUUAUCUUAGCCUUACCUUUAGCCUUACCUGUCCUUAAUUUUUGCCCCAUUAUUUUGGAGGAUUAUACAAACCAAGUCUUAUUGUUCGUCUUAGCCAUUCUCUUGUUUAAAGAAUUGAACCCAAGGCAGUGGGAGUUAAUAAAUUACAAACUGUAAAUAAAAUUAAAACUUUAAAAGAAAAACCAAAUCCUAUUCCGUAUCCUAUUUAGAUAAGUAUAAAAAAAAUUUCUUACUGUAAAUACAAGCAUAUUCAUCACAUGCCAACAAGUGAAAUGGCUAUAGAAACAAAGUUUUUGGAUCAUCAAUCAAGAAAAAGACACCAGAGGUAGUAGGAAGGGACAAUAAGAGAAGAUCAAAUCACUGCACAAAUUAGUGCUUAAGAAAAUGGAUGAAACAUGAAAAGACAACAUAUCUCAACCUGUUUGGUGUUCCAAGUGAACAGGGAUGAAAGGUCUGCUGAUAUGUUCAACGUCAAGCUGACCUACAAAAAAUACAAAACAAAGAGACCAUUAAAACUCAAAGCGAAAACAAAAGACAUUCUUUGAACAAGCAGAAUCUACAUGAACCUGAAUGUAGAUGCUUUCUAUACAAGAAAAUAUCACAGUGACAUUAUGUUAUCUAUUCUGGAGAAUCUGGAGUCAUUUAUGUAGACAAGUCUGAGUUGGUUUAGAAUCCUAGUUCUACAACCCCUAUUUUUUUUUCAGUGGUUACUAGGAACUCUUGUUGCAUUACACUAAGAUAAUCUACGUUAUAAACACAUCACUUGGUAAUACUCUAUAUAAGGGUCCAGUGCAUAAAAAAGAAGAAACUUCUCACUAAACCAUUUCUAAUUACCAAUUUACAUAUCCUUGUACUUCUAAAAAUAACCUUAACAUGACGAUUGUAAAAAGUACAUCUCAGAACAUAAAGCAUAGCAACAAAAGGUCUACAUCACGUAUAAUGAAAUAUCGAAGCAUCAAACAUUUUUGAAAAUAAAGGAUUAAGAAUUUAAUAAUGCAGGUCUGAGACCAUCAGAUCAUGCAUGGAAAACCUAGAACUGUUUUAUAUUUUCUAAAAUGCUCAAACAAUCAACAUUAUCCAAAAUUAGAAAACAGCCAAGACAAGACAAUUGGAAGAAAUGAUCAGGCUCAUAACUUCGCCUGCAAAAGCUUCUUUGAUGGUCUCUGACACUUGACUUCAAAUUUACACAAAAGAAAUCGACAAUCCUAAUGGCAUGAUGUCAUUUUCUGCGCAACCAAUUAUUAUGGGUCAAUUUGAAGGUAUGUUACUAGCGUUCCUAAUGGCCAAUUGAAAUAGCAAGCUCAGAGCAUCAAAGUGUUCCGGCGAAAAGCAAGAUAGGAAAGUGGAAUCAGUUAAAACCAGUCAGCAAUAACACACUAAUGCACAAUACCUUUUUGCAAAAUGCACAAUUGCACAAUGACAGAGAAAACUUAGUGCUUAACAGUCAAUUUCAGUUUUGGAAGAAGAAAAUUGUAGAAAACACUAUUUAACAAUCAACUACGAUGGAAAUAUUACUGUAUUGGAUGCCCAAAAUGCUUGAAGUAGGUAAAGCUGGAAGACCAGGGCAUUACCUCAUCAUUUCCGUUUGCUUGCUUUUGGAACCAGUUGAUAUUCAGGACCUGCAAUGGCAUGAUUAUUGAACACACUAGCAAAAUACUGAUAUAGCUAAGGAAAAAAAAAAAAAAGAGGGACGAGGGUAAAACGCAACAUUAUCCAAGUCAACUAGCUUUCAUGGAGGACAUUGUCCAUUUUAAAAGUGUGGGAAACCAGCCUAACCAAAUACUUAACCAUCCAAUCAACUAUAAAAUUCAUCCAAUCAACUAUACAAGUAUACAUUAAAAAAUAGUCUCCACCUUUUAUGGAGGAUCAAGUGUGACCCAAACUUCACACCAAAUAGUGUGAUGGGACAAGAUACCCACGCUUCCAUUUGCAUGUGAUAUAUGUUGAUGAACAGAGAAAGAAUAUACAGUGCUUAUCCCAGCGAGCAACGAAUUUGGCAAUUCCCUACCGUGUUUGAUCACUAAUGGUCGCAUCUUCUUAGUUGUACAAAACCCCUAAAAUCUUACAAGUUAAAUAAUGAGCUAUAGAAGUACAGAGUUAUAUGGGAAUUGCAAAGAACUAAUACAACCCCUCAAAUUUCGAAGUCAAAUGACAAGCUACCAUAAAUGAGAAACAGCAAAAAGAAGGAAGCAAAGAGAAAAAGCAGAGGACUGAACUAAAAACAAAAAAAAAAAGAAGGAAAAAAGGGGUCUCUGAUAUGUUUACAAAAUUAAUGUUUUCCUCCUUAGGUAUCCCAAGGAAGUUUAUAAUCUAUAAUUAACGCUUAGGAAGGAAAUUCAAGCUUUUCACAUCAAGGUUGCACAUCCUCUUAGGAAAUUCAAGCUUUUCACAUCAAGGUUGUACAUCCUCCAAAAGAACGAAGGUUACAACCCACCCCAUCCCUCCCGCUAAUUUCAAUGAAAUUAGUACAAGAUGCAAUCCACUAAAGAAACCACUCAAUGUCGCGAAAAAGAAUAGGAACCAUAGCAAACCUGUUACACCAAUUUGGGAGAAGGUGAUUCCUUUACAACACCUUAUUCCUGAUAAUUUGAGUUGGAAUCAAGUGACAUUGUUGCACUUCAAUUUGGGAGAAAUACUUAGCAAAUAUUGCCCUCUAUCUUAAUAUCUAAAAAGAUAACCCCCGCAGACAAAUGAACCCCACUUCGACUCAUAACCUUUCCUUCUAAUCCCUUCACUGAUGCUUAAAAAUUAAAAAACCACCCACCCCUAUUUGCUUCUGUCCCACUCUUACAAAAUCAUAACUUCGCCAUCGUUUAAAUUAGCAAUUUAAAUUAGUAAGGACCAUUUCUCCUAAACCCAAUCUUCCCCAAAAAGAUAGCUUAAAACUUAGAAACCUUACAUCCUCUGCAAACAUCUCAGAUACACAAUCCCGCAUCUACAUCCCAACAAAACCAAACUGAAUUUGAUCAAGUUACUUUUUAAGCAGAAAUUAACACUACAUAAGAUGGUUUCACCUCCCAAAACCAGAUUUCCGAGAACGAGGAACCGAAUCAGCGCACCGAUCCACAUGAAAAAUUAGGGUUUUGGAACAGAGCGGGGAUCGAUUUACCUUGACCUCGGCGGUGGGGGAAGGGACGUUAAAGUUGUCGGAGAGGGAGGCCAUGGAGCACAUCACGGCGAGGAUCGUCACCGCGAGCGUCACCACCGCGUUCGCGCGGUACCCGAACGAAUGCAUCGCCGCGAAAAUCUCCGCCCCUUUCGCUCCACCGUGAAAGAGCACACCGCCACACCACGAGAUAACCUCUCCUCCUCCUCCUCCUCUUCCUCCUUCUCCGUCGUCGGAGCUCGGAGCCCUAGCUUCGUCCUCUUCUCCUCUCUCUCUCUCUCUCUCUCUCUCUCUCUCUCGCGCUCGCGUUGGAGUGGCGUCGCUAAGGAGCGUGGUAUAUAACCGUUACAAAGUAUCCCAUUGUCCUUUUUUUAACGGGUCUAAGUGAGAACUAAACAAAGCAUUUCCUGAACAGUGUGCAUCAUAUUGUCUAUGAACCGUGAAGCUCGGUAUAAGGAAUUGCGGAAAAUUAUUAGGUGGUUCGCGAAUGAAGUGGUGAACUGAGUUCAACGAAAAUUUCAUUACUGAGGAAGUCUCGUUCAAAGAUAAACCAUGUUCACAAUAUUAUCUAUGGACCGUGAAGUUACCAUUUAGGUGUAGGUCUUUCGAUAGAUUAAUAGAGGUCCACGAAUGACGUGGUGAGCCGAGUUUAGGGAAAUGGAUAUCGAACAGGAAUUCUAUUGGCGGUAAAACGAGUCCACCACAUUGUCUAUGGCCCGUGGAAGCUAAAUGGAAAUAUCAGUUGCUUUUCAGACGGUCCACCAAUGACGUGAGGACCAAGUUCACAGAAGUGUUUCCCAAACAUGACUCCUACUCGACGGUAAACCGUCUUCGCUAUAUGGCCUAUGGCCCGUGAAGCUAGUAGAACAAAUUCUUGUGGGGUUUUCAACGGUUCACAAAUGACAUGGUGAACAAUGUUUACGAAAUUUUUUUGAGCGGGCACUUGUUCGGAGGACACGUGGUGAGUAUUCAUUGGAUGAGUUACGUGUGAGGGACCAUGACGUGUGCAGUAUUAACCGUUAUAUGCCCUAUUUGGAUGCCAGUAAAUUAUGCUUCACCAGUAGAAAAAUUAUUCCGUGAUAAAUUUUGAGCUUUUGUAAACUUGGACCAUUUUUUUUGAUUUUGUAGAGUCGGGACUAGGUUUUUAGAAAACUGGACAAAAUAUCUUUAUUUCUUUCUCUCUUUCUCUUUUUUCUUUCGUUCUUUUUUUUCCCAUUCCGAAGAGAGAGGCUGAGGCAGCCCGCCUCGCCUCUGCCCCUGCGCCUUCGCCCAUGUCUGUGCACCAUCCGCCCUCCUCGCCUUUGACCCCACCAAGGCUAUGCUCCCCGCCGCCCUUUGAGAUGCCCCUCCUCGCCUCUGUCCGAUACCCCCUCAUCUGUGUUCGCUUAUACCCCACCCUCUUCGCCUCCGUUCCUGCCGAGACUGUGUUGUAAUCCUCUUUUUUCUUCUUUCUGAACCUCCUCCACCGUCUCUAUAGCCCUUCACAACCCGCCUCCAUCUCUACCUCCACUGUAGCAAAUUUUUUACCCACCAAACACACUUCUGAGAUCACGUCGUCCUCACCACUACCGACGACGACGAAAAGGAAGCACUUCUCGGCAUCAAGAAGCUCACUGGUAAGGGAGAGGGCACGUGACCCGCCGCGCCAAUCCGGCGCCCACGACGAGCGAGGUGGAGAUANAUUUUUAGAAAACUGGACAAAACACCUUUAUUUCUUUCUCUCUCUCUCUCUCUUUUUUCUCUCGUUCUUUUUUUUCCCAUUCCGAAGAGAGAGGCUGAGGCAGCCCGCCUCGCCUCUGCACCGCUACCCUCGCCCAUGUCCGCGCACUACCCGCCUUCCUUACCUCCGACCCCACCAAGGCUGUGCUCCCCGCCGCUCUUUGAGAUGCCCCUCCUCGCUUCUUUCCCAUGCCCCAUCGCCUGUGUUCGCUUGUAUCCCAUCCUCCUCGCUUCCGAUCCUGCCGAGAGUGUGUUGUAAUCAUCUUUUUUCUUCUCUCUGAACCUCCUCCAUCGUCUCUGUGGCCCUUCACAACCCACUUCCAUUUCUACCUCCACUCCACUGCAACAAAUUUUUCACCAACCAAACACACUUCUGAGAACACGCGUCCUCACCACUACCGACGACGACGAAAAUGAAGCGCUUCUUGGCAUCAAGAAGCUCGCUGGUAAGGGAGGGGGCACGUGACCCGCCGCGCCAAUCCGGUGCCCAUGACGAGCAAGGUGGAGAUAGAGGAGAGUGUGACGACCCCGGAGAAGAGGGCGCAGUAGCGACGAGCGUGGUGUCCCAGAGGGUAGGUCGAGUGUGGCCUCGGCAGGGUUGAAGGUGGGGACAGCGGGAGGUGCACGGGAGCAUCUCUCAUAAAUCAUUUUUGUUUACUUAAAAUAAAAAAAAAAACUAAAAAUAAAGAACUAGAAAAGAAGAAAGAAGAAGAUGAAAUUGCACUGUUAAAAUAAAAUUAUACUGUUUUAGAAGAACAUGUAAGUUGCACUCUUUAAGAUAUAAAUUGUACCCUUUAAGAUAAAAGUUACACUUUUUAAAUGAAAAAUACACUUAUUGAGAGGAGAAACAUUAUAACUAUCUUCCAAAUAUUGCAACUUUUGUUUAAAAAGUAUAAUUUUUUUCUUAAAGGGUGUUUUUUGGGAGAAAAAAUAGUGUAACUAUCUUUCAAUAGUGCAACUUUUAUUUAAAGAGUGUAAUUUUUAUCUUAAAGGAUACUCUUUGGGAGAAAAAAUUAAUUAUCUUCCAAAUAGUGCAAUUUUUAUUUAAAGAGUGUAACUUUCAUAUUAAAUUGUGUAAUUUAUAUCUCAAAGAGUGCAACUUACGUCUCUAAUAGUAUAAUUUUCUUUUAAAAUAGUGUAACUGUAUUUUAACAGUGCAACUUUAUCUUAUUCUUCCUUCUUCUCUAAUUCUUUUUCCUUACUCUCUAGUUUGUGAUUUUUAAGUUAUUUUUUUUUAUUUUAAGCAAACAAAAAUGAUUGACCAGAGAUGCUUCCGUGCAUCCCCUGCCUUCCUCGCCUCCGACCCUGCCGAGGCCGCGCUCGCCGUUGCUCUCUGGGACACCACGCUCGCCACCUCCCCGUCCUUUUCUUUGAUGUCAUCAUGCUCUCCUUUGUUUCCACUUCGCUCGUCGGCGGCGCAGGAAGGGCACGGUGGGUCGCGUGCCCCCUCCCCACCAAUGAGCUCUUUGGCGUCGAGAAGCACUUCUUUUUCGUCGUUGUUGACGGUGGUGAGGAUGGCGGGUUUCCAGAAGUGGGUUUGGUGGGUGAAAAAUUUGCUGCAGUGGAGAUGGAGGUGGAGGUGGGUCGCGAAAGGCCAUGGAGGCGGUGGAGGAGGUUCGGAGAGAAAAAAAAAAGAGAAUCACGGCAUAUCCUCGGCGGGGUCGAAGGCGAGAAGGGCGGGGGUAAGCAGGCGAGGGCGCAUGGGGCAGAUACGAGGGGGGGUCCCACAGGGCAGUAAUGAGCGCAACCUUGGUGGGGCCGGAGAUGAGGAAGGCGGGUGGUGCAUGGACGCGGGCGAGGGCGCGGGGGGAAGAGGCGAGGUGGGCCGCCGCCGCCUCCGCCUCCGCCUCUCUCUUCGGAGAGUAAAAAAAAGAACAAGAGAAAAAAAAAAGAAGAGAGAGAAAGGAAUAAGGGUAUUUUGAUCAGUUUUCUGAAAUUCCGACCUAAAUCUACCAAUCGAAAAAAGCGACCCAGUUUUGCAAAAGCUCAAAACUUAUGAAUUUUUUUUAUGCAAAUUGACUUUAAUUUUUAUAAUUUUUAAAAUUAAUUUUUUUUGAUUUUAGAGAUUCAAAAUAAAAAAAAUCUAGAUUCAGGCAAACGCUCCAUAAUAUUUAAUCAAAAUAAAUUUUCAAAAUUAAAAUUAAUUCUGUAAAAAUUAUUUUUCCUAAUAUUUAGGCCAAACACCCCAAAAUAUAUGUUUGUUUUUUAUAGAUUUCAGAAUUUGAACCUAUAAUUUAGAAAAAACGAUAUUUGUUUCAAAGCCGAAGUUAUGUUAUCACCUAAAUUUUCACUCACUAUUUCGUUAUUGUAUAAAGAUCAGUCUGUUGGUAACCGAAAUCUCAAAUCCCUGACCCGGUCAAAAAUCCUCCUCGGGGAGCGCGUCGGGAUGUGAAACGGCUGUAAAUAGUGACCCUCGAAGUUUGCGCCCUUUGAUUGAUCAAGCAAUUCGGCUGACGAGGGAUCGGGUCAGCUGGGUUCGAAACCUCUACAGCAAUUUCGGUUCGGCUGGAUGAGCCGAAUGAACAAAAAAAGUCAAAAUUUCAGCCAAGAAAUGAGCCGAAUGGCUGAUACAGCACAGGAACUGGUCGGCUUGAAGAGCCGGACACUGCCUUCUAUUGAAGGAGAAUGGAGAAAGUACAGGAAAGAGGGUUUUAGUCUACAGCGGAGUGAUGCCUAAAGGGCAGACAGAUUGCAGGAUGCUAAGUUACAGGAACUACUCCUAGAAAAAGCAAUAAAUGCAAGAAAGAAAUAUGCAGGGAAAAUAAGGUUGAUUUUUUAUGCGCAAGGGCCAAGACCUCUUUUUAGGGUAUUAUUAUCCUAUUUAUAGAUAGCCCCCUCUGUCAGUUAUUGUUCUUACACGAUCGGCCACUAUCUCCUCAUAUUCUGGACCACUUAUAGCCGAUUGGAACCACAUGUAACUGCUUGCGGUUACCGUAACUUCUUUCAAUUGGCGCGAUACACUUUUCCGGUGCUCCCGAUGCACGACCGAGUAAAUGCUUUUGAAGAGAAUAUUCGCACCGAUCCUAUCCGCGCCUAAUUGGCGCAACACAGUCUUUCGACGUCCACAGGGUCGAGGGCUUAGUCGAAUUUCCGACCAGGAAAGAGAACCCUAAGCCCUGUACAUGGUACAACUUCGGUCUAGUUUCGGUUCUUUGAAAAACCUAAAACCAAAAAUUUCGAUUCGGUUCGAACGUGACGUUAAAGCCGGCGGAACCGGGCGGGUUCUCAACCCGACUCAAACCGGAUCCGUAUUCAGAUUAGAAUCCAAUAACACGAGUUAAACUGUUAAUACAUCUAUACAAUCUAACUAUUUGGGACUCUAUCCGAUCCUACGUGUCGCUUCUACAUUUGUUUCAUUCAUCCGAGCCUCUCUCUCUCUCCCUCUUCUCCUACCGAGCCUCUCCCUUCGCUGCCAGCUGGCCCUCUCUCUUCACACCCCCCUCUCUCUCUCUCUCUCUCUCUCUCUCUCUCUCUCUCUCACCCCCUGUCUCUCUUUUUCGGUCUUUCCCCCUCUCUCUUCACAUCCUCUCUCUCUCUUCCUCCCUCUCUCUCACUUCCCCCUCUCUCUAUCUCUCUCUCUCCCCCCCUCUCUCUCUCUCUCUCUCUUCCUCCCUCUCCUACACUUUCUCUCUCUCCACACCCACCCCUCCUCUUUCCCUCUCCACUCGGCCUCUCUAUUUUCCCCACUCUCUAGAUCCCCUCUCACCCUUCUCCUCGCGGGCGCGGGCGCGGGGCUUGAGCGAGGGCGGGCGCUGGCGCGAGCCGGAGCCCGAGCGAGUGGGCGCAAGCCGAGAGGCCGAGGUGCGGGCCUCGGGGGCCGGCGCGGGCACGCGGCGGGAGCGGGUGGUUGCGCGGGUCGAAGCAGAGCGAGGCGAGCCGCCGCGGACGCGGGCGCAGGUCGCGAGAGGGCGGGGCCGCUAGCCGGCGCGGGCGCUUGCGCGCAGGUGCACCCAGUGUGGGUGGUCCGGCUCGGGGCGCGGGCGCGGGCGCGGCGUGGGCAAGGGUGGGCGAUGGCGCGGGCGGGCACGAGCGGAGGGGCGGCGGCGCGGGACGCGGGCACCUCUCUCCCCCUCUCCCCAGUUCGAGGGGCAUGGCGCAGAGCGGUCGGCACGGGAGUGGGAGGCCGGCUCCGCGUGGGGCGCGCUAGGCGGGACGUCCGGUUCGACUCUAUAUAUAUAUUAUAUAUAUUAUAUAUAUAAUUAUAUAUAUAUAUAUUAUAAUAUAAUAUAAUAUUAAUUAAUGAAGUGAGGCUACUUAUGGGCUAUCCGAAGCACGACCUUCCGUGCUCCACUUCGUUUUCAAAUGUUCCGACUUCGACAAUCGUCGAUCGCAGUGCCGUUAAACCUUGAUCUAGAGUAUUUAAGUAUCCUAAAAAUACAAUUUUAUUAUUUUUACAAUAUCAUUUGCCUAGUGAUACGAAUGAGAAUCAAAAAUCAACGGCUAAAAUAAAAAUCUUACAAAAGUAAAUAAUAUGACAUUAAAAUUUUAUAUCAAAGAUAUUUGAUCCUAUUUUUAUAUAGCAAUAUACAGAAUUUGUUUCUAUCAAAAAUUUUUACGGUGAUUUUGAUAUAUUCUACACCGUUAAACUGCAAACGCUCACUACGCCCAAUUGAAAUUCCAUUUCGAUCACUAGGCAAAUCAUAUAUCGAAAAAUAAUAAAUUUAUUAAUCUAGGCUAUCACCAAAUACCUAGAAUCAAGUUUAACGAGUGCCGAUCACGAUCGAAGUCCAAUAUCGAAAACGACUGGAAGCAAAAAACGAAGCUACGUGCUUCGAUAAAACAUCAAAGCCUCACUCCUAUAUAUAUAUAUAAAAUAUAUAAUUAUAUAUAUAUAUACUAUUAUGAUACUCUUUUUUGCUAAAUUUAAUACUCAUAGAGAAGAGAGAGAGAGAGAGAGAGUGAUGACAACCGAGAGAGAAAGAGUGGAAAUAAAGUUGAGAAUGGGUUAGAGGAAGGGAGAGGAGGAGAGGAGGCCGCAUAUGAGAUCUCCACAAGCAAAGGAUGCUGCAGCUCGGGCAUCUCUGUUCGGUUCAUGCAAGAGGUCGGUAAAGCACCUCUCACUCUCAUCUAUUUUCUCUUUCUUUUUUUUUCUUUUUUUUUUCAAACAACAGUAACUUAAGUCUCAAACCUUUUAUAGUUUUAACGCAAUAAUUAAUGGAGUUUUUUGUUAGGAAAUUAAACAAAUUAUCAAAAUAUUUUUUUUGUCAUUGUUUUUAGAGUUUUGAUUGCGAGCUCAAAUUGUGCGGGUUAUGUACAUCUCUCUCUCUCUCUCUCUCUCUCUCUCUGUAUUUGAUGAAAUAUUAGCCAAAAUUUUUAUAUAUAUGUUAAACUGCUAAUUAUUAUAUAUGCUAAUAUAUAUGGUGGCAUCUAUGAAAUACUAUCUAUAUAUUUCUGUGUAAAAUUGUUGUGCUAUCGAAAGUAUAAGGCGGUCGGUAUUUUCAACUUUUUAAUUAUUGGAUAAAAAAUUAUGAGAUCAGAUAAUAAUAGUUCCUUUCAAAUUUGAUUGGUCCUGAAUAGUAAUAGUUUACGAAAGCCCAAAAUAAGAGCAAAAUUACUAUUUUUUUUAAUGUAAAAUUAACUUUUUUUCUAAUUUUUUUGUAUUUUUUUUGUUUCUUUCUUUAAUUAUUUUCUCUUAAUUUAUGGAAUAAAAAAAUGCAGGAGCGUGAGGCGGCCCACGGUGUGGCGCGGACACGCUGGAGCGCAGGGCGGGGCGUGGCACGGACAAUGCUCUUUUUGUUUUUUUCCCUCUCUGCUCUCUUCAAUUUUUAAAUUAUUUUUUAUUACUCUCUAUUUAAAUAAUUUUUUUUAUUUUUUUUAGCUCUUUAAUUUUUUAAAGUUUAAAAUUUAAAAUUAAAUUUAAAAAUUAAAAAAAUUAAAUUUAAAUUUUUAAAAAUAAAUGAUAACAACAUAAAUAUAAAAAUAUAUUAGUUUGUUUAAAAUAUUUUAAAAAAUACAUAAAUUUUCCGCAGCAAAGCGCGGACCUUCACUAAUAUGUUAAUAAGUCGCCGCUGCAAGAAGACGAGUAGGUAGUUGUGUGUGCUUUUUGGAAUUGUGCGUAAACAGAAUAUUAUUCUCUCUCCUCCAUCGGAGUCGACGCUUCUUCGAUUCCCCUCUUCGUUUGCCCCACCGCGCGCCUCGAACCCUCCUCCUCUCCUCCUCCCCCGAUCCAAUCCCUAAUUUCGGCGGCGAAUCCCCGAUCGAUCCACGCGUUUCGAUCGAUCCCUCUCGCUUCCGAUCCCCUCCGAGGUGUUCGAUCUCGUUUGAUCUCCGAGUAUAGGCCACGGCGAUGCCGAGGAAUAGCCCUCCGAAGCAUCGCCAUGAUGGGACCUCGCCGCUGCCCCUGGGAAUGGAUUGGAGCCCUCCGCCGAAGCGAUGGGUGAGUGUGUGGUCUCAGAUUGUGCUGAUGCUUCGUAGUUGNNNNNNNNNNNNNNNNNNNNNNNNNNNNNNNNNNNNNNNNNNNNNNNNNNNNNNNNNNNNNNNNNNNNNNNNNNNNNNNNNNNNNNNNNNNNNNNNNNNNUAAAGAUGAUUGGAUAUGAUCUUUCUUGAUUUGAUCUAAUGUAUAGGCUUUGGUGAAGUUUAAUUGGACAAUGAUAAAAAUUUAAGAAACAAAAAGAAAAGAAAAGAGAGAAAAAAAAAAAAGCAAGUACCCAAAUAUUUUUAAAAAAGUCUCUAUUCUUAACAGCUUAACCACACCUUUGUGAUUUUGUGCACACAGCAAUUGUGAACAUCAUAUAUAAAACAUUAUCACAUCAUACGUUUGGCAUGAAACUCAAGCUAUUUUUGAAUGCUAUCCACAUAUAGGAGGAGUUCUCCUCGCCGUCCUUUCGACUUCUCCGCCUUCGUGGCGGUGCCUCUCCGCCUUCUCUCGCCCUGUUGCCUGUCCCGUCCGACAUCCCGUCUGCCUUCUCCCGUACUCUCCACCUUCUCUCGCCCUGUUGCCUGUCCCGUCCGCCGUCCCGUCUGGGAGGUGGCGUUGUGUCGUCGGUCGUGUGGGCCGCGACUUUUCCUCCACCGCACGUUCUCGGCUGUACGGCCCGGCGUGGCUUCUUCCUACGGUUGGAGGUCAGCAUGUAUUAAAUAUUAUUAUAGAGCAUUAAUUAACGGGAUCGCAGCCCACCUCGCGUGAGGCGUGGCGCUCGCCGGCUCUCUCUCGCUCUCUUUUCUGCUUUACGUCUCUCGCCCUCUUUUCUGCUUUACCUAUUAUUAUUAUUAUUAUUAUUAUAAAUAGUAGACGGUUUGGCAGCCCCCAUAUUUUCCUCUGAUUUCCCCUGAUUUUUGUCCCUUGCUUUUGAGCGCGGUUGUCCUGCCGUUCUUGCCUUGUGGUGUUCCUUUUUUAAGCCCUCUUAUACGGGUUUGGGCGUCUGUGGUUCCGAAGGUAUUCUGGCACUUUUUCUCCGUAUUUAUCCGGUUAGAUAUUUUGUUUUGUGGGUGUUUAAUUUUUACGCCUUUUUUGCUUGGCUUGCUUUUUGAUUACUUAUUUGAGGCCUGAUUUAGCUAAUUUGAUGGUAAAACUCUGUAUAGAUGCCGAAUGUUAUGUGAUUUAAUUGUUGUUGAUGAUGAUGAUGAGUUUUAUGUGAUUUAGUUAAGGUAGAUGCUGAACAUUAUGUGAUUUAAUCAAGGCAGAUAAAUUGUGCUUUGUAUCGUUCAUGCGUAGGUGCAUUUUGUGAUUUGAUUUGAUUUCUAUUUUAUUGGUUAUUGGAAGUAGCUAUGUUGUAUAAACUUUCGUAUGGUACCUCCUGUUCCAAAUUUUGUUGUCUAAAUCAAAGAUUUAUGUGCAAUUCCAGUUUAUUGAUGCAUAUGGUAUAGAGUAAAUCUUUGUUUUCUCCUGUUAUUUUUGCUAAUUAGACUUGGGGAGCACCUUAUUUAUAGAUACUUAUUGAUUACCAUGAUUUCGAAUAUCAGGUUCUUCUUGGAGAUGUGGAAACUGGGAAGUGUAGUCCGUUCCUGCCGCUCUUGUGAAAGGGCCAAUUGUCGAAUUCCAGUUGCUAAUACCAGGACAUUUCCACUAAUCAGCCGGGCGGGAAAAUUUCUCUUUGAUAUUAUCGAUCUUUGAUUGUGAAAUUUGUAGGCAGUCAACAAUAGCGCGGCAUUCUUCUACACAAACAUUAGGCUGAUUGAAGACGAUGAAGUUGAAGAUUUGGGAUACAGCAAGGACAAAGAUACCCCAUAUCUGCCCCCAUGUAUAACAGGACGCUGGCAGCCGCGAGUUUUAUGACAAACAAAAUGUUAGUAAAAAUUGAAUAAACACACAAUUGUUCAUGAACCUUGAAAGUUAUCCUACAUGUUUUGAAUUAGAAUGGAAUCGUUAGAAACCGCCAUACUCUUUGUCGAAUGAUUUCUAUCGAUAGUUUGGAAAGUUGAAGAAUAUUGGGUAGCAAAUUGUUCUGAAAGCCAUUUAACCUGCUAGACUUUCCUCAAGAUGAUUUAAUCCUCUGUUAGUUUCCAACCAUUCGUCUGUAAUUGACCAAAGAAACACUACACACCGAACUUCUCAUAUUUUACGUUGUACUUCAUUUACACCUCGCAGAGAAUGGUUCAAACAGAACUUCAAGCUAAGUAAAUCAUAAAUUCGUCCAGGCCCCUUCAUUAAUAUUUUUCAUAUUCUCUCAUUUGUUACGCAUCCAUUAAUGAGGAAGCUGUCCUGUUCUCAUUAACUAUACCUUGGAGAAAAAGCGUAACACCCAGAAACUCAAAGAUGAAGCAUAAUUUUUACCUCAGAUUCUUUUUAAAAUUAUUAACUUUUCUUAACUAAUAAUUAAAAAUGAUCAGAUAAAAUUCAUUCUAAAGCUUCAGAGCAAGUGAGUAUUAGGACACAUUCAUAUGCUAAGUUUAAAGAUUUGUCAAAUUAAACCGAGACUCCUUAAAUCAUAUUCAAAUAGUACUCGUCUCUUUUUAUAAAAAUGUUGAGUCUGUUGAUGAUUGUUAUGACGAAGAAGUAUAACACCGCGACAAGGAGCAUCUAAAUAAUUAAGGGAUCUCUUCUUUCUCAAAUAAUUACAACUUCCAAAGAGCGAGAAGCUCCUGCCUCUUUCUAUAUAUAGUCGUCAUUCCAUAGUACUAUUCGGGUCCGUGGUCAAGUUCUAUCAAAACGAUACUUUUGAAAGAUUCGGAUCGAAGCCCCUCAAAUUUUAGUGAGAGCUAAUCAGUUAAUGGUUAGUCCUGCCGCGCAUUUUCUCUCUUACCGGCUGAUAGGAACAUCUCUGCAAAUCAGUCCCAGGGUAGGAAACGGCAUGCGAGGCGUCGGGGAAGCGAGAAACUCAAUGGCAUCUUCUACUAUCCAUUGUUCACAACGCAUUCUGAAGAGGUGUGUGCGCCUGCGUGGUGAGAAAAAGGAACAUGCCUGUUCGGGAGCGCCUCCAGUGGAAAACCGGGCAGGCAUUUUCCUCGCAUUCUUGAUCAUCCUUAAUGCAUAAAGAAAACCCCUCAAUUAUAAGCGCAGAAUUCUAAUCCUCUAUAAUUAAAAUCAAGAAACAACAACUCACAAAAUCUCUAAGGAGAUAGUCCAUAUCAUGUAAAACUCGAGCGUGGAUUCAUUGUUGCGAGUUCAUAUGAUAAAGCAACGUAAAGCCGAGAAGCUUAGUUCUAGUCAGGCGCGAACUUACUAACUGAAAGAAAAAUGCGAAUUUUUCCAGCAAUUCGUUAAGCCUCGACCUGGCCUGCACACACUGCAACGUAUUGAAUAAUCUCAUCCAAGCAUAACUGCUUUUCCGUCACCUGUAAAUCUCACAAUGGGAAAUCACCAACACUCAAAAUGACAAUUUUACUAAUUUUUUUUUCAGUUUGUUAAAAAAACAGUGAAAAUAAGUAGAAGAGAACAUUACAUCCAAAAACCUUAUUGCAGCCGGGACCAAAAUCUGCAGAAACUUCAUCCUCCACUGAAUCUUCUCUGCUCUCACCUACAAUUGUACGAAGAAUGUAUAACUAUCGCAUUUGAGAAACAAGCAUUCAGGAUUGAUCGAAAUCGCAAAAUUGGGCCUAACUAAAAUGGAUCCCAACCUCCCUAAAUCUCUCACCCUCUCCCGCCGAGAACUUGGCUAUCAUGCUUGGCCCCUGCGCCCGCCCCUCACACAUAAAUAGAUUUAUCCUUCCCUCGCCAGGCAUUGGUUGGAAGCAACAGAGAUCCAUACCUUCAAUCCAAAUUUGGUGGGGCAAAAGGGAUAGAUUCCGCGAAUUAUCUCCAUCAAUUUUUUUCGCCACUUAAUAACGUUGCUUUUUUAUUUUUCCACCAAAAUUGGAUUUAUGAGAUUUUUGUUAAAAGAUGAAAUAAGAUGGUUCUUUGGACAAGAAACUUAUGUAAAAUCGAUAGGAAAAUAAAGCCAGUCCAAAAGGAAUGAUUAAAUAUUAAGUUCCAUUUUUUUUAAAUUGAAAACCCAAGUUCAAGAUCAAAUUUUACAUUGAUUUCCUUUUCCAGCAAUCAAUCCAAAUUUUCUCAUAUAAUAUUUUUUUAAACCUCUACAAUAGCUUCCCGUUGUUUAGUGAAUAUAUAUUUCUUUAUGUUAAUUUUUUUGUUUUGUUUAAUGUUAAAUUCCCUAGAUAAUACUUGGGUCCGGGCUUCAGAAAAAUUUUGNNNNNNNNNNNNNNNNNNNNNNNNNUAUAUCCUUUAGAGAUUUCUAUUAAUAAAAAUAGUUUAUUUACUUUUCAUCUGUUAUUUAUUGUUAUAUCUCGUUUACUAUCUCCGAGUCUAUGCGAAGACGAAUUAGUGUUGCACGUUUAGGAGAGGAGGGAAAGGUUUUGAAAUAAUUCUCAUUUACCGACGUCACCAACGGAAUCUGGCAGGUUCGACGGAACGGUAUUUUGAGAAUACCAUAAACUUUCUUAAGAUUCUUUUACUCUCCCUAAGCCUAAAUACGGUUGGAAUUAAUCAGUCCAUCGGAUGUUUUAGUCGUAACAAGUUCCUUCUUAGUAAAAUAGUAGUAACGGAGAAUAUGGAAUUGUUAAUUCCGGUUCAUAUAUCUUGGGGAAUUAACUACAUCCUCACAGUUAACCGUAACUACAUAUUGACGUCGUAAGGUAGCUUUUUCACUGCUUAUCUAAACUUAAUGAUUUAGGUCUUUUGGAUAUUAAAACAAGCAGGACUUUUAUAGUUUUUAUUUCUAACUAAUUAUAACUUAUUUUUAAAUCCUUUGUACAAGUUAAAACAUCAAAAUAGCUUGUCAUUAUCCUAAAAGUGUAACACUGAUGACUAAUCGCUUUUUUCAAUGAAUUUUCAUUACUUAGGUUUUAUAUUAAUGAGUUAUUAGGUGGUUACAGAUACAAUGUAGUACUUGUCUUUCUAACUUUCUUAUUUCUAUAUUUUUCUUUUUAACGUGUCAAAAGAACAGUUGUUUAUCAACUCAAUCUUUUAUUUCAUUCUAUAUGAGAGUUUAGGUGGUUAAGAUUCCCUUUCUGUAUUUCCUCCAUUUAUCAUCCGUGCGUUCAUACGAUUUAACGGCUAUUAGGUUAUAAAGUAUUAAAAACGAAAGUUUAUUCAAUUAGGUUACAAGGUUGAAUGUAUAGUUUUAAUUUAUAACAGCCUAGCAACCGCGAUUGGUAAUUAGGAUUUUCGAGCUCGACAAUCUUUAUGCGUUGGUUAAGUGAAUUUCGCAUAUCUUUGUCGUGGGUGCCCAGAUCUAACACUGAGCCGGGUGGACCGGAGUGCGGUGAAGCUUGUACUGAGCCGGGUUGGGUCGGAGUGCGGUAAAGCUUGUACUGAGCCGGGUGUACCGGAGGGCGGUGUCCCGUCCUACGACCGGGUAAAUUCGUUUGUUAGGGGGGAGGUCGUGGACGUGUAUAAACGUCGUACGUCCUUAGUGUGGGCACUGGAGACCGAGACUAUGGUGAACAGCCUAGCAACUGCGAUUGGUGGUUAGGAUUUUCGAAGAUCCAGAUAAUAUUUGGGUUACUGUUGGGGUAAGGGUAGGCUACACCCUGAUAACCCCACAGUGUCUAGGGGGGACAAUUCCAGGACUGCAGGAGCAGUCAGGUUAGUGUGUGUCGGGUUCUAGUGGUCCGAUACACUCUGAGCAGAGCGAUCGGGCAGUAGGUCUGGGACCGAGUCGGCUUUGAGCGGUGUGUACAGGUCGACCACUUGGCCGAGACUAUGGUUUACAUAGCUGGGUCGAGUGAUCGUUGUUAUUGAGCAACCCGGGUUUGGUUGUCGGGUUUUACGAAUUCGGGUCAAUAAUAAUAAUCACAGAUCCAGAUAAUAUUUGGGUUACUGUUGGGGUAAGGGUAGGCUACACCCUGAUAACCCCACAGUGUUUAUAAAAAGAUGGUGUAUAUAAAUCGUUUAUUUAAGUACGUAAUAUAGUCUGUCUCGCUAGUUUAAAUUAUUUUGGAACAAAUUACGGAUAUAAAGAGCCACAACCUUUAAAGUACGUUUAUUAAACCACAUACUUUGAAUGUCGUACAAUCCAUUAAAUAUUUUUUCGUGGUAUAAACUUUGCAACAACGGAAUUGUCCGAGACGUUCGGUACAAACAAAGAUUGGUGAGUACAGCCAUAGAGGUUGUAAAAAUAUAAAUUGAAGUGUCGUUGUUUCUCUUUUACUCUUUAGAUUAUUUCAUUUUUUUUUUAUUAUAAUGUACUUUUCUAAGUAUAUUUUUGCAGACUGUACGAGUUGUUGGGUUUCCUUUGGCAAGACACAUAACGUUAUGAUAAAACGAAUAGAAAGUGCUCAUUUUAAACUAUAUUAGAGGGAUAUGGUUAGCAAACGCUAGGUGAUAUGGUUAGAAACCAAGCUAUUACGUUAUGAAUGGUAUGAAACUGGAAUUUUGGACGAUAUUGUACUUGUCUUUGCUUUGACACUGUUAUUUAUGUCACGCCACUUGGCCAUAUGAAAAACUUGAGAAGACUUUUCAUAGUCUGAUUUCUCCGUGUUGAAAGAAUAUUAAAACUUAUAAUUAAAUUGAAAGUAUCGCUUGUACAUUAAGGAGUAAGCUGACGAGUAUAUAAAAAUAGUGUUUUACGUAGAGAACCUACCUCGUAACCGGGGUUUGUGUGAUUGGGGUGUACGUAUUCCGUUGUGAAUUUUUGAUAUGUAGUUAAAAGGGAAGAUUGUUUGCUACUCGAGAGUUAUAGCUUUAGGGUUUGAGGUUGGUCGUCAUAGGGAUGAAAACUACGUUUGUCGACCUUUAUCUUAUCAGAAGUUUUAGAUUCUAUUUUUGUACUAUCAAUUCUUUAGAUUAUUUUUGUUAAUUCUGUGAUGUUAACCUCCUAGUUUAAACGUGUUCAGCUACUUCUAUUCCUUUGUUUAUGUUAGUUGGUUCAUUGUCAUGAAGUGUUAGUUUGUAAAAGAUUUAAUGUCUACGUUUUAACUCUGGUUAAUGUCUUCCUAUCGCAAUGUUGGAGUGCGUUUAAAUGGACUUUUUUUUUCAGGUCGCUCGUCUUUGAACAAUGUGAGAGAUCGUCUGGUGUAUCGGCGUGAUUUGACGUAAAUUCUUUGAGUAACUAGUUAAUUUGUACCGUUCUUUUAACCUGUAAAUUCUUUGAGUAACUAAUUAAAUUGUCGUCAUAGUUAGCGUUCUCCUAUUUUUUAUCGGGUUUCUCUUAUUAUUGAAUUAUCAUCGUAGACAGCGUUCUCCUACUUUUUAUCGUUCGGUAAUGUUGAUAGUGUUAUCGAAGUUCUAUAGACGAUUAUCAAUCUAUUCGUCCAGAACAUUAUUUUCGUAAGUUGUCUUCCCUUUUUUCUCUACAUUCUUCUAUCAUGUAUCCUUCAUUUGUUGGAGGAAACGUGUUUUUAUAACUAUAGGGACAGAGGUGGUAGAGGAGAGUUACUUUGGAGUCACUGUUGAAAAUUAUUUGUAAGGUGUCGUUGGAUUUUUUAAUCUAAAUUGUCUUGUAAUCUAAAUUAUUUUUAGGAAAAAACCGGGUAAUAAACUUAGUGGUAUGUAGUCUAAAUAGUACAAAACAUUAAAAAAAUACGAAAGGAUUAUCUUUUUUCUACAUUCCGUAAGGGUACGGUUCCCUUUUAUUUCGUAAACAGUUCAUACCGCGACGCUGAGAGUAUAGAUUCGAUCACAAAACAAUCUUUUAAAGACUUCGGGACCGGGUUUCGAUAUAGAUUUUGAUUGUAAUUUGUGUUUUGUUUUUUUAUUUUAUUUCUUUUAUUUGAGUAAUGAUUUUGUUGCCUCGUAAGAUCUUCAAUUUUUUAUAAUAUACUCUUUUAAACCUAAUCCUACGACCUUUUCCUUUUUAGUGUACAUUUUUAAACUAGAACUUGAACUCAAAAGUUAAUUUUUUUUCCCGAAUUAAUGUUUAGUGAAUGAAACCCUGACCGAAAUAAAAGGUGCUAAAUGAUUCAAAGAAAGGUUUCUGUGGUAAAAUGUUAGUAAAAUUGUAUUUAGAUAAGUAGGUAAAACCACCUUUUUUAUUUUUUCGUGGCAAUUCACCGCUUUUUUAAUAACUCUUAUUAAGUGACCUAGAUAGGGAAAAGGGGGGUUUUACCUAACUUCCAUACUAGAGACAAUGGAGGUUGGUUACGGAGGGGGGCUCAAACAUAUGAAUUGAAAGUUUAAAAUGCUCCAAAGGUUUAGAUUAUUUCCUCAUAUGUUGUAAUUUGUAUUUUUUAGUCUAAUUAUCGUUCAGUUGGAAAUUGCUUUGGCGCGAUCUUCGCCGGUGGGUAUCUGGUGAGGAUCUUCUUCUCCUCCUCCCCCUCCCCAUCGCGUGCCCUCGCAAGCCCCCGCGCCCUCUUCGUUGCGCCCGCUCCCUGUUCAACAAAAUGCCGAGCUGACGCGGGGCGCUCCCUUGGUUGAUAAGCCCCUUGCCCAUUUUCUUCCUAAAUUGCAAACUAGGUUCCAAUUUCUGUUAUUCUUCUUGCUGUGAUUGUAGGAGAAGCAGCCGUCGCAGUCUACACAUAUUCUCUAUACAUAUUUUAUCCCUAAGUACGUUUUCAGUCUUCCAUUAAAGUUGUCUUUUAAGCUUGUCCUUUUUAGGGUCAUUUUAGGUUCACCCUUCUGGUAUUAAGGUCUAAUUCACUUCCUGACGCGGCUUAUAAAUAACACCUGUUGUUGAGACGUUGUUUGUGGGCGUCUGACGUCGCUAACGGGGCUGCGGUGUCGCUGACUAGGCUCCGGUAAGCGGAUGGUACGGUAACGUCCGUUAAAGUCUUUGCUUCCAUCGUAAGUUUUUGUUGAUAGGUGGAGUAGUAGCGGAGCAGAAUUUGUUUUUCCUUUCGUUGUUUCGUUGUCUUUUAUCUUUUCCCCGACGUUUUUUUUUUUUUUUGUCAUAUUCUUUUUAGCUCUCCUGGGUUUUUUUAAAAAUUUGGGUCUUCUUUGUAAGUCUUUUUGGUAUUUAUGAAGUUGGUGGUCCGUAGGUUGGUAGGUAGGUUCAUUGUACUUUUAGGUUUAUGGUCUGUUAUUCUACUCUGUUGUACUUCGUUGGUUUCUUUGAAAGUUUUCUGGUUUGGAGGAGAGACGUCUNNNNNNNNNNNNNNNNNNNNNNNNNNNNNNNNNNNNNNNNNNNNNNNNNNNNNNNNNNNNNNNNNNNNNNNNNNNNNNNNNNNNNNNNNNNNNNNNNNNNNNNNNNNNNNNNNNNNNNNNNNNNNNNNNNNNNNNNNNNNNNNNNNNNNNNNNNNNNNNNNNNNNNNNNNNNNNNNNNNNNNNNNNNNNNNNNNNNNNNNNNNNNNNNNNNNNNNNNNNNNNNNNNNNNNNNNNNNNNNNNNNNNNNNNNNNNNNNNNNNNNNNNNNNNNNNNNNNNNNNNNNNNNNNNNNNNNNNNNNNNNNNNNNNNNNNNNNNNNNNNNNNNNNNNNNNNNNNNNNNNNNNNNNNNNNNNNNNNNNNNNNNNNNNNNNNNNNNNNNNNNNNNNNNNNNNNNNNNNNNNNNNNNNNNNNNNNNNNNNNNNNNNNNNNNNNNNNNNNNNNNNNNNNNNNNNNNNNNNNNNNNNNNNNNNNNNNNNNNNNNNNNNNNNNNNNNNNNNNNNNNNNNNNNNNNNNNNNNNNNNNNNNNNNNNNNNNNNNNNNNNNNNNNNNNNNNNNNNNNNNNNNNNNNNNNNNNNNNNNNNNNNNNNNNNNNNNNNNNNNNNNNNNNNNNNNNNNNNNNNNNNNNNNNNNNNNNNNNNNNNNNNNNNNNNNNNNNNNNNNNNNNNNNNNNNNNNNNNNNNNNNNNNNNNNNNNNNNNNNNNNNNNNNNNNNNNNNNNNNNNNNNNNNNNNNNNNNNNNNNNNNNNNNNUCAAACACGCUAUCUAAUUAAUCACUUGGCCUGGCUGGCUCACCCAACCCGCCCAGCAUAUUUUCGUGACGACUUCGUUUCCAUUUCUCCCUGCGCCCGCACAGCAUGCAACAGUCUGUCCUACAGCAGCGAUCGACUUUUCUUUUUUUGAGAGAUGUCUGCUCUCCUCCCGUUGCAUGUGGGACAGCUGUCAACUCCCGAAUUAAGAACACCUCUCUCUCUCUCUCUCUCUCUCUCUCUCUCUCUCUCCAACUGUACCCCCCCUCUCUGUCCCCCUCUCUUACACUCAUUCUCUCUUUCUCUCCAUUCUCUCUCUCUCUGUUAUGCCCCUUUUCUCCUCUCUCUCUUAUCAAAAUGGGGUUUCGGUGGAGGUGGCAGUGGUUUGGCCCUUGAUAACGGCAGUCGCGGCAGCGCUGUCGGCGUGGGCUGCGACGGCGGCGGUCAUAGCAGCGAUGGCGGCCACAGUGGAGGUUGGGAGGACGAGGGAGGGGUGCGAGGCGGCGAUGGUCUUACCGAAACUCAAGAGUUGGCAGUGGUGUGUUGUUAAGUAAUUAUUUUUCUUCACUCUAUGAAUAAGACAAUGGAACUAUUAUCAUCUAAAGCUCAAAUAUUAGACUAAUUAGGUACUGUUGUUUUUUUUUUUUUGUGCGCAUGUCUUCUUGCUCUGUAGCUUUUGCUAACUGUAGCUCUUUUUAAGGUGUGUAUUUGUGGAUGUUGGUGUUGCACCUAAUGAUAUUGAAACAAAAAAGAGAAAAAGUCUUGUGGUAGGGUAAAUGAAGAAAAUUUAGCAGAUCACACUAAGUCAUUGUUUGGUUGUUUCACAAAUGCAACAGCUCGGGGUAAGGUAAAUGAAGCACACAGCAUCCGUUUUCCAGGAGCGACAAGCCGAACUCUAUGCAGUUCAACAUCCUUCAGUAUAUCGCACAAUGCCAUGUUUAUAUGCUGCAGUAUUUUGGAAACAAGAAAUCAAUAAAAAAAGGGAUCGUUGUGAGAAGUAAAUGAAAGAGUUUUGAGUGGAAGAAAGAGAACUUCCCUUGCCGUUUCUGUGUGUGUGUGUGUUACUUUCCUUGCAGUUUCUCUUUUCAUGCUGUUUGAAGGAACAUGUUUGGUUGAUCAUUUUUUGUGGUCUUUGGCUGUUUUUUGCCUCUCCUUCUUGGGCUUUUAAGUUCUUUCUGUUUUCUUACUUAUAUUCGUAACUUUUUUAAAAUCCGGUUCUUCUCUGUUUGCUGCUGCUUUUGCGAUGCUGGAUAUUUUUUCCCCUUUCUUUUUGCUGCUGCCUUCUCUUAUAAAUUUCUCCGUAGUGGCAUGGCACCUCAAAUGGCCUCGAGGCAAUCGUUGCGGCCUCAAGGCAAUCGCUGCAACCUGAGGCUAUUGUUGCAGAAAUCCAGUCCACGCAGUAUUUGACGUGGUCCUUUACUUUUAGGGGAUUCACAAUCCUGAGCCUCGCAUGAUGUCCUGUUUUAUGUAUGUAAGAGAGAGGCAGGGGAGUGUGCAUAAUGGUUAACGGUUUACCCUUUAAUUAUAUUGUAAUUUUAACCGUCCUGUGCCUUAUACAUGUAAGACAGAUGGAGCUUUUAUAGUUGAUGGGGGGCUACAUCCGAAAUUAAAGAGAAGGAUGCAAAAUGGUUAAGGGUUUGCGUUUUAAUGAUAUUGUAUAUAUGUAUAAAUUGUAUAGAUUAUAUAGAUAUAAAUUGUAUAGAUGUGUAGAUUGUACAUAUUGUAUAGAUAUUGUAUAGAUUGUAUAGAUUGGUCAUUUUCCCAGCAAUCUACAUUUCCUUACUCUUAGCUCUAAUUAUGGAGAGAUCUAGCUUGAACUUAAUAUGCAAUCUGAUACCUUCUCUGCUUAAUUUAUUUUUUUUGGAUGUUGCUUUCUCUUCUGAAUUUGUUCGCAAUGGCACGACAGAUCGAACGGUUUCAGGCCAAUCGCUUCGGCCUCGGGCCAGCUACUGCAGCCUGCGGCUAUUGUUGUAGAGAUCCAGUCUACACAAUAUUUGACAUAGCCCUUUAAUUUUAGGGAAUCCACUGUUCUGAGCCUCGCAUGAAUUGUUGUUUUAUGCAUUAUUGUUUCUUUUCCCGUCAAUUUACAUCUUAUUCUUGGCUGGAAUUGUGCAUUUACCAUUACCUAAAAUAUUUAGCGUAUGGUUUCUUUCCUGCAGGUGUUGCUUAUUCAAAUCAGCAGACCCUAACUUGAAAUAAGGGUUUUUAUUUCAUAAAACUAUUAUAUAUAUAUAUAUAUAUAUAUAUAUAUAUAUAUAUAUAUAUAAAAUUACCACUCAAACUUAGAAAUUCGCAGGCAUCAUAGGAACAUAAACAUUCCGUUGUGGUAUCGGAACCCUGCAGGCCUUUUCAUCUUCGGAGAAAGAAUCUUUCCUGGGUAAACUUUUGCAUGUCAGGCAAAUAUUACGUUUUAAUGAAAAUAUAUUUUUCUAAAUAUACUCACUACGGAAAUAAAUAUUAUUCAAAAAUAUUAAUGAAUAAUAAAAAAAAUAAUAUUAAUAGUUCUAAUAAUUGACUAUUAUAUCGACUUCCCGCCGCAACGCGCGGGGUUCCGUAACUAGUAUAUAUAUAGAGAGAGAGAGAGAGAGAGAGAGAGAGGGAUGUGCUUUUAGAAGCAUAGUAACAUCAUUUUAUAUAUAUACACACAAAAUAUGAAAAACAGAUAAAAUAUUUUGACAGACGAAAUGAUAAAUGAAAUAAAAAAAAUACUUUAUACACAUUAAAAAAACUAACUACAAAUAAAUAAGGUUUGAAAUUUUGAAUGGUUUAAGAAUAGACGUAACAAUUAAUAAUUGUUUAAUUUAAAUAAUGAAUUCAAAAUUAACUUUAAAAUUUGAGUUUGAUUCAUAAAUUUAAAAUUAAAAUUAAAAUUUAGAAAUUAAUUUAAAAUUUUAAAAUUUGGAUAUACAUUNAUUUAAAAUUCAUUUUUACUUAAGACUAAACAAAUAAAACUUAAAUUUACAAAUAGUCACCGUACUCAGAUAAAAGUUAAUUAAAUAAAAAAUUUAAACUAAACAAAGAUUUAUACAGAGGUUAAAUCAAUAUGUUAUUUACAAAAACUAAACAAAAGUAUUGUGAACUUAAAUCUAAUUUAAUUUGUAAAUGUGGCGUGCAUUGUGCGAGUUUAGAGAGAGAGAGAGAGAGAGAGAGAGAGAGAGUAGCUACGUACUAUAUUCUUUUGAAUACAGUAGUUGUUAUGCUAUUUUUGUGCACACAAGUAUACAGCCAUGAGAUCUACUCCUAUAUAUAUAUAUAUAUAUAGAUCUCAUGGCUAAGGAAACUUCAAAAAUUGCUUUUCAUUUGCCAUGUAAAAAUUCUUUCUUUAUGAUAUUCAUCUCACUAAUUGAACUACUCCCGGUCACGCAUAUAAUGCUGCAAAAAAUUCCCAUCUGCUUAAAAAUUUUCAUAAUUGUUCACUUGUAAUGAUACGACAGUAUUUUAUUAAUUUCAUUAUCAUACUAGUCGUUUUAAAAAAAAAGAAAAAAAAAGAAGAAAAAUGCAUCAUCCUCGUUUAAAUAAGCACUCCAUUACUCAUAUGUCAAUAGUUCGUAAAGAAGCAUGAAACGCUUUCUCUCUGGAGCCAUGCUCGUCACAACGCCUGCAACAUUGAUUGGCUUAAAUCUCAAACGUAGGAGGACAAAGAUACAUCUCAUAUUAGGAUAUAAAAAAAAUAGAAAAAAACUUCAAAUACCAUCCCUGUGGUUUUACACUUUCUCACUUUAGUGCCAUAUGAUUUAAAAUGUAUUAAUUUAGUACCAUGUGGUUUUAUUUUUUAUAUUUUUAUUAUUUAUUUCACUAAUUUUUUUUAUUAAAUUAGUGACAAAGUUAAAACUAUAGGGUACUAAAGUGAAUAUUUGAUAAAUCUAGAUAGAAUAUCUGAAGUUUUUUAUAUAUAAUUUAAUAAAAUAUUAACGAAAAAGCUAACGAAAAGAUAAAAAUCAAAUCACAUGACACUAACUUGAUACACUUUAAAUCAUAUGAUACUAAAAUGAAAAAAUACGAAACCACAUGAAAAAAUACGAAACCACAUGAGUGGUAUUAGAAGCUUAUCCAAAAAAAAGUCUACUUGCAAAGCUACUCUCAAUGCAGAACAGCUCUUCUUAAGCCUACCUAGCCUUUUUUAUUAAAAAAAAAAUCUAUUGAGCUGAGCAUUCAGUUUGGUUAGUGGAGAAAUCAUGACCAAACCACAUGCUUGUACAUAUACGUGGAACUAAAAAGAUUUUUUUAGCUAAAACAAUGCGUGAAUCUCACAGUAUUCAGUGUACGGACGUAAACAAAACGACGACACAGAGUAAGGUUUAAAGAUUUCUCAGCAACUUACCACUAAAAUAAGGAUAAAUAUUUGCACCGAUCGCUUGACUUUAUCACACUUUUAUUACAUCAGUGGACUUCAAUUUGUUGCAAUAAAGUUAUGGAACUUCCAUUGCUAUUUCAAUUGGAUCACUCCACCAGACACUCUUUAGUUCCCUGAUUUUGUCAGAUGAUCAUGUCUCUAAGAAGAGAAGCUGUUGCUACAGCUUCCACGUCAUUUCAUAAAGAUGAUAUCAUAGUUAAAUCAUCUUGUAAUUACGAUGACGCGGCAACUGAUUCAACUCCCGCAACAUCUCCAUAUCACA
rnacentral:lncRNA from 1 species